rnacentral:lncRNA from 1 species
UUUAAAUCACAACUUCAACAAACUCCACCUUGAGACAAAUUCCUUCUUAUAGCAAAUUUCUCCUUGUAGCAUAAACAGUAACAACUUCUGAAACAACAAAGAAAACACUUUCGGCGUCAAUAGCCACUAGGGGCUAAACAGUUAUACCAACUAACCUUGAGCAUAGCUCAAACUUAGCAAUAGGAACAGGCUUUGUCAUCAUAUCAGCAGGAUUAUCAUGAGUGUUGAUCUUGCAUACUUUCAAUUUACCUAGAGCAACAAUGUCGCGAACAAAAUGGUACUUGACAUCAAUGUGCUUGGUUCUCUCAUGAAGCAUCUGAUCCUUAGUAAGGUAGAUAACACUUUGACUGUCACAAAACAGGUUAAUGCAAGAAACAUCUUGACAAAGCUCAGCAUAUAAACCCUUUAACCAAACAGAUUCUUUGCAAGCUUCAGUAAUAGCCAUAUAUUCUGCUUCGGUUGUAGAUUGAGCAAUAACUGGUUAUAGUGUUGCCUUCCAACUCACAGCACAUCCACCUACCGUGAACACAUAACCUGUGAGAGAUCUCCUCUCAUCCAAGUCGGCAGCAAAAUCUGAAUCCACAUAGCCAGCGAGUCCCUCAUCAGUCUUGCCAAACUUCAAGCAAGCAUUGGAUGUGCCACGGAGGUACCUGAAAAUCCACUGAACAGCUUUCCAAUGUUCUUUACCAGGAUUAGCCAUGUAACGACUGACCAAACUCAUAGCAUAUGAUAAAUCAGGACGUGAACAAACCAUGGCGUACAUCAAGGAACCAACAGCACUAGAAUAGGGAACUCGUGACAUAUACUCAAUAUCUUCAUCAGAAGUAGGACAUUGCAACGCUAACAACUUGAAAUGAGAAGCAAUAGGAGUACUAACACACUUUGCAUCAUGCAAAUUAAAACGGUGAAGUACUUUCUCAAUGUAACUUUGCUGACUAAAAAAUAGCAACUUAGAUUUUCUGUCCCUUUUAGUUUUCAUACCUAGGAUUUUAUUAGCAGCACCAAGAUCCUUCAUCUCAAAUUCACUACUUAGUUGUGCUUUCAAAGUAGUGAUUACUUUCAUGCUCUUGGAAGCAAUUAACAUAUCAUCAACAUAUAACAGCAAGUAUACAGGUGAUCCAUCAACAAAUUUAAUCACAAUUGUCAUACUGAGAUCUACUAAAGCCACGUGAGAUCAUAAAUGAAUCAAACCUUUUAUACCACUGUCUAGAAGAUUGCUUCAAACCAUAAAAGGACUUUUUCAACUUGCACACAAACUCUUCUUUACCAGGAACUAUGAACCCUUCAGGUUGGUCCAUGUAUAUUUCCUCCUCAAGCUCUCCAUGCAAAAAUGCAGUCUUCACAUCUAACUGCUCAAGUUCAAGAUCAUGCAUAGCAACAAUACCAAAGAAAGUAAGGAUGGAACUAUGCUUUACCACUGAAGAGAACACAUCAUUGUAAUCAAUACCUGGUAUUUGAGUGAAACCUUUUGCCACUAACCUUGCGUUAAACCUCAUAGGCUCAUUAGGAGACAGACCCUCCUUUCUCUUGAAAAUCCAUUUGCAGCGAACGGCCUUCUUCUAUUUAGGCAAGGGCACAACAUCACAUGUGCCAUUCUUCUCAACAGAUUGCAUCUCCUCUUGCAUGGCAGACAACCACUUCACACGGUCGCCGGAAACAACAGCUUCACUAUAUGUGGCCGGUUCACUAUCAUGCUCCACCUGUUCUGCACAACUCAAAGCAUAAUAAACUAGAUCACACUCUUCAAUUAAAUGUGGACGAGUACCUUUAUUCCUCUUUGGGCGGUCAGCUGUAAUAGACCGUGUGGGUUGCUGCAAAACAGAUGGUGAGGGUGGAACAAUAUCAUCAUUAUUAUCAUUAUUGUUCCCAUCAUCAUUACCAUGAUCAACCUGAGCAUCAUUGUUGUCAGCAAUUUCAUCAACGUGCUCCACCUGCACUUUAAGUCUCUCCUCUUCAAUGCAAGAGGCAUCAGUGGACAAAGUAUCAUGAUACAUAACUUUUUCAUUAAAGACAACAUUCUUGCUCAGCAAAAUUUUUUUAGUUUCAGGAUUCCACAACCUGAAAGCUUUAACUCCAGAACCAUAGCUAAGAAAAAUGCACUUAACAGCUCUACGCUCUAGCUUUCCAUUAUCAACGUGAGCAUAAGCGGUGCAACCGAAAACUCUCAACAGUGAAUAAUCAGCAGGUUUACCAGACUAUACCUCAAUGGGAGUUUUCUUGUCAAGUGGAAUAGAAGGUGACCUGUUUAUGAGGUAGCAUGCGGUGGAAGCUGCCUCAGCCCAAAAACGCCUGCCCAAACCUGCAUUGGACAACAUGCAACGGGCCCUAGAUAUGAUGGUUCUAUUCAUGCGUUCAGCCACGCCAUUUUGCUGUGGAGUACGGGCAACCGUGUAGUGCCUAAUCACACCAUCAUUGCUGCAAAACUCCUCAAACUCAUCAGAAAUAAAUUCACCACCAUUAUCAGUACGCAAAAUUUUCACCUUCCUUUCAGUUUGCUUUUCUACCAUAGCUUUUCACUUCUUAUAAGCACCAAAAACAUCAGACUUGUGUUUCAGAAAAUAAGGCCAAACUUUUCUUGAGUAAUCAUCAAUAAUGGUAAGCAUGUAAUUAGCACCACCAAUAGAAGUCUUACGGGACGGUCCCCAAACAUCAGCAUGCACAUAAUCUAAUAUGCCUUUGGUGGUAUGAAUGGAAGAAACGAAUUUAACCCUCUUGUGCUUACCAUAAACGCAGUGCUCACAAAACUCAAGCUUACUCAAGUUGCAGCCAUCAUGAGCUCUCUCUUGACCAACUCUGUCAUCCCAUGUUCACUCAUAUGCCCAAGACGCAUAUGCCACAUAUUCGUUUUUGCAUAAUCAUCAGAAUCAUUAGGUGUAACGGCAGCAGCAAAACCAGGCAAAGUGCUACCUCUAAGAACAUAUAAUUUUGCAGAAUUCAUAUCACCUAUCAUGUGAAUAAGAGAACCUCUAAAUACCUUUAAAAGUCUACGCCCACCGGCGUACUUGUACCCGUCACAGUCCAUGGUACUAAGUGAGAUCAAAUUUCUUGCCAUGCUUAGUGUGCUUCACCUCUUUCAACAUGCGUGUCAUGCCAUCAUGGGUCUUGAUCUGAACGGACCCAACGUCAACAAUAUGACAAGGAUUGUCAUUGCCCACACGCACAAAAUCUCCAGUCUGCACAAACUCAUAAGAACUGAACCAAUCCUUGUUACAACAAACAUGAAAGGAACAUGCUGUAUCAAGAAUCCAUUCAUCAUCACGGGAAGCACAAGCAGCAAGAACAGUGAGGCAUUCACCCUCAGAGCUGUCGGCCUUACCAUUACCAUCGGACUUGUCUUUCGGUUUGUAGGUACCGUUCCUUUUCUCCUUGUUCUGCAGUUUAUAACAAUCUUCAAUGAUAUGAUUAUUUUUCUUACAAUAUCUGCAAAACUUAUCUUUUCCUCGGGACUUUGAAUGAGCUUUUCCGUCCCGGCUCUUAUCUCGGUUGCCAUAGUUGUUAUUCCACUGCUCGGUCCUGCCACGAACCUGCAGAGCUUCUGCCUUUGACAACGACCCAUUGGUCUGCACCAUAGACUUCAUCUUUUCUUUCUGUCUAAGUGCUUCCAAAACCUCAUUAAGGGUUAGAGAGUCAUGGCUAUAAAGAAUUGAAUCGCGGAUAUUUGUAUAGGAACUAGGCAACGAGCAUAAGAGUAAGAUGGCUAAAUCCUCAUCAUCAUACUUAACCUCCAAAGCUUGCAAGUUAGAAACUAUCUCUCGAAAAGCAGUUAUAUGAGAUAUUACCGAACCACCUUCUUGCAGCUUAUGGGUGAACAGCUUCAUCUUUACAUGCAUCUUACUGGUUAGAUCUUUAGACAUGCAGAUCGAUUCCAGUUUCAGCCACAGGGCUGCUGCGGAUUUCUCCUCCAACACUUCCUGCAAAAUAUUAUUGGAUAGAUGAAGUUGAAUCAAAGACAAAGCCUUACGAUCUUUGCGUUUCUCUUCGGCAGUCCACUCCUUUUCAUCCUUCUUGCCGAAGGAAUCAAGCGCUUCAUCCAGAUCUGAAGUUUGGGCGAGAAUCGCCCGCAUCUUCACUUGCCACAACGAGAAUCGUGUGGUGUAAUCCAGCUGUGGCAGCCGAACUUCAAGGUCGACAUGUCGCAAACCCUAGGCGGAACCUGGGGCUCUGAUACCACUUGUUAUGAACGCGACAAGCAAGAACGAAGAACGAAGAAGAACUCACAGCACAAGGACACACGGAUUUAACGUGGAAAAUCCUCUCAAACAACGAGAGGGAAAAACCACGGGCGCCAGCCAGCGAAACUUCACUAUAUGGGGAGUGUUUACACAACGCCGGGGAGAUUCUACAAAAGCAACUCGUCCCCAAAACGGCGGCCACAAGGGGUAUAUAUAACAGGAAGAUUAGGUCAAAACAGAUCCGUAUCGGGGACCCCAAAAGUUCCGGGUUUGGGCCGGAAGUUCCGGGCUUGUUCCGGGACAAACUCCGCAGCCUUCACGCGAAGUUCCAGUAGCAUCACGGAGGUGAGACGGAGGUUAGGCGGAAGUUCCGCCCCACCGGAAGUUCCGGUCCUGGGAAACACCUCCUUGAGAAUUUGGAUCACAACUUCAACAAUUUGGAACUUUAUUCCGUGUAACCUUUUGAGGGAGCAUGGUCGUGACAUCUCUGCUCCUGUGGCUCAUAUGACCAUUGUUCGUGCGAAGUUUUGUUUUUCUUCUUACGGUGGCUUCUUCUCUUCGCCACUGGUCCAUUUCUCAAAAAUAUGUUGUACAACUAGAGGGCUUUUAAUGUUAUAUCUAGUGCAUUAAUGUUGUUUGUACAACCAGAGGUCUUUUAGUGUUAUAUAUCUAGCCCUUAACAUUUGCAUGAAAAAUUAUGGAGUGAUUAAAAUUUAGCUAAAAUAAUGUGUGACGGAGAGGUGACAUGUGGUACAAUAGAAGUACAGUACCUCUUAUGUUUGAGCGCUAGUGACUAUGUCUCAGUCAAGAGAAGGCUAGCAUUCUCUCUCUCUUUUUUCAUUUCUCUUUCUUCAAUAUCAGCUUUUAUCCAACCUGGUUUUGCUAACAAAUGAUUGAUGUUGCCCCAUUGUACUCCGACUAAAGCAAAUAUUCAGGCCAAUGAAUGUUCACGUCCACCUCUAGACCGGGUUCAAUCCCUCUCGACAGGUGAUACACAAGGCUUCUCAUGCAAAAGUUGUCAUGCCAAAACUGUUGUUGGCAUCAAUGAAAAGAUGCCCCUUUGUCACCACAGAAGGUGGAUCGAAAGGGGUGCGAGUGGAAGCGGGCUAGUAUGGAAAGUCUCCUGCUUCAAGUAUCUCUUUCCAGUGCUAUCUGGAUAGUGAGAUGUCGUCCGAUAUGGUAGAGGGACUGAUAACGAUGACAAUUCCAACGACAAGUUUGCGCGCACCCAGUGGAAAUACAAGAUCUCAGGCAAUGCCAACGUACCUGUGCCAUGCCUCUGUGAAGAUGGUGACUCGAAGAUCGAUUUUGGAGAUGAAAUCCCAAGGUCGACCUUUGAUUGGACGCAUUAUCAUCGGUGCACGUGCGACGAACCCUUCUUGAAUGUUUUGCCAAGAAGUUGUUUAAUUUUUGUUUGUUUCAGUCACUUUUUUAUAGGGUUUGUGGUAAGUUGUUGCCAGGCACAUUAAUUGCUUUGUUUUUUUUCUCCUUUUUGGACGACUUGUUUGACAUUUUGCCUGAAUUUGUCUGACACUUCCGAAUAAUUAAUAAUAUAUGAUUGUGAGUUGUGAUUGAUUGAGAUGAAAGUUUCCCCUCCGCAUGGACAGAUAUCUCUGGCCACUUGAGUGAUUGAUUGUCAAAAAUUCAUGGACAUGCUUAUGAUUAAAGAGUUAACCAUAUUUUGGGGGAUUCGGGUCGAAAAUUCAUGGCCAUGCUUAUGAUUAAAGAGUUAACCAUAUUUUGGGGGAUUCGGAUGUAAGCACUGAGAAAAAAGAAGUCAAGCUAGAAAUAAGGAUGACUACCUCACCUUGAGCUCGAAAAUAUCCGAGACAAAUGACUACAACAGUUUCUGAAAGUUGACCAAUACGAUCUAUGCAUAUAUUUGGGAAUCAAUAUGACCUGUUAGGUUCUGCUGUUGAUUAUUGAGCGAGAAAGUGUUUGUAGGCAUGAUCACACAGAUAUAUGAACCGGUUGGAUCGCACACUUACAAUUAUCUUUCUUUCUUUGUCAAAAUAGUACUCACCCACACGACAUAACAGGUCAACUUGUAAUAUUUGUUUUCCAAACAGAAUACUCCGCCAAGUAUAGUAGGCUGCCCGAGGAUAUUUUGCAUUCGAAAAUCUGCAUUAGGAUGCAUUCCUUUCAAUACACGAACACACAUGGCAUUCCCAAAAAAAAGGGAAGAGUACGUUGGCUACGAAGAGGGGUCCAAAACCCCAACCGCACUCACGGUUGGGACUUCGGAUGGCUGUGUGCAUGGGUCUCUUUGUCCAGAUUGCCCUGACCAACACCCUUACCUCUUUGUUUAGAUGUAUCAUAAAAACGGAGAUGCAUCAAAGUUACAAUAAAAGAAAAGGGAAAGAAGAAUAUACAAGAAAAAGAAAAGGAGAAAUGGAGAGAAAGAAGGAAGAGAUUCACCAUACAACUUGAGGUUCAAGAAAAAAGACUUGCACACAAGCAAGGCAAAACACCUAGCUAGGUGCAGACCAUCUAGGCCCCAUGGAUAUAUUGUCCAUAUCAACACGCUGGCCGGCAAGGUGAGGUAUCCUUUCCUUUCCUUGGUCUCCAUCUCGGCCAGACACAUAUGGUAUACCUUUCAUCUCACGUCCAGAUCUUCUACCUCUAUAUAUACCAUCAGUGUCUCGGAGCUGCCGAUCAUCUCGCAACGAUAGGAAGAGACAAGAGGCAGAAGCCAGAGAUGGAAGCAGCGACGCAUCGCUCUCGUGUCCUGGCGGAAGUCGACCCCCGCAGCGAAUGGGUUCGCGGGGACGAAUUCGACACGCUCAUCAUGGACGUCUCAGGUAUGCACGCAAUCAAGAUUCAAGAAAGCUCGCUGCUAAGACUGUAGCUAUGCUGCUUUCGAGGGGAACCAUAUUUUACUGUGCCUAGCUGGGAUUGUUCUGAACUCAUUCCAGUGAGACAUCAUACAGUUCCCACACACGUUCAGAAAUAUAAAGCUUAUUUUGAUGGGUAAAAAUAUCGGUUCUUUCCACACAGGUUGUAAUUGCCUAAAUGGGGUUUAUGAUUUCUAAGUACUCCCUUCGUCUCAUAAUUCUUGUCGCUGUUUUAGUAUUCCUUUCGAUAUAUAAAAAGUGACAUCCACUUAAUACAAUUUUGUACUCCUACUUACUAUAAAAUGGGCGACGCUCUUUUUUUUAAUCGGAUGGAGUAACUAAAACAACGAUAAGAAUUAUAGGACGGAGGGAGUAUCAUUGACUACUUUUUCGUUGGAGAGAAAGCUAAACCGGCAGAUUGACAUGCAUGUCGCUAAUGCAGGGUUCACCAAGGACCAGCUGAAGGUUCAGGUGGAGGCGUCGGGUAGCCUGAGGAUCAGCGGCGAGCGCACCCUGAACGGCAGCCGGCAGUGGAGCCACUUCCUCAAGCGCUUCGACCUCCCUGACGCCUGCGACGGCACGGCGAUCAAGGUGCAGCUCGCCAAGGGAGUCCUCUACGUCCAGGUGCCCCAUCCCAAUACCUCCACCACCACGGACGACGACGAAGACGACACAGAAGAGUACCUGGAGGACGAGCUGGAGGAAGAGGCUGGCGCCGUCUGGACCGGCGGUCACACGGCGGCGUGGCGAAAUGACGACGAGCACCCGGUGCGGAGGCUGGUUAAGGCCCUGAGCCAGCACCGGCACGUCGUCCUCAACGUAGUUCUCGCCGCCGUGCUCCUCUGGCUUGUCGCCUUCGGGAAGAGCAGGCCGAGCGGUGGGCAGAUCAAGAACGAAUGAGGCAUGCAACACCAGACGCACACAUAACAGUACAGUCCUACAGCAUACCAGAUGUAAUUCUCCAGAUGAUAAAACGGAAUAAGAUCCUUGUAAAUAACCAGGAUUGGGAUGGUUCGAAUCAAAGCCUCAACACACGUCAAUCAGCAUUCAAUUGUCUAACCAGUUCUUUUAAUAACCUUUUGGUAACCUGUUCUGAACCUACAUUUCGUUAGUUGCAGGAUGUCUCCACCGUAGAAAGACCAACUUAUGAAUUCAGAAAAGGCAGAAAAAACACACAGCUAAUGUAUCGUAUGAGAAUUCAUCAACUACGACUCUCUCUAUUUCCCCUAACAUGCAUUAUAUGGAUAUCGUCAAAGAUGUAUGGCGCUAUAACAGUCCCUCAAAAAAAAAAGUACGGCGCUAUCUGAUGGCUCCAAGCAGAUUUGCACCUCCGAGCUUAGCACCAGCUAAUUGCUGUUUAAGAAAGGAAUCCAAGGAUUAGAUUUUAGGAUGUAAAGAUAUACUAUUCUAACCUAAGAUCCCACUUUGUUGAAUCUGUGUAUCAAGUUCUUGCAUAAAAUAAAAAUGGGAGCCAAAAAUUCCACUGAAGCUGUGCGCUUUUGUCUCAGUGUUAAACUGCUCUUGUUUGCACAAUACAGGAAACAAGAAUAGAUGCCAUGUGUUCAUGAAAUCAUUGCUUACAUAUAGUUUAAAUUUCCUCUUGCCAGCAUACAUUUAUACGAGUGCAAUCAUAUAUAUCUAAUUAAUCAGCACUAGUUGUAUGCUUGUUUGUUUUUCGCAAAAACUAGUAGUAUGUGUGCCCACGACCCCAAUUGACAAAUCAAUGACCAGCCGUCUUAAGUCAGUCCACUUCUUAGUUAAUUUAGUAUACUUUUUGCUCUUCGGUCAGAUGUGAAUUAUCACAGCAACCUGAACCUGGAAAGUCCCUGGAUGCAUGUGCUCAUAAUUGUUCUUUGAUUUUCUUCUCUUAAUUUUGUGUGCAAGGUGGUUUGGUGAACCAGGUGUCAUCACAGAUGCGACAGGAAGUAAACAUGUGAUUUCUUUUGAUGAGCUUAUGAAGUAAUGGAUGAGUGUCUAUUUCUUAGCUAAGUUAUUAGCAGACUGGAUAAACAUACAGUUUCUCGCAAAUCGACUUCCCGCAGGUAAGCACGCUGAAGAUUUGCACCUUGCAAGUUUGAACCAGUCAACUUAGCCCCCUGCAAAGGAGUUAGUUUAUAAGGUCUGCAUUUAAAUGAGACUCUCCCUCUCCUGGGAAGGCAUGCUGCCGCAUAAAAUUUACCUUGAGAUUGGCUCCUUCAAGGUUAGCUCCUGUCAAGUUGGCAUCUGUAAGGUUUGCACUCUGAAAAUACAUGUCAGUUGGUUAUUAGUAUCCAUAGGAAAUUGAGAAUUGAACAGCAGCUUUUAGUUUUUAAUAAUAUAUGGGUUGCCACUAAAAACUAGUAAUUGCUCUGUUGAAUGACAUUAGGAGAGAAGGACAUACACUGCUAUGGAUAGAAAUUGAUUAGCAUGGAUCCAUAUGCAGGGAGCAACAAUAUAUAUUUAUUGAUUAGAUAAACUAUAAAAGAAAACAAAGAGAAUGGAUACGGAUUGCCCACGCUAAAUAUUUGUGGCUUCAUGCUUGUCAUCAUGGUUUCAUACUUUUCUAUACGGCACUACAAACAGCAGUGGCAGCAGUACACACAGAUUUCUUAGCAUUGAAGUUCACUGUGGUUGGGGAUAACACAAAUUUACAUACUGAAGUACUGAAGACAAAUUUCAAACCUGUAGGUGUGCUGAACGAAGAUCAGUUUCAAUGAAGCUACACCUUGUUAAGCAUGCAUCUGCAGAAUAGUUUGAACAGUCUAUCUCGAGUGCUGCUUCGCAUUUGCUCAUUAACUUUAUAAAAAUAAUUUUGAGAAAGGUACUUUGGAAUUCAAAGCCGGAGGGACCCUUAAAAACAGCCAAGGCAGGUUCACAUUUGACAUAGUAAAAUUGAAAACGGAAUCUCCGGUAAGAUAAUCUGUCAGGUUAUGCACCUUGUAGGUUUGCACUUUGAAGGAAGUAAAAUGCUUAACAAACAAAAAGGAUUAACAUCAUUAUGCAGCGUCUCCACAAGAAGGAAACAAUGAGGGAAACUGCCAGUUAGUCAGCAUGCAGGUUAAGAAUAAACUGUAAGGAAAAGGGAAAAGGUUAGGCACCUUGUAGAUUUGCACUUUGAAGGUUCGCUCUAUCCAAAAUAGAUUUGUCAAGAUUUGCUCCUACAAACUCACACCUACAAUCAAAUUCUGCAAUUACGAGCAGCAUCUCCCAGGACAAAAAUAAAGAAAAAGAGGUACAAAAGUACUAAGCCAAUUAACUAAGCACUUGUACCAAACCCAAACACCUCCACCACACUCAUCACUACCAAAAAAGGGAAUAAAAGAGAAGGACAAGAAAGAUUUGGAAGCUUCUUUGUAUUCUUACUCACGCAAAUUUGCAUAAUGGAAUGAAGAAUGAGAAGCUUCAACCUCCUGCGAAGAAUACAUAGGUGUUUUACUACAUGAGAUGUAGCAUUCCAGACAAGAACUUUACAUGAUAUCUCAAAGCAAAUUGAUAGAUAAUUCUGAAAACUGAAGUACUAUCACAAGGUCAAAGAACUAAAUGUAAAACAUACAGCAUAAAAUUGUUAAAUCUGAUAAGAGCUACUGAGAAUCACAGUACAAGAGCCAUACCCCAAAUUUAGCUUUGUGAAGGUUAGCAUGUGAAAAGUUUGUCUUCUCAAGACAGCCACAACUGAAGUCAACCUCUGAUAAGUCAUGUAGCAUAUCGGGAAAAGGUGCAUUUUUGUACAAGCUCAACUUUUUUUUUUUUUGAAAAAGAGGGGUUCCCCUCCGAUUUCUUCUAUUAGAAACCGCUGGUGUUACAGAGUUCAGUCAGCAUCCAAGGUUUUUAAGACGAGCAGCUAUGCUGCACAGGCUCAAACUGGCAAGGUAGAACAAAGGAAAACAACUAGGCUACAACCUCCAUGUGACAACAGGGUGACAAACCACCGUGUCUAAAUGCAGCAGCCCGUUCAAUCAACUUGUCGGGGGAAUGACCCCGGGUAGGGUCAUGACGACACAACUCUAGCCGAGAUAACGGAGACAAGGCCGGCAUAGUUACGUAUGCCGGCAUCACGGAGUACAACUAAUGCUAAGCCGGCACGCCGAGCGUAUGCCGGCAGGGAUAUCUUAUCUUAUGAGUUUGCAGGAUAAGGAUGAGCACGUUGGUCUCGGCAGCAACCGAGAUCCCUCAACGGUCUUAUCCUGAUCCCGCGGUACAAAGUAAAGCAGCGCCAUCAUCACUCCAGGAAAGCGGUCAGCGCCUGCAUGCCGGUGUCAGGUGACCACACUAAAGAGGCACCGAAAGGGAAUCUAUGACGGAAGCCGACAGAAGAUAGCUGUACCCGCUACCGGUUGGCAGGAAAAGUAAAGUGGCCUUGUCCCCCGCGGCGCUGCCUGGAGGGAACCAAGCCGCGUGCCCGGUGAAGCCCAAAGAUGGUGACGUUAGACUCGGCCCACAUGGCAGUGUACCAUGUGCAGCCUAUAAAUAGAACCUUACCUCCCUUUAGGAAAAAGGGGAGAAGGAGAGAGAGCAUUUUAGGGUUUUUCCCCUUUCUUCUUCUUCCUCAAGAAUACAGCUCAAGGAGCACCAUUGUAGAGCUUGCCUAUCUCGGCUAAUACAACAAAGCAGGAGUAGGAGUCUUACCUCGACAAGAGGGCUCCGAACCAGGGUAAAUCGGUGUGUUCCCGUGUGAAUUGUGCGUGUUCUUCUUCACGUCCUCCCUCCUCCGGUUCCUCCAUCGUCCAUCGGCCCCAAGUUAAGCCAUCUUAUGGCAUCUGCCGUGACACCACCACGACACAACUCCUUCCUUCAGAGAAACCAUCAACAAAAGCACAGCACAUUCUGGAAGACAGAUAACAUGUAGCCAUCGCAGCAAAGUUCAGACUUCUAACCGUCGCCGGAGAGGAUGCCAUCCCCUUGACGCCUCGAACACUUCCAUGGCAACUUGCUCAACCAGUCUUGUCCCCCAUUGCAGCAGCCUUCGGUUUGCCUCCUUUACCUGCAGCACAGACCACCGGUUCAGCCAAUAACAUAAGCGUUUUACCACUCCAAACGGAGAAGUUAUCUGUACUUUACGAAAACAAACAUCGUUUCUGGUGUUCCAUAUGACCCAAAGCAGGCCUGCAACUCCAACCAUUACCAACUUCUUCGUGUUCCCAUGAAAACUCAAUAACCAUGUCUCCCACAAUGUGGAAACAGUAGCUGGCAAAUCAGGUAGAUCAAAAGCACAUCGUACCACCCCCCACAAGAAGUGAGCCAGUGGACAGUGCAGAAACAAAUGAUCAAUAGAUUCGUGUUGAUCACAGAAGUGGCAUUGAGUAUUCCCCUUCCACCCUCUGUGUUGCAGCACAUCCUUAGUAAGAAUGCUCCCAUGAGCAAUCAACCAAAGGAAGAUCUUUAUUUUCAAAGGUAUCUUGAUCUUCCACAGAAAUUUCUGAGGGAAAUCUAUGCUCUGCCACAUCAGCUCUCUGUAGAAAGAACUCACAGAGAACACCCCAUUUGGUGUCAAUCGCCACCAAGCUUUAUCUUCAGCCUUAGUGAGCUUUACCCUAUUACAGAAAUUCAGAAUUUGCUGCCAAUCCAGAAACAUAUCCCCCCACAGUGUGCGCCUAAAACAGACUCCCCUCCCCUGCUUUGAAACCACACUAGCAACCGAAACAUUUUUGCUAAAACAAACUUCAUAAAGGACUGGAAAUUGUAAUUUUACAGGUUUGUCGCCAACCCACCAAUCUUCCCAGAAUCUAACUUUUUCCCCAUUACCAAUAAAAAACUUGCACAAGGACAGAAAUUUAUCUUUGAUGUGUAACAAACCACUCCAAAACAUCGAAUCCCCUGCUCUAUGCUUAACACUCCCAAGACACUUGUCACCAAUGUAUCUAGCUUGUAGCAAACGUUGCCACAAACCAGUAUCAUUAAAAAGUUUCCAAACCCAUUUUCCCAGCAGUGCCUGGUUCAUAGUAUCCAAAUCUAAAAUACCCAAACCCCCCUGUUCUUUGAGCAAACACACUUUUUUCCAGGCAACCAGAUGAUAUUUCUUGAUCCCCUCCUCUUCCUGCCAAAGCAUCCUAGCACGAUAGAAGUCAAUUCUCUUACGAACCCCAACAGGAAGCUCGUAGAAAGACAUCAUAUAGAGAGGGAUGCUACUAAGACAUGAGUUAAUAAGGACAUUUCUUCCCCCCACAGAUAAAAUUCUCCCCUGCCAACAACUUAAUCUAUUCUCCACUUUGUUCUCAGUAUUUUUUCCAAUGUUUGUUUCUAAUUCGAACAGCAUCCACUGGGAUACCCAGAUAGGUCAGUGGAAGCUCCCCUUUGCAAGUAAAAAUAUCACAAAAAGUAUGUGAAUUGGUAACAGCCUCUCCAAAACAAUACAAGUCACUCUUGUGAAAGUUAAUUUUCAACCCUGACAUUUGUUCAAAAGCACAUAGAAUGAAUUUGAGAUUCUUUGCACUAUCAAUAUCAUUGGGGAGCAUAAAUAUAGUAUCAUCAGCGUACUUAAGUAUGUUUAUCCCCCCAUCAACUAAUUCAGGAAUAACACCUCGAACUAAUCCAGCUUUUUUUGCAUUGCCCAGCAAGAUAGCCAGGGCAUCUGCAGCGAGAUCAAAGAGCAAGGGAGACAUAGGAUCCCCUUGUCUAAGGCCAGUAAAAGUAGGGAAAUAGGGACCAAAAGAAUCAUUUACUCUAAUGCUCACCUUCCCUCCUCUCAUUAUGUACAUCAUCCAAUCACACCACUUAUCAGGAUAUCCUUUGAGUUUCAGCAUUUGAUACACAAAGGGCCAUUUAAUUUUAUCAUAUGCUUUUUCAAAAUCUACCUUAAAUAAAAUGGCAGAUUUCUUUUUUUUAUGGAUAAAGUUGAGAGCCUCAUGAAGAAUCAUAACUCCUUCCAUAAUGUACCUCCCUUUGAGGAAUGCUGUCUGAGUUUCAGAAACUACAGUACCAACAGUAGGGGUCAUUCUAUUCAUCAACACUUUAGUGAUUAUUUUGAAGCUUACAUUCAAAAGGCAUAUAGGUCUAAACUUCUGAAUUUGCUUAGCAUCUUUACAUUUAGGAACUAAAGUGAUGAUCCCAUAAUUUAGUCUGUCAAUCUGCAGCUUCCCAUUAUAGAAGUCUGUCAGAAGACCAAAUAGAUCAUUUUUGACAAUAUCCCAAUAAACUUGAUAGAAUUCCACUGGAAAACCAUCAGGUCCAGGGGAUUUAUUUUUUUCCAUCUGAAAAACAGCAAUUUUUAACUCCCCCAUGGAAAAAGGAGUAACCAGCUCAGCUGCAUGGUCCUCCUUUAAUUUCAUCCCAUCAGUAAUGUCUAGAGUCAUCUCAGUGUUACUAGAAUGGCCAAAUAAUUUUUUGUAAAAAUCAGUAAUGUACUUCAUCAGCUGAUCUUCCCCUUCAAUCAAUCCCUCCUCUUGUUCCAGAGAAAGAAUUAUAUUCUUCCUCCUUUUGCCAUUGGCUUUAGCAUGAAAAAAAAAUUGUAUUACUGUCCCCCUCUAGUAUUUCUUUUUCUUUAGAUCUUUGCUGCCAUUUUAGUUCCUCCUGUCUCAGCAGCCUACCAUGUUGAAGUUCUAAAGCUUUCUUCUCCUCUCUUUGAGCUAAGGAUAAACAGGCCGAUUCUGCAAUAAUGUCUAAUUCAGCAAUUUUUGCAGAUAAUUCCUUUUUAAGUUUUUUAUACAGGGCAUCUACAUUUCUGUUCCACCCCUUCAGCUUUUUCCUCAAAUUUCGCAAGAUCCACUGCCAUCUAUCUAAAUUGUCCAGGUGAACAGGGGCAGAAGUCCAGAUUUUUUCAAUUAUUUCCUUAACUCCCUCCCUCUCAAACCAACUAGAUUCAAAACGAAAAAUGGGAUCUUUCUUGAGAGCAACCCCUGAGUCAAUCAGGAGAGGUACAUGGUCAGAAAGAACCCUAUCCAUAGCAGAGACAAUAGAAAGAGGAAAUAGGUCCUCCCAGUCAGUGCUCGUUAAAAUCCUAUCCAACUUUUCAAAAGUUGGGUCCAAGUGAUCAUUGGGCCAUCUAUAUUGUCUCCCAUUUAAAGCCAAUUCCCUAAGGCCAGCUUGUUCAAUUAUAGCAUUAAACAAAAAACUCCAUCUAUUAUAUCCUCCAGAUUUAUUUUUUUCAUCUUCUUUUCUGAUAAUAUUAAAAUCCCCUCCCAACAGGAAAGGGUAUUGACUAUCCUGACAAACCUGAGAUAGUUCAGUCAGAAAGUCUUCUUUAUGCUCAACCUGAGCAGCUCCAUAAACCACCACUAAAUUCCAUCUAGAAUCAUUUGUUUUGUCAUAUAAAAGCAAUCUAACAAAAUGGUCUCCAUUUUGUUGUUCAACAAUAUCAAAAAUAGAAUCUCUAAUCCCUACAAGUAUACCACCAGAUCUGCCCUUAGAUGGAGACCAUUUCCAUGAAAAUUGGCCACCACCACCCAAGUUGGAUAACUCUGCAUUAGAUACAAGCUCAACUGCAAGUUGCCUGGAGGUAUUUAACCACACAAGGGACAUAAAACUAGCCACUGUGAGCUUACAAGCUUAGACAGGUUAAGGCCGGAGAGAUUCACGCCGCGGAAUCUGACUUUCUCAGUCUGAAUGCACUUGAUCACAUCCUUCCGAGUUAGUUCGGCGCCCAACGAUUCCUCCACCUUCUCCUCCGCGAUCCGCUCUUUGAUGUAAUCGAUCAACCCCUAAAAUACCAACUCAAUGUCAGAUGGUUGGACAGUCUAUAAACUCCUAGGACAGGAGAGCAUGACGCAAGGCCCAUCCAUACGUGCAUCCGGUAGUACUCCGCCUCCCGAAGCAGCCGCUGGUACUCAUUCGCCGCGAGCAUGGGGACGGCACCGUCCCUGAGCCAGUUGAGCACGUGCCGGAACUGCUUCCCGUCACGGUCCACAAACGCCGCCCCGUCCUGCAAACGCCACACGAUUGGUUCAUGAGACGCGGGCCGCGGGCAAGGCAGGCGGAAACAAGACACAAGCGAGAGAUGUGAUGAAAUACGUUGGAGGGGAGACGGCGCGUUCCGCCGGCGAAGAUGGCGGCGAGGAGCGAGCCGGGCUCCCGCUGCGUGAGCGUGUCCACCGUGGCUGCGUACUCGCUGCCCCCUGCACCGCGCAAUCACAUCGCACAAAAUCGGCAAGCGUGAGGUGAGCCCGUGAUCGCGACCAUUCGCCAUUAGAAGAGCGGGGAGGAGUCCAUCGAAUUUUGGAACCGAAUCGAAUGGAAUCGAAUGGAGGAUAAAAUUAGUACGAAGCAUUGGGAGGGAAGCGGACUGACCGAUGUUGAGAAGGACCGGUUGCUGCAUCGCGGCGCGUGGGCUCCGCAUCUCGGCCUUUUCCGGCUUUCUUCUCGGCGAGGCGAGGGGGGGAAGAGGAGGCGCCUCCUGUGCCGCGCGGUGUGGUGGACUCGGCCCCUCCGCGCCCGAGCCGGCCAAGCAUAACCCUUGGAUGGGGGGGGACUGGGGACGCGCAAAGCCCAACUUCGAAAUCCUCCACAGCCGCUUCGAUUUAAGAGAUUUUCGAGAUUUUUUUUGUGAAUUUGGGACUAUUUUUGGUGAAUUUUUUACAUCUGACUUUUUUUAUGGAUUUUUUACGUCUAACUUUGAUCGGAGUUUCUCCAAAGGAAUCCUUCUGCGCGGUUCCAUACAAAAUUUAUAUUAACUCAAAGCUCUUCCGUCAGGCCUCCGGUUACUCUAAAAAAAAAACUCAAAGCUCUUGGGAAUGCUUCUUUGUUUUAUCUAUACAACUAAAUAAACUUUAUUCAAAUCGAAUGACAUACCAGUAGAAGCCAAGUGGGCAUGAUAUUCCGGUCUUGUAUUUCUUUUUCACGUGUUUCGGCUUUCCAGGAUCUUUUGUAAAGCAUGAUUCUUAAAAAUGCGGGAGUAAGAAAAACAAGAUAAUCAAUCCUGAAAUUCCAGACAUGGCUUCUGUGUGCUCCUUGAGGAAUUUUGCAAUAAUUUAAACAAAGUAGAUGCAUAAUGCACACACAAAAAAAUACUGAAAAUAUACAAACAUGAACUUGUUCUCCGCUAGAACCUUGCAUUAGAUCUCCUUCACCUGACAUUUCCCACCAUGAUUCCUAGUGCAUCCUGGUUCACCGGUUUCUCCGAGAAUAACUUCUCGAUCCCCUGCGGCAGACUGUCACUUCCUUACUCCCGAACAAUUUUCCAACUUUUAUGCCCUUCUUCUCCGCCUCCGACAGCUUCAACUUCCUUCAGCCGUCAUCAAGUCGCAUGAUAUCUUGUCGAGCACCAAGAAUGAAUCGUGGUUUUAAUGAGAUGUAUUACGAUCAUGUAAUCACCGAGAAAUUAGCAAAGUGAAGAUUAGAAUUUGCAUUGUUGCUAUCCUGCUGUUAGAGGCUAACGUCAAGGUGCAUAACUCAAAUGCACUAAGAGCAUGUGCAAUGCAAGAUGCUAAGACAGGUGCUUACGAAAAUAAACCAAACAUUUUUUUAAGCACCAGUGCUUAUUUGUAUAGAGGAGGUGUCAAGUUAGGCAUCUGCUUAGUCUAAAUAAGCAUCAGUGCUUAACAAAAACCGGUUAAUUUUUCUAAGCACCCACCUAGACAUCUUGCAUUGUACAUGCUCUAAGAAAACAAAAGUGGACAUGCUCUAAGCACUACCCCUCAACGGAGGGACCGUAAGUCGUAACCACGAUCACAAAGGACCCAACCUUGAGCUCCAGGAAAACACUAGCGUCGAGGAAUGCGUUCUUGGCCUAAUUAGGUGGUUAAACUUUUUCUAAGUUUUUUUUCCUGAAACAUUUUUUAAAUACAGUACUCUUGGCUCCAGGGAAACAUUUUUUAAACACUCUUCGGUAAAAGUUUUGACCUGAAGUUCUUUUAAGCUAAAUAAAAAGAUUGAUACAGCAUACUCCCUCCGUUCCAUAAUUCUUGUCGAAAUAUUACAUGUAUCUAAACGCUUUUUAGAAAUAAAUACAUUUAUUUUUAAAUAAGUUUAAGACGAGAAUUAUGAAACAGAGCUGCAGUAGUGCUGACCGGGACGGACGGACGGUGAAACAGAGCGUUCACACACAUGAACCGAAACCCACGGAUCGGUUCGAGUCGAAGCCCUGGUUCGGGUUCAAGAUCCCUGCGGUGCCAGUUCUCUCGGGCAGAAAACCCCAAUCCCCCCAAAGCCCCAGUUCCGCCCCACCAUGGAUUCCAUCGGCGCCGACGAGAAGCGCAAGGGCAAGGCCCCUCUCCUGCAGGCGGACGACGUGGCUUCCGCGGCGGCGGCAAAGGCGGCGCCGGAGGAGGAGGAGGAGGCGGUGUCGAUGGCCGAAGCGAAGCGCUCGUCGUCUUCGGAGGUGAAGGAGCGGGAGGAGAAGCCGAUGCUGGUGCUGCUGGCGCAGGACGGCGUGGAAGUGCGUAUCUCGGAGCCGGCGGCGAGGAUGUCGCAGAUGCUCCGCCACAUGAUCGAGGACUGCUGCGCUGGCUACCGCAUCCCCACCCCCGACGUCUACUCCGACGUGCUCGAGAGGGUCGUCCAUUACUGCGAGAAGCACGGGCCGUACUACGAUCCUCAGGCCUCAGAGCGCGACCGGCACCCCUUCCCGCCCUUCCCCGUCGAGCUCACCCCUGCCGUCUCGUCCAUCAAGCCCGUCACGGCCUCAAGGCCUGGGACAAGGAGUUCAUCAACCUCGACAACUCCACCAUCUUCGAGAUCACGCUGGUAAAGAAACCAAACACCAUUUCCCUACUUUCUUGCUUUAUCUUCUACGCCAAGUAAGAACAUCUGAACAUGGCAUGGAUUUGUAUGUCUGGUAUGUGAACAUGAGGGAUAUUAUGCGCAAUUAGGGGUGAUUUCAUAAGUUCAAUUGGGUUGGCUCGCUGAUCGAUCGCCCUCCUGCUUCCUUAUACGUUGUCUUUAUGGCUCCCUGCAACGGUUUCCCAGCCAUAAGUUCAAUUGGGUUGGCCGUCAUUGUAAUUCCAUAGAUCAUGAUUUAGCCCAGUAUGCUAGGGAGGUGGGAGUAGAUGGCAUUCGUACUGGUUCUUUGCCACGACCAGUGCAGACAGGGCAUGUACAAGCAUGUAACCUGGUUAAUUUGCUUAAUAUAUGAAUGCCUUUUUCCCGUAAAAAAAUUAGGGGUGAUUUGGUGUGGUGGGGUUUGUGCAGGCAGCAAACUACCUGAACAUCCAGGACCUGCUGGACCUGUGCACCACAACGCUGGCGGACAAGAUGAGAGGGAAGACUCCGGAGGAGAUCCGCGAAAUCUUUGAGAUUGAGAACGACUACACACCACCGCAAGAGGCUGAAGUCAGGAGGGAGAACUCAUGGGCCUUCGAGGACUAACAGAUGCUUGCUAUUCUAGGUUGCAAAUACAAAUCAUUACCUUCAGGUCGGUUCAACGAGUCAACAUUGAGUAGGCAGUUCCGUCAAAAAAAACAUUGAGUAGGCAGAUAGAUAGACCCAUGAGUUGGUGAAGACAUUGUUGUGUACCACAAAGUUUUGGUGCAAAUUAUGGAUGCUUGGGUGGGUGAUUUUAAAGUGGUUGAAUUUGGAAGAACUUUAGUUGCAACUUGUGUUCAGUAAGUUGUUCGUACCAAUUUCACAUUUUUUUCAGUCAAGUUUUUUUGCUAGUUCAUAUACUGGAGAACUUAGCAUGCUAAUUGCAACAUAUUUGUUCGGAUGCAUUAUAAACAGUUGUAUUCGCAUGCUUGCCUUUACCUGCCUAUCUGCUGUGUAGUGAGAAUAUGUGAUGUUGUUGGGUCCUUCAUCAGUGUUGGCACAAUUGCGUAAAAGAUGGAUGUUUAUUCCUGUCUGUUUGCUCUGAAUAGAAAACUAGAAAAUUCUCACCUUCAAGUUGAUAGAUGAGUCGGAGAAAACUGCAGAUGGUACGAAUUACGCUUGUUCUGUAUACGGCAUGUUUUCAUGUAAAUGCGGAUGGGUGUCUCCCGUGUUCUUGAAAUGGUUUUAUCACCAGACUUUUAUUGAUAAAGCUAAUUGCACAUUUGCUUUCAGUUACUCCCAUUUGUAAUUUGUAAAUACUUGUCAGUUUUGAGCAAACCAUUAUGACAGGAAAUUGUGUUGCCAAUUAUCACCAGACUUAGCAUGCUAAUUGCAAAUUUGUUGUUGGGUUGCAUUUUAGUAGUUGUGUUUGCGUGCUUUCCUUUUCCUGCCGCUUUGUAGUGAGAAUCUGUGAUGCUGUUGGGUGCUUCAUCAGCGUUUGACACAAUCGUGUAAAGGAUGGAUGUUUAUUCCUGUUUGUGUCCUUUGUUCUGAAUACAAAACUGGAAAUUCUCAUUUUUCAAGUUGACAGACAAGUCGGAGAAAACUGAAACGUGGAUGGGUGCCCCCCGUUUCUUAAAAUGGGUUUUAUCACCAGAAUUUGAUUGAUAAAGCUAAUUGCACGUUUGCUUUCAGUUACUCCCAUAAACCAUUGUGACAGGACAUUGUGUUUUGGACAAAACUGGAUUGAAAGGACAUUGCUAGUAUAUGAACCAACUGGAUGGUAAUAGGUACAAGUGUCAAGUAUCCGUGACCAAACUGGAUUUGGUGUUUGUUUAAUGUAGUGUUGGUAUUUUUGAACUUGGCUCGGUUCUAUCUAGUUCAUGCCAUCAUGUAUAGGAUUUGCAUAGAAGUGUACAAUUUGCUUCUAUUGCUUGGGCGCGAGCUGCCUAUAUAACCUUGGAAGAUGCAUGUGAAAUAAUGCAGGUGACAGCAGGUAACAUUUUUCCUUUCUGAAAACUUUUUAGUGGUAUAUGGUAUUACACGUUACUGUAAAUUUAUUUGUGCCAUGCACAGAGAAGUGAAAACUAAAGCUAGUAGUUGCGGCGCAAUCCCGGGAAAGCAAAUCGAUUUAGGGCCAGUUCGGUUAUGCCAUUCCCGGUGGGGAUUGACAGGGAAUGAACAAAUUUCAGCUCAAUUUCCCUUUGAUCCCCCUCAAUCCCUUAGUGGGGGCAAUUUGACGCCUCAAGCAUUCUGUGUCAUGGACUAGCACGAUUGUGAGUCAACUGAAGCAUGUUCAUUAGCUUGCUGAGCCAUGUCAGAGCAGAGCAAUAAAAAAAGCGACCAAACAUGAAGAGCUGCAGUUUGCAGGGGAAGAAGAAGAAGAUAACAAGAACUCUAGGCAAUCAGAUAGACCAUGGCGCUGCAGCUGCAAGGCACACACAGGCGUUCACAUGAACCAUGAUGACCGCAGGACCAGGGCCGGCGUGCGCUUCUCCCCCUCCAUGACGUACACGAGGCCUGGCUGCAGCUUGCCGCCCCUGCCGAGGUUGAAGCUGAGGAACCCUUCGAGGUGCGGGCGGUGCUCUUCCCCAUCUGCCGUGCCGCCCAUUCUCACGCCCCACCCGAGCUCGUGCUCCGGGGUGUUGGACAGGCUGCAGCCCCAGCGCACCGGGACAUGGCCGGAUCGCCGUUCGAUCUCAACCCACCCUUGUGCUCUCAUGGCUUCGAAGAGUUCACAGUCCACCAUCGCCGCGACCGACUGUACAGACUGGGUCUCCGGUCCGCGUGGUGCAGGAUCAGUCUGCGCCAUCAUAGCCACGGGAGCAAUUAGAGAAGGAAUGCCGGGUCCUUGUACCAUUAUGCUUGAUCCCUGAUGAGUCGUCGUAGAAGCAUUUCUCUGCGGUUUUAGGCUGCCAAGGGGAACGGCAAGCGUCCCGAGGUUGUUGAACCGGGAUGACAGCGGGCAGAUCUGCCAUAGCCCCGACAAGCUGAGCUUGACAUCUUCCGCCGGUUCGUAGCACAGCUGCCCAAACGUUGUCAUUCGGUUGGCCACCCCAUGGUCGCCGUCCUGUGCUCCUGAACCGAAGACAAGCUCAGCCAGCGACGCGGUGAACUUGGAUCCCCUGAUGCUCAAAGCGGCGGCACAGUUGUGUUGUUCAGAGAAGGAAGGCGGCCCGUCGAGAGAGGCCUGGCUUGGCAGAUUCUGCCAAGAAAAUCUCAUCAGAAAAAAGCUCAUCCAACUCCGCUAGGCUCCAACGGAUGCGAUGGUCUCUGGCGAAGUCACGGAACACACGUUACCUGGAUCAAGCUCAAGCCGUGCAAAAAGCCGUUGCACUGAGCUCCGAACGGAACCAGGAUCAUGGAGAGCCAGUCGUUGACGUGGGCGCAGUACUGCAGCCUGGUCAGCUCCAGGGGCCUCCCGUCGUCCUCCUCCGCCUCGAGGCUCAUCACCCCUGUCCCGCGCCUGGUGGAGAACUCUGCCGCGAUGGUGUCCUUGCCCCUGGUCUUGGACUCGAGGACGAACCUGGAGCUGAGGCCCGUCCUGUUCCCGGCCACGCCGAGGAUCUGCCUCGCGUGGUUGAACUCGUCGCCGUCGACGAGGAACAGCGCCCCGACAGCUUCCAGCACCACCUUGGCCCGGACGGGGAGGUCCGGGAAGUGGAACCCCAUGCCGUUCUUGUACAUGGACACGAUGCGGUCGAUCUGCUCGUGCCUGUCCAUGAGCCUCAUCACGUCCGGGAACGUCUCCCGCUGCAGCCGCUUCAUGAUGUCACCCUACAUACAGCCAGAGCGAGGACAGUUUUAUUUGACGAUGCCGGUCUACGAUAAGGUGUGCAAGGAAAGGCUUACAGGGCUGUGGUGCUGCUGCGAGUGCGGCAGCGGUGGCCGAGGAGGAGACGCGUGGCCGGAGCUGCCCCGGAAAGCGCCACGGAGGAAGGCCUCGCCGGACCGGAGCAGGCCCAGGACGCCGUCGACGACCGUGCAGCUCGGAAUGGGCCUGGGCUCCGGCGGCACCGGUAGUACCGCGUGCGUCGGCUCCGGUGGCGGUGGCGGCUGCAGAAGGAGCGGAGGCGGCGGCCGGGCGCGGUCGGUGGAGGCCAUGCCGCUCGCCUGCCGCUGACGCUGACGCUUCCUGAGGGCCACGUCACAGGUGGAUAUCCGCUCGAAGAAACCAAGUGGCGGCGCGUCAGGCUCCUGCUGCGGCGCCAUCUUGGUCCGCGCAGUUCGCGCACAAGAAGGCAGCCUCUGCUCUGCUCGGGGGGACAGAGCGUCGCUUAGAUCGAUCGUUUCGCGCCCUUUUUCUUUCCUUCACGGCGCCUUAUUCCUGUUCACCUUUCCCUUUUGUUGCUUUAGCUUUCGCUUUUCCUUUUUUUUUUGUGUUCACUGUUUUUUGUUCUUGCCUCGCUUUGGCCUUGCCGACGAUGUAAGACAAGAUCCCGAUGGCGUGCAUCGUCGGGAAGACAAAAGUGAGCUGUUGCAGCACGGUGCACACCAAUUAGUAGAACCGAUGUAUGGUCUUCCAUUGAACACAAUGCAGCGAGGCGAUUGUACGCGGUCAUUAGCUCGUCGUCGCCGGCAGACCCAAGUCUAGCCUCUAGGCGAGGACAACGGGCGAGAGCUUCGCUAGCAGCGAUCGCGGUGAUGAAAUCCCCGAUCUGUGGCUCGUCAGACAAAACAACGACAAUAAUUUAGCAUUGGAUGAAUAUUUUUUAAUUCACGAUCAAAGACGAUUCUACAUAUUCAAAAAAGAGAGAGACGAUUCUACAUUGGAUAACACAAAUGCUCGAGUGAGUGUAAAGUGGUCGGUUGAACAUUCAGGGAGUGUUCGGAAGUGGCCUGGCUUCCGGCUUCCCAAAAAUCCAUCCUGGAGCAACGCCGAACACCACGAAGCUAAAUCUGGGAAGCCAACUCAAUUCUAUGUGGAAAACUCGGAGCACCUCUUUUCAGGAUUCCGAUUUGCAAAACACAGAGCGGCGCAAAAUUACAGGCACGUGCCACCGCCAAGUGAGAAAACGAUUCGUUUGUCGUCCUGAUUCCUUCUGUCCUGAGUCCCGACCUCUUCCUCCCUCGUCACAAUCCCCUUCUGCUGCCUGCGCCUCCACCAGUACGCGAAGACGGGCGCGAGGCUGGCCUUGGUGGCGAGGAUGGACGGAAGCCUGCGGGGAUCUCAGCUCGCCCGACGUGCUCGUCCUUCCCGGCGACGUUGCCGAACCGGAGGCUUGCGAUUUGAAGGCGUUCGUCCAGGCCACAGUUGAGCGCUUCAGGCCUUCGGCUGAGAUAUGGUACGAUAAACCGCCAGCAGCGCCUCCUCCUCCCACUAUCUCCGGUGUCCUCUGACCCCGCUCUCCGGCGUCCUCCUCUGCCCCGUUCUUCGGCGAAGGCAGCCGCUCCACUGGUAUCCAUCUGCUGCCUCACCCCAUCCGUCCGCCUCCGCCGCCGCAUCAUAUCGAAGCGCAUGCCGGGUGUACGGCGGCCUCCUCCUCCAUGUUCUCCGGCGGCCUCCUCCUCCUCCCAUGUUCUCCGGGGCCUCUUCUCCCCUCCGUUCUCUGACAGGCAGAUCACUGGAGCUCUUCGUCGCGCACGAGAUAAGUCUGCCUGCGCAGCGCCGAAUGGAAGCCUGGAAGGCCCUUCCUUAGCAGGCCGGCCCAGGAAAAAUGGGGCUUUCGGCCCACGCAAACUCAGGAGCGGCGACGAACGUUUGGUGCUUCGAUCAGGACGGUGGAAUCGCUGUGCGAAGCUGGAUCGAAGGAGUUUCGGGAAGCUAGGCUAUUUCCGAACACACCCUCAAUCACCCAUGUAACUUAGCAUUGGAAAAAGUGUUUCCUAAUAAGGCAAUAAUCUCUCUCCUUGAACAUUUAUAUGCUAAAGUAUAAGCACCUUGUACAUGUUCUUUCACCGAAUUUACUUUUACCUUCAAUAUAUUUUUCUUAACCAAAGUCCAUCAUGCAUCCGUUUCUUUGCACACACGGGUCACCUGUAUUUUCCAUUCCUUUGAUGGGAUCAACAGGCUGAUCAAUUUUAACCUCCAUUUUAUAAAAAAACAAGAUUAUCGAUGGUUCACGCCCUUCCUGCUGCAUGGCCCCACUUGGUGAUCCGGAUGGCCAAUCCCAAAAUAAGUGUCGCAAUUUUGGGACAUACAAUUUUGGCUAUGCAUUUGAACUAAUUGAUGCCAUUGCACAUGUUAUGCUAGAUUCUAUAGUUAGAUUUACAUCGUUAGAUUUACAUCAUAGAUCAGACAUCUUGCUUCCUCAACCGGGAGGACAAUUUUGAUCUAGUAAUUUACUGCUUUAUGUUUCAGUCAUCAUUUUUCCUUGUGUGAACAGAAGAAUUAUGCUUCUUGAAAUGUAGUGUUUGCGAACUUUUGAUAGUGGAAUAUUUCAAACAUUCAGCAACAUAAUCCUUAUGCGGUAUUUACAACCUCGUAGUCACACAAUUAGCUGGAUAGUUCCUGUAUUUCUAAAGCAUUUCCAUGGCAACCAGUGAAGCAUCUUCUAAUUUAUACAACAAAAAAAAAUUCAUAUACAAAAUGAUGAAAAAAAAUCUUUUUUUUAGAUAAUGGAGACAUGCUCCCGAUUUCAUUUAAGAAACCGUGUCGGUCCACAAUUCAGCAGUUGUUCAACAGAAAGAUUAAAACACAGUCAUGACACACGCCCAGUCUGUGGAACUACGAGAUACAUAGCAAAACAAGGAUCACCAGGAAUUAACUGCUACUGGAAUUAAAACUCUGCAAAUACUCUGCAGAAAGGAAAACUUCUCGUUGCUCAAGGCGCCGCAACGCCCCCACCCAUGAGCAUUGUUCAUAGUGUCAACAACCACCUCCUUAAGGACCAUCGCGAUGUGCAGUAGGAGUUGCCUGAGCUUAUGCUUCUGAGCCCCGCCCAAAAUUCCAACCAAUGGCAAAGAAAAAGAACCAGGUUAGCAGGAUCUUUAAGCAAAAUUCCUUGAAAGCAAGUAGUGUUUCGAUCUCUCCACACGGACCAACAUAGAGCAGCCAUACUUAUUGCUACACUAGCUCUAACAGGAAGACGAAAACCAAAAAUCCAAGCGUGCAGAUGUUGCAUAGAAACAUGACGCUACCUAAUACCGAAAGCACAGCUGAUUGUAAUCAAACGAAUCUAGUGACCUGACAAUCAAGAAAGAGGUGAUCGAUGCUCUCUACUUGUCCAAAAAAAAACACAUUCUUUUGGACCUUUCCAGCCUCUAUGAAGAAGAACAUCCCUAGUCAAGAUACUUUUCUUAUUUAUCAACCACAUGAAUACUUCAAUCAUCAAUGGCAUUUUAAACUUCCAGAACUGCCUACAAGAAAUCCUAAUCCUAUGUGUAACUAGAGCAUUGUAAAAGGAUUGAACCGAAAAAACACCAUUCUUCUCUAAUAGCCAUUUACACCUAUCAUCAUCAUUGGUGAGCUAUAGUGAAGCAAGUACUUUUUAAAUCAUGCCACAUCAAGUAUGUAUCAGAAUUAAAGUUCCUACGAAAAGAAAGACUUUGCAAAUUACUAUUAAUAGCAUCAUAGACAUUGAUGUCCUGAUUCAUAGAAACGCUGAACAAUCCAGGAUAUCUAUUCUGUAAAAUAGAAUCUCCUAGCCAAAUAUCUUUCCAAACCUAGUUCUUUUGAUGUUCCCUAUCUUUUUAGUGCAAAACUUAGAAAAUAACUCUUUAAUUUGCAUCAGCCCAUUCCAAAACUGGGAUUGCCCUUACUUCCUGUCACAUUGACCUAAAGUGCCUUUCUUCAGGUACUUAGCUCUUAACAGGCGCUGCCAGAGACCAUCCUCAUGUUCACGUCUCCAAAUCCAUUUACCCAAAUAACUAAUAUUCUUAAUAGUUAAGUCAACAAUCCCCAAACUACCUUGUUCUUUGGGCUGGCACACAUCCGGCCAGCUCACAAGGUGAUACUUUUUCAUCCCCUGAUCUUCUUCCACAAUAGUCUGGAUCUAAAAUGAUCUAUACGUUUCUUAACCCCCUUAGGCAGAACAUAUAGAGUGACGUCGAUAUCAUAUAAGAAGGGACAUGAGUUAAACUAGAGUUUAAAAGAGUCAAACGACCACUAGAAGACGAAGUUUUCCUUUCCAACACCCUAAUUUCUUUUCCACCUUUCCUAUAAUAUCUUUCCGGUCAGCAUUACUUAAGCUUUGAUUGUGCACAGGAACUCCAAGAUAUUUAAAAGGAACUGUACCAAUUUUGCAAGUAAAGAUCUAUGCCAGGGCCUCACUAUUGUGUACUCCAUUACCAAAACAGUACACUUCGCUUUUAUGAAAAUUAAUCUUCAACCCAGUUAUAUGUUCAAAAAUGCAGAGUAAAAACUUGAGAUUCCUAGCCCCUUCUAAAUCCCGAUCAAACAGGAAUAUAGUAUAUGUCAUCAACGUAUUGAAGCAUACUCAGACCACCUGGGACUAAAUCAGGGAUCAACCCCUUGAUCAGCCCUUGAUUCUGAGCUCUCUUAAGCAAGACAUUAAGGACAUCUACUACUAGAUUAAACAACAGAGGGAAAGGAUCCCCCUGCCUGAGGUCUUUCUUAGUCUUAAAAUAAGGGCCCAACAUGUCAUUUACUACUAUAUCCACACUACCCCCAGUCACAACCUGCAUGACCAUGUCAAUAAAUUUCUUUGGAAAUACUUUCAUUUGCAAAACAUUAAGAAGAUAGUUCCAACUAACUUUGUCGUACGCCUUCUCAAAAUCAACCUUAAAGAGAACAACAUCAGCAUGGGUCCUAUUGACUUCAUGCAAAGUUCCGUGCGAUAAAACUACAUCAUCCAAAAUAAAUCUCCUCUUGAUGAAUGCCGAUUGCACUUCAUCUAUUGCUUUAUUAGCCACUAACAUAGCUUUGUAAUUCAUGGUUUUAGUGAAAUUCUUCAAAAGAGUAUUGGACAGGUAGAUAGGCAUAUACUUUUAGAUCCUACCAGCAUCCUGUCCCUUAGGUAAAAGAGUAAUGUUGCCAUAGUUAAUCCUAUCAAUGUUUAGCUUCCCUCUAUGAAAAAGCUUAAAAAGAUGCAUCAAAUCGACUUUAACUGUUAGAGCUCGGGUCUCCGGCACCGGGGAUGUCGGACACCCCUUUUUUGUUCGGUGGAGGGCGAGGAGAUCGCUCCGGCGAUUGCCGGCGUGACCAAAGACACGAAGUGUCGACAGCUAGGUUUUCCAAGGUUCGGGCCUCCCAGAGGUGUAACACCCUACGUCCUGCUUUUAGUUGUAUUCACGAGUAAGAGUGCUUUACAGAUCGCCCGGGGGGUUCCCGGGUUGAUUACUUGUCCCUCUAAGGAACUCUGCUAUUCGGGUGAAUGCAAUGCUACUUGCUGUUGACUAAAGUUGGGAACCCUUUGACCGGUGGCAUUGGUCCUCCUUUUAUAGGCAAGGGGAUACCACAUGUGCCCACACAUGCAGCGUGACACGUUCCCAUCCGCGUGUCACCGCCACAAGCUUCUCCUUACUGUUGAUCCACGCUGGGCGUCAUGCAGCGCCCAGGCCACAGUGCACGGUAAAUAAAAUGAACUAUAGGGUAACCGCUCUAGUCUUGCUGAGCAAGACUAGACCUGCUGACAUGACCCCUGUCGGUGCAUUAAAUGCACUGCAUCCGCUGUCUCGUCCUGUCUUCACUGUUCUGCGGGCCCCACUUGCAGGCCCGGGCGUUGGUUGUUGGGAGCCCCUUCCCGGUGAGAGCGCCCAACCCGUUGCCGGGGCAGUAAGCUUUCCCACUUCCCGGGAUCAGGCUUCCGGAUACCCGCCGAAGCGGGCGUUUCUCCUGUUAUGGUUCUUGACUUUGUCUUCGCCAAUGACUGUCUCUUUGGGGUGAGCCUCCCGGGUCUAUCCUUCCCGGGAGGCCAACCUGACGGGGUUUCGUCAGUUGCGACCCAUGCGUCCCGUAUCAGUGGGACCCCACGGGCCACUGGUACGACAGUAGCCCCCGGGCGUGGGUCGGCAACCUUGAGCCCCCGGGUAGUGUUGUCCUUGGUCGGUUGCUGGGCUACGCUCUAUUCGACGCGUGGAUCCCAGGAGAGUGUCCCGGUCCCCGGCCCCGUGAGUCGCAUCUCUAGUUCCACUCUUCCGAGCGAAACGGUCGGGCGUACGAUCUCUUGCCUUAUCCCCCAUAAUUACCAAGAAGUUAAGGCCACGUCGCACACCCCCAUCUUAAUUCCCGAUAGUUUAGGGCACUUUAUUGUUGAUCGUGGGGGUGUCCGUUGCAUCCCGCCAGCCCCCGAUAAAUACCCAAGGCUGGCGGCGGGCACCCCCCACUAUUCCCGGCUUCCGCCAUUGCCUCCCAAGCUUUCUGUGCCCCAACUCUAGCCAAGCUCACUCCCUACUCCCGCCAAUAUCUUCCCAGGGCCAGAGCCGAUCCAAGGGGAGCACCAGCAAGGGAGAGAAGGCCAGCAAGAAGGAGCUCUCGGAACGAGCGCGGAAGCAUGAGGAGAUGCGAGCCAAGUUCGUCUUCUUCUCCCCCGGGUACAACGGCGAGGGGGUGGAGAAGAUGGCCUUGGCGCUCGCCACCAAGCACAAUGAGUACGGGCCGAUGCGAGUUCUUCCCGUCGGCGCGGAGCGCGACCCGCAGUACUUCUGGGUAUUUGGAAGGUUCAUCCUAGCCGGGUUCGUGCCGCCGCAUUCCUUCUUUCUUUCUGCCAUCAUGGAGUCGUAUGGGCUCAUCAUGUCUCAGGUUCACCCCACGUCAUUCUUCACAUUGGCUGUCUUCCAACACCUCUGUGAAGCAUUCGUGGGGGUGAUGCCGUCGGUGGCUCUGUUUCGCCACUACUACUACCCGAGGACGGAGGCGAAGGUUCCCCUGUCCUCGGGAGUGGUGUUCCGAUUCCGCGACAAGCUCAAGUCAGAGUUCAUCCAGCUGGGGAAGAAGAAGAUUGAGAACGAGUGGCGCCGCGACUGGUGUUGGAUGCACGCCGAUGAGCUCCAGGACUUCCAUGAGGAGCCCCUCGGGCCCCCAAAGGGCUCCGGGAACUGGACGCUCCGCGACCCGAAGGAUGAGGAGCUGGCCCCGAUCUGUGCCAAGAUCAAGGCGCUCCGUGAUGUCGGGCUCACGGACACGGACGUGGCGUGCCACUUCAUCGGGAGGCGCGGGGCUCCCCUGCAGCGGCGCUCACAUGCGGCAUGGAUGUACACCGGGCCGAACGACCGGACCCGGCUGCAGCUUAAAGAACUCAUGCCAGACGAGAUCCAAUUCUGGGUGAGAGGCAUCACCGGCGAGGACGAAACCUUCCGGCAGCUGCCACUUGGAACGCACGCGCUCCACGUCGAGAUCCCGAACCUGGGAGCUCGGGAUCUCCCACUCUGCGAUGAGUGGGGGGUCAUGGAAGACCCCUCAUCAUAGCCCUCCCCCCCACCCUCGCAACCCACGUCUCGCACCGGCAAGGAGCCGGUUGCUAAGUCGGGGAGGGUGGUCAGGACCGGGGCUCCGCCAGGCCAGAGGAGUCAGACUCCGAUGAUUCCUCGUUGGGGGUCAGAGGAGACUCCGACGACGACGACGAUGAAGCUCCCCCGGAAGCUGGCGGGGUCGCGCCGGAGAAGGACAACGAUGAAGAUGAUGUCCCCCUAGUGAGGCGGUCUGAUAUCGACAUGCUAACCAUGGAUACGACCUUUGGUACCCUCAAUUCUAUAAUAUUUGACAAGAUUUAUAAUCAGGUGAAUGCAAGUAGUAAUUGUUUUCAUUGUCAUAUUUAUGAAGAGGCGGAGCUACUACUAUCUUGUCUUGUUUUAUUACGUAGGCAUCUUGUCGAGCUUUUCAAGUCCAAGGUCAAGAUGAGAUACGAUGGAGCGAACGGGAGGGCCAACAAGAAUCAAGCAUUCAUACAGCUGAGAGGGAAGGAUUUCAAGUGUACUUUCCAACAAAUCAAACGGCACAUGAUUCGGAGCUUGCUAGAGAAAGAUAUCACGAAUUAAAGUUGAAUCCGAUUCGGGUCCGAGCUGCCAGGAGACCCGAAUUUGUUUUAAUCACCCAGGCCGCAUCCGGAGUCCAAAUCAAGCAAACAAGUACUUGUUGGAAAGAUAAUUACAAGACCUUUCCAACGGAUCUGGCCCCAUCAAGAGAUUCGACUCGCGCUGACCUUGACGGACAAAACAAGCUGACGGAUCUCUUUUUCUGUUUUCUAAAGAGUUGUAGUUUGUUAGGAAAGUUAGAGAUAGAGUUGGAUUUCGGCCUCCUUACUCAAGGUGGACGAAAAUAUCUCUCCCUCCUCCUUUAUAUACCUCAUGAGCCCCCCCUAAGGAGCCUUGGGUUUUGAUUAGAUAAAGUUUAGCCAUCUUUGCUACUUUCAUGUAAUCGCGUGUGUCGGUUAGACCACCUGUUUUACCGUCGUCAAGACUCCAACUUAUCGUCUCGUUGAGACAUUGGUUUGAUAUAGUAUAUUCGCAAUUUUAGAUUGCAUCUGCUAUUUAUCUUGUUCUUGCUUGUUCUUCGAUUGCUUGCAGGAACAAAGACCUUCGUGGUCAGGUUGAUCGUGCCCCCGCGUGAUCAAUAACCCUCUGGAGUUGGUGUAUCGAUUGCUAAGGCGCUGCCUCCUAGGCCGUAGUCGGAUCGUCAACGUCACCUCCUGCCCAAAUCGAGAGUUAUCAAUCUCAUUGAAAGAUCGGGCCACCCCGACCCGCAUCACGUGGUAUCAGAGCUUAAGGUUGCUCGGUGAGAUUUUUCUAGUUUAUCCGUAGUUUAGAUCUGUUUUUACCUAUCGUCCAGAAAAAGCCAAACAAAAAUUAGAAUUAGUUACCUUGUCCUAGAACCAAUCUGAGCCUUGCAAUUUUCACAUUAGUAUUUGCAUUGUUGAAUCUUUGCUGCAUUAAUCGUGUCGAGUUGCUGGAUUAGAUUGGAUCGUUUUUCAGAUUUUUUCUACUAGAUCGAACUUGGUUUUGGUUUUCUUGUUCUUCGUGUGACGCAGGUUUCCUUCAUCAAUCUUCCACCGCCAAACUUCCUGCCACACCACCGCCAUAAUCUCCCGCCGCCACCAUAUCUUCCACCGAGUCCCUCUUCGAGUCCUACACCGAGUCCCUCUUGGAGUCCUACACCGAGUCCCUGUUUGAGUCCUACACCGAGUCCCUCGGCAAGUCCUACACUGUGUCCCUCUUCGAGUUCUACAUCGAGUCGGUAAGUAAUAGUUUUCAGCCGCGAGUUCGAGUCCGAGUCCAAUAAGGAGUGUUUUUGGAAAGUGUUUCAUCAUAGAUCGAAUUUUGUUUAGAGAUCAAGUUGUUUGGAAAGUUGAAAAAAAAAAGAAAGGAAAGAAAAAAAAGAAAAGAAAGAAAGAAAGAAAAAUGAAAAAAAAGAGAAAGAGUUCAAGUCAGUUUCGGACCCGAGUCCGAGUAGAAUUUUAGUUUCGGGUGGGUUUGACCCGUGUUCAGUAAAACGGGCGUAUCUUUUGCGUACCAACUCGGAUUUGGAUGUUCUUGGACUUUUUGGAAAGCUCACGACGAGGCGCAUCAGAAAAUAUCUAUACACUUUGACCCUCAAAUUCGGUUUGUAAGGUGGACUUUUGGAGCUUUCAAAUUUCUGCAUCCGUUCUCCGGCGUCGCUGCAGCCCGGUGUUUCUCAGUUUUCUCCACCGUCCGACAUCCGGUUUGAGUGAUCUUGCCCUUGCUGGAAAGCUUGUGUCGAUACCCUUCUAACCUAUAUUUUUCCAUAUUUUUCUGAAGUUUUCUUACUGCAGCUUUUGCUGUUCUUCGACAGACCAACGUACAGUUUUCCGGUCCUUCUUUUGCGUGAGUUUCUGGGGUUAAAAAAGAAAAAAGAAAAAAAGAAGAAGAAAAGAAUAAGAAACCAAACAGAAGGCCACAAAAAGAAAAAAAAAUCCCAGGGAUUUACUUGUUGUGCCAUCUUUCUAUCCUAUCUUCUUCAGUAUCUAGGCUUAGAUUAUUUCUGUAAUUCGUUCUUAUCGACUCCAGCAGCUAGGACUAGCAUUAUUGAGCAUAUUUUCAACUUUGCAUUGCUGAGUUGAUUAUUUGCUAUUCCUUGCUACUCACAAAAGCAUCCAAGUUCCACAGAUUCUACACCUAGGUUGGUUUGUUACCGAGGCAUCGAUACAUUUAAUAUUCGAAGGGCUUGGUCACGCCGCUGGCCAUCACCUUCCUGUUUUGCAUGGUAAGAACUUGUAAGAACUUGAUUUUUAGUUUGAGAGUUGAGCGACUUGUAGCCACAUCCUAGUAGUUGAUAGGAACAUAUUACUGUGAUUUGUUUCUUGUUUUCUACUAACCAUGACAGGACUUACACGAAGCAUGGCAACUAGAGCGAUGCUAUCCCGUGACCGCGAUGAGUGCUUUUCACCACGGCCAUCCUCCACGUCUCUUGUUGAUAAUGCCAUGGCAACGGUACAAAACAAUCCUUCUAAUACAAUUAAAUUGUGUGUACCUUUCUUUGAGGGGGAAAAUGAUGCUGAAACGUAUAUAGAUUGGGAGCUAGAUUUAACUGAACAAUUCACAUGCUUCCAUGUACUAGAUAGUUGUAAGGUCCAAAUUGCUAGUAGUAAAUUUCGUUUUGAUGCAUUAUCAUGGUGGUGUGAGAUAGUUAGAGAAAACAAAAUACCUCACACUUGGAUUGAUAUGAAGAAAAUCAUGAGAGAAAAAUAUGUUCCUCCAAGUUAUGCUUAUGAGUUGCGUUCCAAAUUACGACGUUUGACACAAGAUGAUAAAACUGUUGAUGAUUACUACCAUGAGUUCCAAAUUUUAACCUUGCGAUCUGGUUUAGAUGAAACCGAACAAAGAAAAAUGGAUAGGUUUUAUUGUGGGCUUAACUUUGAUAUUUCUUACAUAAUUGAAUACGGAAAAUACGACUCUCUAUUGUGUUUGCUUAAUCUUGCUCGUGAAGCGGAGAGGAAAUUGGAGAGAAGGUGUACAAGAAAUGUGUUGAGCCUACGAGGUAAUGAUAAAGAUGAUUGUGUUGCUGAAUAAAAUAUGACAUGUGAUGAAAUAAAUGAGAUACCCGUUGAAUUUUCUGCGCCAUGUGAAAUUGUUGAUUUACAUGCUGAUUUGAGUGCACCUACUGCUGAAAUUAAUUCUUCUAAUGAUUUGAGUGCCCAUAUUAAUUUUGAUAUUGAUGAGAAUGAAUCAUGCUCCAACGGUACCUGUGCCCACCGAGGUGCGGGUGAUCAACCUCAUUGGCGAGACCGAUGACGACGCUCCGGAGGAGGUUGCCUCAGCCGGAGCCCUUCAACAAACUGCCCUGAAGCUUGCCCGGGACGCAAUGGUCACCACAGGUGAUGCCACGCAGAUGGCGCAGCCCGCGGUGGGUGACAUGGGACAGCCUCUGCCUGCCGAGGCAAGCGGUGGCGCCUUGGAGAAGCCCCCGAGCCCCCAGCCUGCCCCUUCGGGCGAACAGGGAGCUGCGGGACUCGGACAAGCCGGAGGCGCGUCACCGAGCCCUGACUCAACCUCGGGAUCACAGACGGUCGCGGCGGGAUCCUCCUCCUCCGCCGGUGCCACCUUUAGCCUGGGAGCAGGGGAGCUCGUCGGGCGAUCAUGGGGUCGAAUCACCUUCGAGCCCAGCGUGUUCCUGCAAGGGCACCAAGUAAUAGACAACAUCCAGCAGCAGCAGCGGAUGUUCGUCGACUUCUUCAACGACGCGGUGGUGGCGUAACUGGGCACCGCGCGGCGGGAGGCGGCGGAGUAGCGCACAAAGCUGCAACGGCUCCGAGAGGAGCUCCAGCAGGCGUAGCAAGCAAGGGUGGCGCCCCCCGUGCAAGGAGUUCCGGAGGCUGAGGUCCUCCGGCAACUGUGGGACCUGCAGCAGGAGCACCAGCGGGAGUUCGAACUGCUGAAGGCCACACACGCCAAGGGUGAGGAAGAGAACCAGGCGGCCCUGGAUUCAUUCCAGGAGCGUCUUCGGGAGAAGUCGGACUUGCUGUCCAACUACUCCCUGGAGAUCCAGCGCCUUCAGCACGAGGUCGGAGAGCUGGAGAGGGAAGCUACGAUGGCAGCCGAAGCCUCGGCGCGUCGGGAGAAGGAGUUGCAAGACCAGGCUCGCUCCCGGGAGCGUGAGCUUGCGGGGCAGCUUAAGGUUGCCCAGGAUGCGGGCUCAUCCCUUCAGGGCGAGCUCGACAUGGCGCGGCAAGAGCUUCGCCUUAUCGACGAGGACAACACCAAGAAGGCGACCGAGAUCGGUAAGCUGAAGUCCGAAUGCCACGAGCACAAACUGCAGGCCCAGGAGGCUCGUGGUGCAUGCACCGAGCUGCGGGCCCGCAGGACGAAGGAGGCAGCUAGGCUGAAGAAGCUGGCGGACUCGGCGGUGGAGGCGCUGCAGGGGUUCGACAUCCCGGUGACUUCCUUCGACGGGGCAAACAUUGGCAGCUUCACCUCCUUCUUCGCAGAUUUCGUUGGCCAGCUACACGGCCUAGAGAACUGCGUCAAGGCAUUCGGGGAUCGGCAGGUCGGCUUCGCAGCCGAGCAAGUCGCCGGGCAAAUCUUUACCCGGGUCCACUCUGCCCACCCCGACUUCCCGUUCAAGUCGGUCCUCGACGCCUGGUCAGACGAAAAAGAGGCCAAAACCCACCGGGAAGCGGUACAAGGCGUCGUGGACGAGAUGGUGGCGUGGAUGCAGAACAAGACCGAUGAAGCUGAAGCUGCUGACAAACAAGCCGCCGGAGGGGGCCCCGACGUCGAGGAGGCACCUGCCGCCAAGACUACUGCUCCGGGAGCACCUCCUGCAUAGUUAUUCCGCUUGUUCCUUUUUAUUUACUUUCCUGCAAGUGGCGCAAGCAUCUUACAACUUAUUUUGUGUUAGCCCCAAUCAUUUUAAAUGUUCAUCCCACGAACUCGUUUGUUACAGUUCCGUUUCAUCCAAUGAUAAUUUACUUGUUCUUUGCUUAUAAUUGGCUUGCCGUGGAGGGGCUCUGUCCUCCACGUGUCAUACCUUGUGUACCCGGGGACUUGCCAACCACGUGUCUAGCCAGACAGGGACCCGGGACGAACCCGCAGUGCCGACCUGGGGCCGGACAGCAGCGGCCCGUCACUCCACCUGUGGGUUAACUACCCCAGCGCACACGCCUCCGGGACGGACCCGCGAGUCACGUGUGGUGCAAAGGGAUGCACCACCAUCACCUCUCUGCAACAUCACUUGCCUUCUUGCUGUUGUUGCUAUCGCGCUUGCCCCGGUCUUUAAAUAGCUGAAGUACUGCCUUUGCCGCCACGCACGCAAAGGGAUGCACCACCAUCACCUCUCUGCGACAUCACUUGCCUUCUUGCCGUUGUUGGUAUCGCGCUUGCCCCGGUCUUUAAAUAGCUGAAGUACUGCCUUUGCCGCCACGCACGCGGAACCACCAGCGGACACGUGGAGGCACUGGCCCUGUCUCAGUUUCCUGCAUCAAGCCUUGAAGUAAUUGCCAUAUAUGUACAACUUACUCGCAACACGACGACACCCGUGACUGCCCCACGAGUAUCACAGUGUGCUUUCGUCCUCAUCUUUACCCUGCAUGUCAGAUUCUUGCAGUGCCCAAGGUGCAUAGCAAUUUUUUUUCGAAAUGCACGAAAAAUAGCACAAACUGGAUAACCUCCUGCCUCCCAGCCCCCGAGCACAGAACAGUCGACCUCAGACUUGGGCGUGAGCAUCUUCAUACUUCCAUGGUGCCUUGUUGGCAAGCAGCACGUUGCGACGGGUCCGGCAACUGCUAGGCCUCGUUCCGAGGCGUCCCGGCAACGAGCUUGGUUUUCAGGGUUCCGGCAGCCCCCUACUCACAGCCAAGGAUGAAGAGACAAUUCUGUGCACCCAGAGUAGGAGACAGAAGCAAAUAUUAACAGGAAUCACAAUAUUCAUUGAAAUAACACUUAUCUUUGUUUCAUUUUUGUGCUAGCGGAUUACAAUCGGGCCAUGCCCGGCUACACUAGCUUAAAGAGGCAUGCUGCGGCAUCAUCACCCGUUGGUAAGGCGCCACCAUUUCACGGGUAGAACUUGCGAAGGUGUUCAAUAUUCCAACUAUUGGGCACCGGCAAGCCUUCUUCGGUUUCUAGCCGGACAGCCCCCGGUCUGGUCACCUGCACUACCCAGAAAGGGCCUUUCCAAUUUGGAGUCAACUUGUUCCCAGCCUUCGUUCCUUGUAUCUAGCGCAGGACGAUGUCUCCAACCUCGAGCCCUCGGGGACAGACUCUCCUGUUGUGAUAACGACGGUGCCCCUACUGGUAGCCUGCAGCUCGCACAGUAGCCCGGCAUCGAAUCUCCUCGAUGAAACUGAGGUCGUCAAUCCUCUGCGCGUGUUGGCUGUCAUCACUGUACGUGCAUACCCGAGGUGACCCAUGCUUGAGCUCGAGGGGCAGCACAGCUUAUGCCCCGUAGAUGAGGGCAAACGGAGUUUGGCCAGUCGCCCGACUUGGUGUGAUCCGAAUCGACCACAGCACGGGCUGGAGUUUUUUGACCCAGUGCUUCCCGUGGCCCUUGAGCUUGUCAAAGGUUCUCGUCUUGAGCCCCCGCAACACUUCUGCGUUGGCGUGUUCUACCUGCCCGUUGCUCCUUGGAUGAGUGAUAGAGGCAAAGUGGAUCUUAGUGCUCAUGUCCUCGCAGUAAGCUGGAACACCGCACUAGUGAAUUAUGUGCCGUUGUCGGUGAUGAUGUUGUUAGGCACACCAAACCGGCGCACAAUGCCCUUGAAGAACUAGAUGGCUGCCUGUGCUGUGACAGCUCGCGCAGGCUCCACCUCGACCCAUUUCGAGAACUUGUCAAUAGCCACAAGAAGAUACUCCUAGCCGCCGACAGCUCUAGGCAUCUUGCCAAUGAUGUCCAGCCCCCAGACCGCAAACGGCCAUGAGGAUGGGAUGACUUGCAGGGCUUGAGCUGGCUGGUUGCUCUUCUUCGCGUGAAACUAGCAUGCUUCAUAGGUCUUGACUAAUUGCUCGGCGUCGGCUAAGGCUGUUGGCCAGGAGAAGCCGUGCCGGAACGCUUUCCCAGCUAGCGCCCUGGAGGCCACAUGGUGCGAGCAUGUGCCUGGAUGGAUAUCCUCCAGUAGCGUGCGCCCUUCCUCUUGGGGCAUGCAGAAGAGUAUGACUCCGUUUGGACGCCUCCGGUAGAGAUACCCAUCCACCAGAGCGUACAUCUUUUCUUGCCGGGCUACUCGCUCCGCGGCAAUGUCUUCUCCCGGGAGGGUUCCGUCCUUGAGGUAGCGAAUGAUAUUCGUGGCCCAAGGUGGCGGUACCCGGCUCAAGCAUGCCACGGUUCAGUAGCAUGGUGCCCCGCAGCUGCAGGGUCUCCUUGCGUUGCAGGAGGGGCUUCCCCGGCAACCGACUUGGGAUCGACAGAGGGCUUUGACUGCCUCUGUACGAAUACCCCAGGAGGUACCUUGCUGUGUUCCGCUACCCACUUGGAUAGUUCAUCCGCAACAAAGUUAUCCUUGCGCUUCACGUGUUCAAACCGGAGCCCCUUGAACUUGGAAUCCAGCUUUCGCACUUCUUCCACGUACGCUGCCAUCUGGGGGCAGUCGUAGUCUUUGUUCACCUGAUUGAUCACGAGUUGAGAAUCCCCGCGAACAACCAAGCGCUUGAUGUCGAGGGCGAUCGCCGCGCGUAGCCCGGCAAGUAGCCCCUCGUACUCUGUUGUGUUGUUGGUGGAGUUGGCGAAGUCGAGCUGAAUCACGAACUUGAGUUGAUCUCCAGUGGGUGACUCGAUCACUACUCCGGCACCGGCACCCUGCAGGCUAAAGGCGCCGUCAAAGUACAUGACCCAGUACCCUUCAUCUAACUUGCCGGGAAGGCUUGCUUCCGGCUCUUCUUCCUCUAUUCCCGUGGACGUCCACUCCGCGACGAAGUCGGCGAGAGCGGCACUCUUGAUGCUCUUGGUAUUUGCGAAACGCAGCCUGAACUCCGCUAGCUCCAUCCUCCAUUCGGCCACCCUCUCAGUGGCUUCACGGUUGAUGAGGGCCCGCUCUAGUCAGAACCCAGACACCACCGUGACGUUAUGCGCCUGAAAGUAGUGGCACAGCUUUCGUGAAGCGAGCAAGAUCCCAAGAAAGAGCUUCUGGACCUGUGGGUACCGUACCCGGGCAUCGCGCAACACCGUGCUGAUGAAGUACACGGGGUGUUGCACUAGACGCUUGCGGGGGACAGCCUGAGUGGGCUGCCCCUCGGCUCCCGGGCCAGCGGUGGUAGCCGGGGAUUCUUCCGAAUUUCCGGGAGCCCCCUGCCCCACUGCGUCAGCCCCCAGGACUUCCUCUUCUCUCUCGGCAAGUCCUCUUCUCUCUCGGCAACGAGCACAGAGCUCACCACCUGAUCUGUCGCUGCUAGGUAAAGCAGCCACGGCUCGCCCGGCCUGCUAACUUCAGGUACUGCUUCAAGUCCUGGAACGCCGCUUCUGCCUCAGGGGUCCAGUUAACUAGGCCCUUCUUCUUCAUCACUUUGAAGAAAGGUAAGGCUCGCUCGCCCAACCUUGAGAUGAAACACCCGAGCGCCGCAACGCAACCGUUGAGGCGCUGGACAUCUCUAACCUUGCGGGGUGCCUCCAUCUUCUUGAUCGCUUCGAUCUUCCGUGGGUUGCCCUCGAUUCCCCGGUGAGAUACCAAGAAGCCCAGCAAGUGCCCCGAGUCCACGCCGAAUGUGCACUUCUCGGGGUUAAGCUUGAGCUUGAUCCUGUGGAGAUUGUCGAAUGUUUCCUGCAGGUUGCCGAUGAGCGAGUCCCCGCGCGGCGACUUGACGACGAUAUCGACCAUGUAGGCCUCGAUAUUGUGACCUAGCUGGGGUCCCAGACACUCGCGCAAAGCGCGUUGAAAUGUCGAGCCCGCGUUCUUCAGCUCGAAAGGCAUGCAUGUAUAACAGUAACAGCCAACCGGGGUGAUAAACAUUGUUUUCUCCUCGUCUUCGACUGCCAUUUUGAUCUGAUGGUAGCGGGAGAAGGCAUCUAAAAAGCACAAUGACUCACAACCUGCUGUGGAAUCUACUAUUUGAUCAAUACGGGGUACAGGGAGGGGUCCUUAGGGCAUGCACAAUUAAGAUCAGUAAAAUCUACACACAUGCGCAAUUUAUUUCCAGCCUUAGGGACUACAACAGGAUUUGCUAACAAAGUAGGUACAACACUUCCCUGAUUGCCCCGGCGUUCUUGAGCUUCUCCACUUCUUGCUGGAUGAAGUCCUUGCGUUCUUGUGCUUGCCGGCGAACCUUCUGCUUGACGGGGCCCGUGUCCGGCCGCACCGCCAACCGAUGCUCGAUCACCUCCCUGAGGACUCCGAGAAGAUCCGAUGGCUCCCAAGCGAACACGUCAGAAUUACCCUGGAGGAAGGCGAUGAGGGCGCUUUCCUAUUUGUUGCCGAGGCUCGCACCGAUAGAAAUGAUGCGCGCCUCGUUGCCGCCUUGCAGGGGUACCUUCUUGACCUUGGCACCCUCCUCCUUCAGCUUCACGCCCUUGCUGACGCACGAGCUGGAGUUGGUACUGCCCCUGGCAUCCUGCCCGGGGGUGGCUCGCGCCUUUUUCUUGUCGGGCUGCUCACCCGCAAGUGGAUCCUCGUUCCCGGUAACGUCGAAGUCACCGGAAUCCGCCACUGCGGAGGUCUUCACGACCUCGCGUAGGCACCAAGCAGCGUUCUUCAGGUCGCACUUGAUGGAGAGUACACCGUAUGUUGACGGCAUCUUCAUCACGCCAUAGGUGCAAUGAGUCGCCACCAUGAACUUGAUCAGCGUUGGCCGACCAAUAAUCCCGUUGUACGGCAACGGGGUGUGAGCCACGUCGAAGACAACGUGCUCAGUUCGGAACGAUUCCCGGGACCCGAAAGUCACCGGGAGCGUGAUUCGCCCCAUGGGCUGCACCACUCGGGGUUAAUCCCCACCGCGUUUCCGGGAACCCUUAUUCCCGGAGCCCUCAGGUGGGUUCGCCGCCGCUUUGGCGGCAAGCUCAGGCGCUAGGCACCCUUCCUUGGCCAUCGCGCACUUGUGCGCGAGGGCGUACAGAUCCCUCAUAGUUCGGAUCCGGUGCGUGUUCAACUUCUCACGCAUCUUCGGGUCACGGACGUUGAUGGCGCACGUGUUGAUGAUGGCAGCCGCUUCCGCCUCUGGGAUGGAGUAGGAGAUGUUGGAGAACCUGUUGGUGAAGUCCCACAAUGUCUCCCCCGGUUUCUGCACCACCGUUUGCAGCUCUGCCAUGGUUCUCGGGCGCUUGUAGCCGCCUUGGAACGCGUUCAUGAACUGUUCGCGCAAGUCAGCCCAGGAGGCAAUGGACCUGGCGGGCAGGUUCAGCAACCAGGUUCUCGCCGAUCCUUUCAGAACCAUCGGGAACCAGUUGGCCCUGACCUUGUCAUCGGCACUGAUAGCAUGCAUGCCCAACGUGUAGGUCAGGAGGAAAUCCUUGGGAUUCACGGUCCCAUCGUACGUCCCGAGCGUCGGCGCUCGGAACUUGCGGGGCCAUGUCACCCGGCGCAGCUCGUGGGUAAGCGCGGUGCAGCCGUCAUCGGCGCCCAUGGGAGCGUCUUCCUGCUCCUCUGGACGCUGGCGCUGCAAGCGUUAGCGAAGAUCUUGCUGCCGGCGGGCGUUCAGGAUGCCUCACGCGUCACCUGGCAUGACAGUUGGUGAUGAGUCCGAGUAAUCCUCGGGAUCCUCGCCACCUUGUCAUUGUUGGAGAUAUGCCCUAGAGGCAAUCAAGUGAUGAUGUUAUUUCCUAUGUAUUCAUGAGUUAUUGUUAUUGUCCUUGAACAUCAUCACUGAUAUGUAUCAAUAGAUACGUGAUUUGUUUGUGAGACUAUGUAUUCUAUGAUGUUGUUCUAAUGGUCCCUGGUCAUUGAGGUUAUGCGGACACAUAACCUAGACUAGCAAUGUGAAUCAGUAUGAUGACUAUGUUUCACAAGUCAUAGGGCAAGGUGUUGCCGACUGAUAGCAUGGACUCGACAAUGAGAUUGUUGAGUCGGACAGACCCGCACUGAGACACAACGAGAUGAUUGUCAUUUGUUAGUCUCAAGUACGAUGUAUAUGCCAGUCCUAGACUUGAGGUCAUCGCAUGAGCUUGGGAUGUGAAUCGGCCUACUUAGGGGUUGCCAAACGCUACUCCGUAACUGGGUGGUUAUAAAGGUAGCUUUCGGGUUUGCUGAGAAGCAUGUUGCGAAUCAUGGUUGAUCAAGAUGGGAUUUGCCCCUCCUGUUCGGAGAGAUAUCUCUGGGCCCUCUCGAGUGAUCAGAUUCGGAAAGCAUGGCCAUGCGACUUGGGUUAAGUGUUAACCCGUUCGGGAAUCUGUAUCACAGGAACGAGAAGAGAGUCGAGCUAUCCACAAGGAUGACAAGCAUAUCGUGAGGCAAAAGGAACGUUGCAUAUGACACAUUGUAUGGUUCGUCAAUAUACCUUGUGGUUACUCGGGAGUUGGCACGUGCUGCUAGGCGCCGCUACCAACUAUCGACUUGAGUCGGUGCCGGUGGACGAGUAAGGUGUUACUCGAACCCGCAGUCCGAGCUCGUAGUCGUGUCCGUCUGACCGUGAACCUGUAGGGUCACACGCUUAAGGGGAUGGGACCGAAUUGGAUCGGAUCCAACUCGUAUCGGGCUUAGACUCCUAACGGGCCUCAAGUGUUGAAGCCCACCAGGGAGGUCUAUAUAAGUGGAGGAGGCGUACCCGGUUAGGGUUACACCAGUCCAUACGCGAGUUAGACUCGGCCGUCACACCUCCAUGCCCAAAGCCUUGCGAUCGGAUCUAGCGGUCCGCCGCACGGAGUUCCUCCCUGUACGUGCGGAUACCUCGAAGGCGCUACACCUGCGGCGCUUGGACGAACCGUUCGUGGGAUCGGCGAGGAGGAGCAGACUGUUCGACUACUCGGCAUCGACGCGCUACAUCGACUCUCCUUCCGCUACGGGUCUGCGCGUCUAGUGGUAAUCUCGUGAUCCAUUAUCUACAGCAUUGAUCCGGGCGGAAGCGGUAGAAAUUUUAUUUUGUGCUAGCGUAGCAUACCGCGUUCCCCAACAGUCAUCCUGCGGGUGGAGGAUGCUCUCCUUGUCCCGAGGCGCAAGGAGCGUCCCCGCCUCCCGGGUUCUGACCUCGACCCGAACCGGUCGGGCCACCCUCACCUUGUGGUUGUUGGGUGGCGAGCGUGAGGGGCGCGUCCAGCUCCGCACUCCACCCGUCGUGCGCCGGCAUGCCCUGCGGUGUCUCGUAGCGCACCAUGACACGUGCGGUGAUGAUAGCUUCGGCCGGGCUCUGGGCGGGAGGCUGCCGGUUCUCAGACCUACUGUUGUCCCCCCGUUCACUGGAGCCCUCGGUUGAGAGGGCCGGGAACCCACUGGCAUCGUAUGCGACGUUGAGGUCGCUCGUGCGGCUGGCUCCGGCACUGGGCGUCGCAGGCCCCCUCGGACGGUUGUCCGCCGAAGCCUGAGGGUGUGCCGGUGGCAGCUGCGAUUGCUGCUGCUGAUGUUGCUGACGCUAGGGGGACCCCUGGUCCCCGUGACCUUGCGACGCUCAUGCGGCAUCGCGGGAUCGAGUGUGCAUGGCGAGUGUGUCGCACAAGUCGACCCGAGGCUCGUCUGCCUUCUUGGGCGGCAUGGCCAGUUGAUGAAGACGAUGUUGCUGGUGACGAAGCUGAUGACGCCCGUGGUCACCCGAAGCUCUCUGCAUGCCCCCCUACCUGGCGCGCCAGAUGUCGGAGCUCGGGUCUCCGGCACCGGGGAUGUUGGACACCCUCUUUUUGUUCGGUGGAGGGCGAGGAGAUCACUCCGACGAUCACCGGCGUGACCAAAGACACGAAGUUCGGGCCACCCGGAGGUGUAACACCCUACGUCCUGCUUUUAGUUGGAUUCACGAGUAAGAGUGCUUUACAGAUCAUCCGGGGGGUUCCCGGGUUGAUUACUUGUCCCUCUAAGGAACUCUGCUAUUCGGGUGAAUGCAAUGCUACUUGCUGUUGACUAAAGUUGGGAACCCUUUGACCGGUGGCAUUGGUCCUCCUUUUAUAAGCAAGGGGAUACCACAUGUGCCCACACAUGCAACGUGACACGUUCCCAUCCGCGUGUCACCGCCACAAGCUUCUUCUUACUGUUGAUCCACGCUGGGCGUCAUGCAGCUCCCAGGCCACUGUGCGCGGUAGCCGCUCUAGCCUUACUGAGCAAGACUAGAUCUGCCGACAUGACCCCUGUCGGUGCAUUAAAUGCACUGCGUCCGCUGUCUCGUCCUGUCUUCACUGUUCCGCGGGCCCCACUUGCAGGCCCGGGUGUUGGUUGCUGGAAGCCCCUUCCCGGUAAGAGCGCCCAGCCCGUUGCCGGGGCAGUAAGUUUUCCACUUCCCGGGAUCAGGGUUCUCGGGUACCCGCCGAAGCGGGCGUUUCUCCUGUUCUGGUUCUCGACUUUGUCUUCGCCAAUGACUGUCUCUUUGGGGUGAGCUUCCCGGGUCUAUCCUUCCCGGGAGGCCAACCUGGCGGGGUUUCGUCUGUUGCGACCCACGCGUCCCGUAUCAGUGGGAUCCAGCGGGCCACUGGUACGACAUUAACCAAAUGCCAGAAUUUCGGAUAGAAUUCUAUGGAGAAACCAUCAGGCGCAGGGGCCUUGUUUUUUUCCAUAGAGAAAACAAAAUGUUUAAUUUCAUCCAUAGUAAUUUCAGCCUCUAACAGAGUUUUUUUAACUUCAUCCAGAACUUUAUCUACUGGCACACUCAAAGUAAUAUAUAGAGUAUCACUAGGGCCAAAAAGCUGUUUGUAGAAGUCAGUGGCAUACUGCAUAAUAUUCUUAUCCCUAGUAUUGUCACCCUCUUUCUGGUGCAAGCGAAAAAUCCUAGUUUUCCUCCUUCUGUUACUAGCUCUAGCCAUGAAAUAAGCAGUGCACAUGUGUCCCUCCAUAAGAUCAUUUUCCUUAUAUCUCUGGAACCAAAUCAUGUUAUCAAUAACAUCUAGUUGCUUUUCUAGUUGACUCUUAGCAUGUCUUAACUCAAAAUUCAUGCCACUUAACUCACUACUAUGAAUUGCAUCAAUUUUCUUAUCUAAAUCAUCUUUAACUUUUUACUAACACCCCUAAUGUUACAAUGCCAACCUUUAAGGACCUUCCUUAACUCUCUAGCCCUAUUCUGCCAUUUAUCUACAAACUUCUUACCAGUGAAUUUUGCAUUCCAAACUAAGGUAACAAUAUCAGUCAAAUCUUGAUGUAAAAACCAGCUUAAUUCAAACUUAAAAGGUUUAUGAAUUUGUACAGCCGAAAGACCAUAAGUAAUAAGCAUACCUGCAUGAUCAGAAACUCUUCUAUUUAAGGCAAUAACCGUAGCUAGGGGGUAAGUACUAAUCCAUCCAGCACUUAAUAAAAUUCUAUCUAGUUUUUCAUACAAGGGGUCCUCCUAAUUGUUGGACCAGGUAAAAGAUCUACCAGACAUUUCUAAUUCUUGCAGCGCCCAAUGCUCUAUGAUGCCAUUAAACAAAGUAGACCAUUUGUAAUGUCUAAUUCCUUAAUUACUUUCAGAAGCAUUUCAAAUAAUAUUAAAGUCACCACCAAUCAUGAAGGGCAAACUGUUACUGCCUAGUACAUGCACAAGUUCUACCAGGAAUUUUGCUUUAUCUUUAUAAUGAGGUGCCCCAUACACUACGACCAAGUUCCAUUUAAAACCAGAGCAUUUAUCAAGGAGAAGCAUUUCGAUGUGAUAAUCACCUUUUUCACAUUCACCUAUUUCAUACAUGCAAUCACUAACCCCCAAGAGGAUCACACCAGACUGCUCCACGGAGGGGACCCAGUGCCAAACAAACAAAUCAUUACCAGUCAAAGAAUUUAACCAAUCCAACUGAAAAUCUAACUUCUUAGUUUCCUUCUUUCUCUAAUAGUGUCCGAAGAAAUUUCUUCUUCUUCUGCUGUCCUAAUCCCCUGGCAUUCCAAUAUAGACCAUGCAUAAAUUAUCUUUUUUUGCUAGUUUUCCUACCCCUAACCAUUGGUUUAGCACUGAAAACCCUAGUGCAACCAGAUUAUUAUUUCUACUACUCCCUCCGAUUCAUAUUACUUGUCUCAAGUUUGCUCAAAUAUGGAUGUAUCUAUGUUUAAAAAGUGUCUAAAUACGUGUAACAUUUCGACAAGUAAUUCCGACCGGAGGGAGUACUAGAAUUAAACCUAGAUUCAAAAAGCUCUACCAGAUUUCCUCAUGUUCAUCCUCUGAAGAAUCCAACUUCUUCAGAGUUUCAGGAUCAAAGCUAUCAACCUUUUCUUUAUGUAACUGAACCGUAUCGUUAUCUUUUUUGGUACUAUUGGAAAACAUAACAGUCCUAGCAUGCUCUGAUUCCUUGAUGGCAUUUAGGUUGUCAUCAACCUCUUCUACAGAACUAACCAAUUGAACGCCAAUUUUACUAGCAAUAUCUACCAAAAUACGAUUAUCAGUAGAGAGAACAGUAGAGAAAAGUGCGUACCUUUGCUAGCAUCCAAGUUCUUGACCUUAGCCCUUUCCAUGGCCUUGUCUAGAGCAGCUUUGUCAUUACCGGCGUUCCUAUUGCUCCUGCACCAAUUCCCAUCAUAAAUUGCAGCAUUCUUCUUGCCUUUCGCAUCCUUAACUUGAGCAGGUUGCUUCCCUAGUUCUCCCACUACAAAAUUAACCAUUCCUUUUAUUUUCCAUGCUUUUUUAUUCUUUGAGAAGUACAAUUUAUAAUUACUCUAUGAAAAAAAAUCUUAACCAAAUGAUUAUGAUCGUCGACCGAGAAAUAAAAAUCGGCUGAGAAAUAAACACUCCAUGCUUUUUUAUUCUUUGAGAAGUACAAUGCAUAAUCAUUCUCUUCACUUCUACAAAAUUCUUAAUGUUCAUUUCCCGCUAACCAUUCAAGAGUGGGGUCGAUCUUUGCCUAUAGCCCACGGCGGUUGACGUCAUUGCAGGAAGAUGUUCAUUGAAGACCUGGAUUCAGUUACGUAACGUCACCUGACAUUGGGUGGCUGACAUGUGGGUCCCACGACACGUUGGCCCACAUGUCAGACACCUAAAAUCAGGUGAAUUAACUUCACUGAAUCUUUCUCCUGAACUCUUUUUAUUUCACACUUCGCUUACAUUAAACACCGUGGUCUAGGGGCUCCAGGUAGAUCGACCUACGACCGGUCAAAAGAAGAUGGACCUACGGCACAAAAUACUCCAGUUGGAAACAAAUCCCCACCGUCGCUGCCUCCCACGGAUAACAACGCCCGGAGGAAAACAAGAAUCCUGUCCCGAUUCCCACGCCGCGCUAGGCUCCGCGGUUUCCGCCGUGCCAGCACCCCACGGCCCACCAGCACCUGGCGGCCUGGCACAAAACAACAAGACGCCCAUCCACCACACUUGAUGCUCGGCCGGCCCCACCACAACACCUCCGAUGACGCCGUUCACCAACGGACGGCAUCAGGGCGGGGUACGGCGUGCGUCGUUGGGAUCCUCGCCUGCGCACGUACGGGCGGCCAGCUCCGUGUCACGGCCAGGUGGGUCCAGCUCACGGAAUCAGUUUACUGUAGCUGGCGCCGUAGGCCCUGGACGGAGAAAAGGGAAAAUCUUUACCACCUUCCUCUUUCGGGAGGGGUCCCCGCGCCGCGCUCUCUUCCAGCUGCCUUGGCGCCAAACGCCCACGAAAUUUUUUCGGUUUCCCUCUCGUUUUCUCCGCUCGUACAAAUGCUUCCCCCCUUUUCCCUCUUUUCUCUCUCCUCUUAGCCAUUCAUUUCGUUCAUCCAUUCGCCAGGGGAAAGGGGAGAGAGAGAGAGAGAGUCGUGGGCGCGUCCGCGCGUGUUCCCUCCCCUAUCUCCUUCGUGCUGUUCUGGGUUGGCCGGCGGUUUUGUGGUUGUGAGGGAUUGGGUUAGUUCGUCCAUCGGAGGAAGGAGUUUAAUCGAGCAAAAGAGCAUGGGAGCUGCCUCCUGAGCUGCGCCGGCGGACCGCGUAUCUGGUAACACACCAUCGAUCUCAAGCUCUGUUUCGAUCUAAAGGCAGCGUUUUUUUAGUUCCAUGCGAGUUCCUGCGGUACUUGAUUUGGGGGUCGAUUUUUGUCGGUAAGCUCGUCCCGGGAUCGUUGGGGAACUCCUGCUUUGGUUCAGGAAUUGGGAGAGGAACGGGGAUUCUAGGGUUCACUGUACCAGGGGACGAAUCUCGCUGUCAAAUGGAUGUGCUUUGUGUCCAUCCUUCCUCAUCUUUCAGAUUUACUGUGCAUUGGGGAUCUUUAGUUGGAGUAUUUUUUUUGUGGUUGACUCGUUGACUGCUCUCGUAGCAGUACAAUGCUCGGCAGUAUCUCCUUUUGCAAUUAGUCGUAGAAGUUGUUUCCAUGGGUGCUAAGCGAGCUGUUAAUGCGGUCAGUCACGAGCCAUAAGUUAUGGCCUCUACAAGUAGUUUGCUUUCAGUGAUAACUUCAGCCAUGCUGUCAAUACUAUUUACUACUCCCACAAUUAGCCAUUAGUAACACACCUCUCCCAAAAGAAAGUAACACAUUAACAAUAUCGUAUUUAUAGCAACCUUCUAUGGGCAUGUCAUAUGUUAUCCUACCCACCUCUUAGAUAUUCAUAAUUGCACAUCAGCAUACUAGUGCAAAUCAUAGCCUUCUGCGGUUCUGGAAGGUCUUCAUCUUUUCUAGUCUUUUUUUUAAUCAUCUGUGGUAUGUUCCUGUACUGAUUGAGACUGUUGAUCAAUAAUUCCUGGAUUUGUCUCAACAGUUGAACUGGUAAGCUUCUGUCAAGUCUCAACUUACAGCACUGAAAGUACAGUCAUGUUAUUCAACUAAUCUGCCAAAAAAUUAGAACUAAACUUUCGAUGUUAGUUUUUCCCACUUUAAAGGGCCUACAUUGUUGCCAAUAUCAAAUUUCCUGUGUAUGACGUCCUCAUGUUUGUGUGUUGAUGUUUGGUUUAGGUGCUUACAAUUAAUGCAUUGUAGAUCCUGAAACAUGAAGUUUUGUUGUUGUCACUAGAUUACAAAUGUUCAUUGUCCUGAUGUCAGACUGGAUAUAGGAGUGGAGAACCAUUAUUUUAGUUGCCAAAUAACAAAUUAAUACGUCUUAAUAAUCUGUAUGAGCUUAUUCAUGGCUCUGUGCAUCGCUUGAUGCAGAGGCCGGGGAGUUUCCCCUUUUCGAAAGAGAAUGAGCUUAUUCAGUGGCAUUCCUUGCCUCGCUAUUUGAAGUUAAUCUCUGUAAUUCCUGUUCACUAGAUUGGAACAAUUGUUUCCUCUGGAGAUCUACCAACUGGCAUUUUGGAAAACCAUCUCGAGUGUUUGUAAUAUUAAAAAAAAAGUUCUGUUUGCAUAUGUGUGUUCUUUUGAAUGAUGGAUAUAGGAGUGAAUAUUGAGCAUACGUGUCCUGUUUAAAUUUUUUUUGUUUAUUUGAACUUUGAAGUGAGUGAUCACCUAAAGGCAAGGUGUUCACGUCCCCACUCAUUUCCAGUUUAGCUAUCACAAUGUCCUGAUUCUGACCCAAUCUGGAGAGGUGUGGAUGCUGCUGCCUGCUGUUUAUGUAGCAGGGUUAUUGUUUUGCAGUUUCCUCCCUUUCAGCCUACGGAAACUCUGACUCUACCUGAAGUUAGUACCUUGUAUCAACUGCCAAGAUAACAAACCUGACACUAAUUUUGUAUGUUUAUAGCGAGUUUGCUUCUCCUGUUGUAAUAACUUCGUUGUUGUCCUAAUUGCUUUAAUUUGUGCUCUCUUGUACUGAAGCAGGGAGAUGAAACUGGAAGAUAACUGAAGUUUUGCAAUAUCUGCCGCUUAUUAUUGUCUUGCAAAUAGUAGUCAUCAUGGGGUCUGGAUCAGUGUCUCUGAAGCAAAAGAAACGGGCAAAGCAUGCGAAGAACAAGUACUUGAAGCCUGGUGCCCUUGCUCAGAUUAGUUACAGCAGGAGCACUAGCAGGGAUAUCGGGAAGAAGCGGAUUCUGUUGAAUGGGGAGAAGGAUGAGCUGGAAAUAUUGCCACAUGGCGAAGCUGUUUUUGAAAGCACUACACCGAUUAUGUCCCCUGCAAGGCUCAGUAUUGAGCCAUUUAGUGGCAUUACGGGGCAGAUGUUGCCAAGAACACCCAGGACUCCUCAACCAACUGAAUGUGAUGGCUAUUCAAGACUUGAAUCACUUCCUCUUGAUCUGCUGGUAUGGAACUGACACCACUUUCCUGUUAACUUCCGUUUUUGAAUCAAUUUCCUGUUAACUUCAGUUUGCUGUAACAAACCUGACUGCCAUUGUUUCUUUGCGAAGAUCAAGAUCGUGUGUUACUUGCACCAUGACCAGCUGAAGGCUGUUUUCCAUGUUUCAAAAAGGAUCCGAAAGGCAGUAAGUAUCAUGUUUUAUACCACUGCAUCCUUUAUUAGUGCAAUUGAAGUGUUUUUUUUCCUUCCUUUGGCACUUGUAGAACUCAUCGCAACCUUAAUGCUCGUUAAAUUCAUGAACUACACAAUGCUUUGAUAGAUAGUGGCCAAGAUCAGCUUUAACGGGCUACAUCUUCUACUUCUGUUAUGUACUUAUGUUAUGUCACCUGUAUAAUAACUAUCUAACAUGGCAGAAAGUUGUUUGUUCUUCCAUUACAUAAUAACAUAGGCAUGUAUGAUUUACUGUAUUUCCAAAUCACAGUGCGCGUAGUCAUUUCCAUACUUUUCAAUUGCUCUAGUGUUUUUGCAUGUUCGUCAUCCUACAUAUUCAACUUAGUUUUCACACCCAACCUACUAUUUAUCGAGUUAUCUUGUAUUUCAGUAUGUUCUAUACUGCUUCCCCAAUCCCCCCUACUCAUUUUUUGUCAUAUGAACUAGGUUGAACAAGCAAGGCAGUACCAUUUCAACUACACUACUCCAGAUCGCAGCAGGCAAGAACUGCUCCAGAACAAGACACCUCUCCCGACAGAGCAUUGGCCUUUUAUGAGGUUUGUCAUAUCAGGUUAAUUAUUUAAGUAGCAUUUAUUUGCUUGAGUAAGCUCUGAUCAGUCUGGAUGCCCCACUGAAUUUUCAGCAGAAUAGAUGGCAAGGAUGUGAGGGUCGCCACCCCGAGAACCCCAAAGGCUCCAAGACAUGGUCCUCGGCAUUCACGUUUCAAGCUGAUUGAUGUGAAGCCAAUCACAGCUGUUCUUUUCCCGGAUUCAUUACCUACAAAGCGUUUGCGCCGUUCGAUGCCACCAGGGUUGCCAAGGCCUGUACAAAAGGCUGCAGCCGCACCUAGAGUUUUACUAUAUGAGGAAGAGCUUUGUGAAGCUGUUGCACAAAAUAAGCUUCUCUGAAGCUCCUAGUGAUAAUGUAUAGUUUUAUCUAUGUCAUGUCCCUGGGUAUGAAUUUUGGCCUGGUGGUACCUGGCUGACAUCUUGGAUAAUCAUGGUCAGGUUAGGCAGUUUAGAUUAGUCAUUAGCCCUUCAUAUACUCUUAUGAGCAUAAGGACCGAGUUUGGCUUAUUUCCGGCUAUGUAUAUACUACAUAGUAUUAAUAAAUGUAGUGGUUAAUCAUCUUGGACAAUAAUAUUUUGCCUAUGAAGUUGAUGUCUGCUUAUCAGGAUUCUGGAGGCAUUAUGCCUGCUAUUUGCUGAAAUCAGGUUGGAUCCUGCAAUUCUUUGUCAUUGAUUUCGCUCUAUUGGUGGUAGUACUUAAGUUAUGUUUUCAUACAAGUUGUAAAGUUUGAUGAUCUUGAAUCUCGACGUUGCCUGUUUAAACAGACUGAAUCCAUUCAAUUCGAGAUUAUUUUGAGAAAUUCUAUCUGGCAGACAAGAUGCAUACAACAUUUUCUUUGAGUUCGUUUAGUUAUAUCAGCCACUGAAAAUGGCUGGUCUGGUUGAAAAGCCAAACAUAUAGUACUAUCGGUGACCAUGGCCACAAAAUCUCACAUCACAAGUUGCAACAGUGACAUCGAACUGAAGUAGUAGUACCAUCUUAGCGCCUGAAGUGUCCAGUUUUGUGGCAUCCUGUUUACCAUAGCCCGUAGCGAUUUAUGAUCUGGGCCAUGAGGAGAUCGUAGCCUCUCUCGGUGAGAUGGAAGGUGUCCCAGAAGAGGAACUUGGUUGGGUCCCUGCAGGCGUGCGCCGUGUAGCUGUUGCACGUGAGCGUGACCUCGAACAGCCCCGUGCCGCAGCACCCUCGGUUGGACACCUCGAAUCCUAAAGCAAAAGCAAGUAACUUGGACAGGAACAUAGAUGCCAACUAGACAUUUUAAUAACAUGGCAUGACAAUAAAUGAAAAAAGAAAGAGACGUGGUAACUAAAUAUGUUAACAUAACAUCACACAAAUCAAAAUCAAGAAAAGAUGAGUUUACAAGUAAUAAAUGACACAAUAUAUAACACCACACAUAACUUACUACCCACUGCGUAGGUAGCAACUUAGACUAGUAACACGAACAUGUUACUAUUCUAAGUUACAAUAGAGAAGCCUCAUUUGAAUAACCCUUGUCAAAAUCAUCGUAAAAAAGCGAUACGUAUGUGUGUUUCAGUACCGUAGGCUGCCGGGCGCUGGAUCAUGUCGAGCAGCGGCGUGUAGAGGUCGAUGUACUUGAGCACGGAACCCGGGAGCAGCGCCGAGCCGUUGAGCCGCUUGAUCUCCUUCUCCAGCGCGGCGUUGUAGAGCACGGCCGCCUGGUUGUACAGGGAAACACACGCCCUGUCGUCGCCGCCGGCGUUGGUCCGCUGCGACGGCACGCACCCGAUGGGCGGCGCGCCGGCGAUGCUCACCCGCCGCGCGCCCAUGCCGUACAGUUUCUGUGUGGCCAGAAUCGAGCGGCACCGUCCGUCCGUGAGAGUGAUAUUUAUGGCUGCGAUGGUUCUAGCUGUGUUUUGUCGAUGGGUUAAUUACCUGGAUGAAGUCGGAGGCGCACUUGACAAUGAACUCGAUGUAGGACUCGAGGUCGUAGUCCCGCCGGAGCGGCGUGGUGAAAUAGGUGUUGGCGAGGUCGUCGGUGCCGCUGACCACCAGGAACAUGCUCGUCGACACGAUCUCCGCCGCUCGCUGCUCGCCGGCGAUGGCCCUGAUCUUCCCCUUGUACUCCUUGAACAGGUCCAGCUGGUCGUCCAAGGUGAGAACCGACUGCACAGCACGGUGGAGAGAGUAAGAAAAUGGCCAUCGCAGUUGAGAAUUCGAUGUUGCAAGCUGUGUGUCGGAGAUGUUCGUUUACCACGAUCUCGGCCGUGAGGGGAUCGAAGCCGCAGCCGCCGGACGCGAAGCUGACGCCGGUCAGCAGGUCAAAGUCGCUGAGCUCCGUGCCGAGGUACGCCGGCACGUACUGCUUCAGGCCCAUCCGGGUGGCUGCAGGAAGCCAGGAAGGAUCGAUCAAACGGCGGAAUUUCAUUACAUGGUGUCGCUGCGUCGUCAGUACGUGCCAGCCAAGCGAGACGAGAAGGAAUAUACGUACCUAGGAUGUCGCCGACGAUCUUGCCGUUGCUGAACCUUCCUGUGGCGUUGUGUCCGGGGAAGUCCUGACCGUAGGGCGCGAAGUCGCACCGCACCGUCGUGGUCAGCGCGUUGUUGUUCCCGGGGUCCACGAUGGAGUCCCCGAACAGGAUCAGCGCCGGCGGCGGCCGCGUCUGCUUCGACGGCGGUGCCGGUGAAGCAAUGCAGCAGUGACUCAGAAGCAUCAAUGCCGUGAUCAGUGCUAUGAUACAGCAGUGCGAUGCUCCUCCGUCGACCGUGCAUUUGCUCGCCAUGUUGGGUUAAGCUGCUCGAUCCGGUGUUGAUCAAGAGUGCACGUACUCACACUGCUCUGCCCGGAGCUGUUCCUCUGCUCUUGUACUUGUAGAGCGGAUUGGAUGACUGGAAACAACCUCUGGUGGAUGGUGGUAUGAUCAUUAGUUCAUUACUUGUGUAUUUCACUAUCAGUUUCUUGCGAGGUUAUCUAAUUUCUUUGUUCUUGCCAGGCGGAGCUUUAAGCUAGCGUGUCACUAAUUUUCUGGACAACAAAUUACUCUGAUCCACAAGUUUUGGCUACCUCUGUUUUUAUUUCUAGUCAGGUGAAGAACUUGUGCAUGUGUGUAUUGUCUUCCAUUAGUCUUUUGCCCCCGGCCUUGAGUCUAUUAAUUAACCAGAGAAAACAAUCCAUACCACUGACACAACCGCACAGGCCAGCGUUUGUCAUACUCAUACCACCAAAUUUCAGUCACACUCUUUUUUUUCUUCUGCUUGAGUACUUACUAUUCAAGGCUGAAUUAUAAUUUUUUUUUUCUUGAGGUGCAAAUCAAAUUUUGAAUCUCCUUGUUUGUUUUCUCAUAACACAUCCUCUCCUUACAUGAUUAGGAAUUAUUGUUUUGUCUCUAAAAUGGAUACUUUUUACUCAUUUUGGUCUUAGAUAUACAAUUUUGACUAAAUGUCAUUAUAUUUAUUUAGGACAUUAAAUUGCGUACCUUUGGAGGCUUAUCAUGCAUUCACCCUCGCGAGAUAUUUUUUUUUGUGCCUUGUCCAUUUUCGGUUGUUGAUAGGUGGUGGGCACCGUUUUGCACUCCAUCUCCCGUAGACUCGUUUCUCCACUUAACGUUAGUUGUGAACUCUUAUCCCCUACCUAUUGGGCCUAUAUAAAGGAGAGAAAGCUACCCCUUGUACGCAUUGUUGAGAUCAGAAUUAAUAAAGAGCUCAUGUUCCUCUCUACUUUCUAGUGUUCAUCUACUUUACUGUAUUUUGUGAUUGUGUGUGUUUGACUACGAUCUUGAUGUGCAACCUCGGGACCGGCCAGCCGGCAGGAGUUGCACAACACGUUAUCAGCACGAGCCUCUACCCCAAGCCUUCAUCGAGCCUCCUCCAAGCAGGUUCUCGACAUAAAUCACGGAGGUAUUGGAUCCGAAAUUUUAUUGCAAAAAUGAAUUCCUCUUCGUGUUACGAUUCCGUUUUUGUGAUUAGAUUAUUUUCCGGAUUUUUCUACCCACGGUAUGGAUUUUCCUCGUGAGAUGUUGCCGACCAAGUCGCGGGCCAAUGCUGAUCAUCCUCGCCGCACGAGGGACUUGUUGACCAUCACCAUGGGGAGACGGUGUCGCACCACCGUGCUUCACCGCCGGCCACCGCAGGCUUCCAACCGCGAGCUGUCCCAAGCCACUGUCGAGCCGCCGUCUUGUGUGCUGGCUGCCGCUGCGUCGGGCACGAGCGCGCGCCGCUGCCGCGUGCGCAGGGCGCCAGCGGCGGCUGCCGCCUCGGGUGCGCGCGGGCCGCCCCCGCCUCGUGCGUCGGGCGUGCGGACCGCCGCCUGCGCGUGCACCGCCGCCUCGGGCGCUGGCCGCUGCGGCGUGCGCACGAGCCGCAGCCGUCUCGUGCGCGGGGCACCGCCGUCCCCUGCAGGGCGCGGGGGUGCCGCCGCCAUCGGCCGCCCCUACCGCCCGCCCCCGCCGGCCGUCGCAGCCUCGGGCGCGGCGCCGCCGUGCAGGGCGCGCGGGCCGCCGGCCACCCCUGCCGCCCGCGGCCGCCGCCCAGAGGGGAAACCCUAGGGGCGGGCGCGGCUGGCCCAGCUGGGCCGCGAGGGAUGGGCCAGUGGGCCGACUUCUGGGCUGAAAAAAAAGGAGGGGGAAAAUGGGCUGGCAACCCGAAAUGUAUUUUGGGCCAGGAAUUUUGCGUUUUAGCCCCUGGAUUUUACCAUAAUUACGCACAAAUGUUUGAUGUGCUGCGUUUUUGCGCGUAAGCCCCUGGAAGUGUCAGUUUUUGCUGAAACUGCACAUUUAUGCUCAAAAUGGCUUCGGGAAUGUGUUUUUGGGGCUAAUUUUUACGUUUAGGAAACGUUUAACUUGCCAUCUCUAUGCACAUGCUUGUAUUACCAUGUUUUACCAUUGUUGAUUAAUUGUAAUUAUGACUUAUUGCUUUUAAUCAUUAAGUAAGACAUGAACUCGCGUGUUUUAAAUAUUGGAACGUUGUCUUAUUGAAUACAUUGUAUCACCAUCGCAAUUGUGCAAGGGAUUGUUGUUGUAAUCUCAUGGUUACUUGCAAAAAUGCAGAUGGACGGAAUAAUACAUCGGGAAUUUGACGCGCUUCAUGAGAGCGGCGCAAAUUACCUCCAGUGGAAGUGUGAUGUGGAGCUUUUCCUCGAGUCAAAGGGACUCCUAGGGGCGGUCGGUCACUCGACCCACGAGGUCACUACCACCACGCCUGAGGAAAAUGAUGAGGUGCUGCAGUUCCUGUGGCGCCAUCUCUGCAACAUUCUGGAGGAAGAGUAUAUGGCUGAGACUAGCGCCAUGGCUCUUUGGACGGCCCUGAGGGAGCGGUUCGAGGAGGACGAACUUGCCAACUUCCAAAGGAAGGUACCCAUGUUACCCAUUGUGGGGCCUUUUAUGGCGCCAUAUGAGUAGCAGGCAAAUCCAGGCUGAGCCUGAUGGCGUGAUUGCUGAAAUGGCCUAGUCAUUAUUGUUCCCUUGAUGUUUUAGUUUAUUCAUUGAUGCAAUUGGGUUGUAAGCUCUAUGAGAGCAAACCAUAUCCUUUACAGCGAUUGGAUGAUAUCUGGUUCAUUCAUUAGUUCCUUUAUUUAAUACUGAUGGCUUGUUAUGUUCUGAAAUAUGUAAUGCAUUGACUUAAUUAUGUUGCUACUUCCUCGCUUCAUAAAUUAAUUAGAUGCUAUAUUUUAGAACACGUGGCGCUCGAAUGGAGGAAACGUGCCUUGUGGAUAGUUGUACCACAAACACCAUCUUGAGAGAAACUUGUUAUUUCGAGUCCAUUAAAAAGACUCCGGGGAGUAUCAUGACUAUCGCAAGGGGCGAGUCAAAAAUAUUAGGCUCUGGACGAGCUACUAUCAUACUCCCCAUGAGAACAACUUUGCUCAUUGAGGAAGCAUUAUUGUACACAGAGUUGACUCGAACUCUCUUGAGUUUUAAGGACAUCCGUGCAAACGGCCUCCAUGUGGAGACCGAUGAUGAUAAUGGCAAAGAGUGCCUACUUAUCACAAAGCGCGAUGCCCACGGUAAACAUGUUGUUGAAAAAUCCCCUUCAUUCGACACGGGGCUUUACUACACUAAGAUUGUAGCGCCGCCCGUGUACACUACCUUAAAGACUAUAUUUAGAAGUUCUGAACUAUUAUGCUUAUGGCAUGAUAGAUUAGGCCACCCGGGUAUUAGAAUGAUGAGAAAUAUAAUUAACAACUCAAAUGGGCAUGGGGUGAAUGUUAAAAAUUUCCCGAAUCAUGAUGAUUUCGUGUGUUCGGCAUGCGUGACGGUUAAAUUAAUCAUUCGACCAUCACCAUUGAAAGUGAGGGAUGAAAUCACUGCGUUUUUGGAAUGCAUCCAAGGGGAUAUAUGUGGUCCGAUUCAGCCCCUUUCGGGGCCGUUUCGAUACUUCAUGGUGCUCAUAGACGCUUCGUCUAAAUGGUCCUGUGCUAACUUCUUGUCUACACGGAACCAUGCCUUUGCCAAGUUGUUGUAAAUCAUACAAAUGAGGAAUAAUUUCCGGGAUCAUCGUAUAAAGUUUAUUCGAAUCGACAACGCUGGAGAAUUUUCUUCAAAAGCGUUCGAUGAUUAUUGUAUGGCACUUGGCAUUAAGGUUGAGCACUCUGUACCGCAUGUCCAUACGCAAAAUGGACCAGCGGAGGCAUUGAUUAAGAGGAUUAAAUUCAUUGCCAGACCACUCCUUCAGGGUUGUAAUUUACCAACCACGUGUUGGGGGCAUGCAGUGUUGCACGCCGCAAAUCUCAUCAACUAUAGACCCACGGCCGAUAACAUCCAUUCACCUGUCCAACUAGCGCAAGGGCCGGCACUGAAAAUUUCCCACCUUCAUAGGUUCGGUUGCCAGGUAUAUGUACCGAUACCACCCGCUCAACGAUCAGCAAUGGGACCGCUCCGUAAGUCGGGGAUAUACGUUGGUUAUGAGACAGUGCCCAUAAUCAGGUAUCUGGACCCCAUGACAGGAGACUGUCAUACGGCCCACUUUGCUGACUGCAUUUUUGACGAGGAUCUCUUCCCGACUUUACGGGGAGGAAAUUAACCUCUUGAUGAGAAAAGUCGAGAAUCGACGUGGCAAGCCACGGGGAUCCACGCAAACGACCCGUGCACAAGUGAGACACAUAGAGAAGUCCAAAAGAAAAUAGAUUUGCAUGCUUUAGCGAAUCAACUGCCUGAUCACUUUAGUGACUUGAGAAGUGUGACAAAAUCACAUGUGCCUGAGUGCAAUGUACCGGAAAGGGUAGAGAUACCCAAGGAUCCUGUGGGGCUACCCGCUCGAGUCCAAAGGCCUAAAAGGACGAGAAAUCCGGUUCCUCAAAUCCCAAGUACUCGGGGACGCCCGACGAAAGAGGACAAGGGGGAUUUAUCACACUCGGUUACUAAAAAGCCCCGAAAGAGUGAGGGGAGCCAAUUGAGACCUGGCACAAGUACGGAAUCUCCAGCGCAAGAAAUUCCGGACUUUAAACUUCCAACAAUGGAAGCACCCAGCGGAGAUGUGAGCACACACAUCGGCGCGGAAAAACUAAUGUUGGGGAACGCGGUAUGCUACGCUAGCACAAUAUAAAAAUUUCUACCGCUUCCGCCCGGAUCAAUGCUGUAGAUAAUGGAUCACGAGAUUACCACUAGACGCGCAGACCCAUAGCGGAAGUAGAGUCGAUGUAGCGCGUCGAUGCCGAGUAGUCGAACAGUCUGCUCCUCCUCGCCGAUCCCACGAACAGUUCGUCCAAGCGCCUCCGAGGUAUCCGCACGUACAGGGAGGAACUCCGUGCGGUGGACCGCUAGAUCCGAUCGCAAGGCUUUGGGCAUGGAGGUGUGACGGCCGAGUCUAACUCGCGUCUGGACUGGUGUAACCCUAACCGGGUACGCCUCCUCCACUUAUAUAGACCUCCCUGGUGGGCUUCAACACUUGAGGCCCGUUAGGAGUCUAAGCCCGAUGCGAGUUGGAUCCGAUCCAAUUCGGUCCCAUCCCCUUAAGCGUGUGACCCUACAGGUUCACGGUCAGACGGACACGACUACGAGCUCGGACUGCGGGUUCGAGUAACACCUUACUCGUCCACCGGCACCGACUCAAGUCGAUAGUUGGUAGCGGCGCCUAGCAGCACGUGCCAACUCCCGAGUAACCACAAGGUAUAUUGACGAACCAUACAAUGUGUCAUAUGCAACGUUCCUUUUGCCUCACGAUAUGUGUGUCGAGCUCAAGGCGAGUGCUUGUCAUCCUUGUGGAUAGCUCGACUCUCUUCUCGUUCCUGUGAUACAGAUUCCCGAACGGGUUAACACUUAACCCAAGUCGCAUGGCCAUGCUUUCCGAAUCUGAUCACUCGAGAGGGCCCAGAGAUAUCUCUCCGAACAGGAGGGGCAAAUCCCAUCUUGAUCAACCAUGAUUCGCAACAUGCUUCUCAGCAAACCCGAAAGCUACCUUUAUAACCACCCAGUUACGGAGUAGCGUUUGGCAACCCCUAAGUAGGCCGAUUCACAUCCCAAGCUCAUGCGAUGACCUCAAGUCUAGGACUGGCAUAUACAUCGUACUUGAGACUAACAAAUGACAAUCAUCUCGUUGUGUCUCAGUGCGGGUCUGUCCGACUCAACAAUCUCAUUGUCGAGUCCAUGCUAUCAGUCGGCAACACCUUGCCCUAUGACUUGUGAAACAUAGUCAUCAUACUGAUUCACAUUGCUAGUCUAGGUUAUGUGUCCGCAUAACCUCAAUGACCAGGGACCAUUAGAACAACAUCAUAGAAUACAUAGUCUCACAAACAAAUCACGUAUUUAUUGAUACAUAUCAGUGAUGAUGUUCAAUAACAAUAACUCAUGAAUACAUACGAAAUAACAUCAUCACAUGAUUGCCUCUAGGGCAUAUCUCCAACAACUAAAAGACCUCGCUCCAGGAAUGGGAAAUCCUGUGGAGACAGAGGAUGUGCAUGAUGCGCCCCAUGACGAAAUGGCCAUAGAUUAUGUUAACACGGGAGAAUCAAUAAACCGAGCGAAUGCUAAUGUCGACAUAAACUUUGCUAAGAAAAUUGCCGCAAUCAUCAAUCUUGACCCCGAGCCUAACUCGCUCGCUGAUUGUAAGAAGAGGUCGGAUUGGAAAGAUUGGCAGAAGGCAAUAGCUACCGAGUUAUUAUCUCUGCACAAAAGAGAGGUUUUUGGACCUGUGUGUCGAACCCCUCCCCACAUACGCCAUGUCGUCUAUAAGCUGUUAUUUGUCCGCAAGAGAAAUGAAAAAAAUGAGGUAGUACGGUACAAAGCAAGGUUAGUUGCUCAGGGGUUUACUCAACGACCUGGGGUCGAUUAUGAGGAAACCUACUCCCUGGUCAUGGAUGAAAUUACCUUUAGAUAUUUAAUCUCAAUGGCUGUCAAUAUGGAUUUAAAAAUGAAAUUGAUGGAUGUUGUUACUGCUUACCUGUAUGGUAACUUGGAUUCGGAUAUUUAUAUGAGGAUACCUGAUGGUCUUCCGGUUCUGAACCAAGACAGAGCAAACAGAGGUCUAUACAGUGUUCAACUCAGGAAGUCACUGUACGGACUUAAACAGUCGGGUAGAAUGUGGUAUAAUCGCCUGAGUGAUUUUUUACAUGAAAAGGGCUACAUGAGCAAUGAAGAUUGCCCAUGUGUAUUUAUACGGCGAUCCCAAGAUGGAUUCUGUAUAAUCUCGGUAUACAUAGAUGAUUUGAAUAUCAUCAGUACACCUGAGGAUAUUGAGGAAGCAAGUUCCUACUUGAAGUCGGAAUUUGAGAUGAAGGACUUAGGUAAAACCAAGUUUUGUUUAGGUUUGCAACUGGAACAUUCCCAUGAUGGGAUUCUAGUGCACCAGUCUACCUACACUCAGAAGGUGUUGGAAAGAUUUGGAUUUGACAAGGCAUAUCCUUCAAAGACUCCCAUGAUUGGGCGGUCAUUACAGCAAGACAAGAACCCUUUCAGACCGAAAGAAGAGGGGGAGGAAGUUCUGGGUUCAGAAUUUCCUUACCUGAGUGCUAUUGGAGCACUCAUGUACCUCGCGAAUUGUACACGGCCAGACAUUGCGUUCGCCGUCAAUUUGCAGGCUAGGUACAGCUCUGAACCUACCAAAAGACAUAUGAAAGGUGUUAAGGAUGUCUUUCGGUACCUGCAAGGGACCAAAGAUCUUGGCCGCCGAUGCUGGGUAUUUGUCGGACCCGCAUACAUCCAAGUCUCAGACUGGAUAUGUUUUUCUAUGUGGUGGAACUGCUGUUUCAUGGAAAUCGUCAAAGCAAAGUCUUGUAUCGACUUCGACGAACCACUCGGAAAUCAUAGCACUAUAUGAAGCAUCAUGUGAGUGUGUAUGGCUUCGAUGGAUGGUUCGCCACAUUCAGCAGACCUGUGGGCUGAACACCGUCCAAACCGCCACCAUUAUCUAUGAAGAUAAUGCAGCUUGUGUUGCACAAGUACAAAUGGGUUAUGUGAAGAGUAAUCUCACCAAGCAUAUAAAUCCUAAGUUUUUCUAUGCACAUGAGUUGCGAAAGAUGAACGAGGUAAAGGUCUUGCAUACUAAGUCGUGUGAAAAUCUUGCUGAUUUGUUCACCAAGUCAUUACCGGCAUCCACUUUUGAAAGGUGUGUGCGUGGAAUCGGUAUGUUGAGACUUAAGGAGAUGCAAGGUUCAGGGGGAGAUACUUCACAUACUCAUCAUUAAAUCUUGAUCAUGGCCAUCAAGUACUCAUCUUGGAGAUUGAGUCGGUUGUACUCUUUUUCCCUCAGCGAGUUUUCUUGUGUUUCUCGCAUGAGGUUUUUAACGAGGCAAUCUGUGCAAUAUAGCAACGUAUCAUAUGCGCUCUUUCUCCAUGUGUUUUUCCCACUAGGUUUUUUCGGAGUUUUUGAGGCAUAUGGCAUACGAAUAAGUGCCCAAGGGGGAGUGUUGAGGAACCGGUCGAUGGGGGGAGGGCCAUUGAUACGUGCGCCCCCCUCCAUCUCCCGUAGACCCGUUCCUCCACUUAACGUUAGUUGUGGGCUCUUAUUCCCUAUCUAUUGGGCCUAUAUAAAUGAGAGGAGGCUACCCCUUGUACGUACUGUUGAGGUCAGAAUUAAUAAAAAGCUCAUGUUCCUCUCUACUUCUUGGUGUUCAUCUAUUUUACUGUACUUCAUGAUUGUGUGUGUUCGACUACGAUCUUGGUGUGCAACCUCGGGACCGGCCAGCCGGCAGGAGUUGCACAACAUGCACAACACAAUCUCGCAAUGUGAUUUUUGGCCUUUCUUCCCGCGGUGUGAGUGUGAGUACGUAUGAUCCGGUGUCGAUCCGUUUUACUUUAUAUAAUUUAACUUUCACUUAAUGUCUCUAUAUAUUCAUGUCAGAUCAUGAUCUAGUGUAUACAUAAGAUUGAGGAAGUGCCAAGUGGUCUUGGUACUCCCAAACACAAUAGUCAUUCAUACAAAUUGUGAUGUUUCUCAAUACUUUUUUCCACAUAUACAUAAUAGUAGGUGUUUAUCAUGCCACUAUUUUUGUAAAAGACAAAUUCAGAUAUGAAUAUGAGAUAAUUAAAAUAGGUUGUGAACAUGAUGACAAAGUUGCAGGUGACACAUCUUAUGAUAAAAUUCUUUUGAAGAAUAACAACAUACACAUGGUAAGUUGUUUCCUGAGAGGAUAUUUUUUGAGGGGGACAAAGGAUACAAUCAUCACCUGGUACAUUUUUCCUUUGAUAAAAUCACAUGGUACAUGCUUAUUCGAUUCGGAGGAAAAUAAAACAUAGAAAAAUAAAAAACAUUCGAUUGUGACAGGGUGACAUUUGCCAUCCUAAGGAAUUGUCCUCGUUUCUAUGAAAAAAGAGUUGAAAUUAAGUUCAUUUCCUUCAAAAAAUUACUUUUCUUGUUUUCUCAAAACGAAUGCUUGUUUUAGAGGACAAAACGGAUGCCUUUUGUUUUUUAGAAUACAAAACGAAUGCAUAUGCAGUGAAAAUCCUCUAAACGAACUAGGCCUGCAUUGGAAUAGUUGGAAUGCCCAUUUUCCUGCCAACCCCAUCAACACACGACUUUCCAUAGAUGGGCCGAGUUGCGGAUGGCCCAAAUUUGACUUCCAAAGAUCCGAUCGGCCUGAUACGUACGACCCAGUCUUUUUACUCAACGAUGAGGCGGACGGCGGCGUUGCUGCUGCGUCACGGCGGCGGCGGCGGCGGAAUAUCGCAGGCGCUCGCCGACAUGCUCGUCUGCCCCCUGACCAAGAAGCCUCUCAGGUAGAGGGAAAGCAAAAUCUGGCCAAGGGAAAUGGCCUCUCCUCUUUCCAUAGCACCGCCCUCGAUCCCGUCCUACUACCUGCUUACUUCUGCAUGUGCAUGCUUUUCUUUUGCCCCCGCCAGGUACUGCGAGGCCAGCGGCUCUCUGGUCAGCGACGCCGUCGGCAUAUCUUUCCCGGUGAGUCUGCACGUCUCUUCCCGCUUCCUCGGCGCUCUGAACUGUACCUGGGUUGUCCAGGCCUUCAGGGUUAUAGUUGCCCCGUCCAUGCUUGCUGGUUACCUGUUUGUUGUAUUGCCGGAGCCGAGAAAACAAUUCAAGUACAAAUAGACAGGGCGAUUUCUUGGUAUAAUUGUUCAACAGUAAUGUGAACUCAUAGUAGAGGGUCACUAUAGGAUGUAGCUAGUGAUUAUUAACUACUCUUGCGGGGCGCUCUUGUGGCUAUUGGGGAUUUGAUUGUUUAAGAUGAAGUGAAUUAAUUUAGGAACUGACAUGUGCACAUGGUAACAUUUCUGCAAACAUAGCACAAACUAAAAGGGAUGGACCAGAGCUUGCAUAGUUCGUUGUGGAAGUUUUAGAAGGAGCACAUAAUGAAAUACUGUGAGGAUCAUGUUAAGUACUGGUUGUUAUCAUACGGGCAUUAAGGCGUGCACUGUGUUAUGUCUGGGAGUCUUGAACAAGCUAGAGAGGAUGGGUGGAGGUUAAAAGAAUAAAAUUGCGCACAAGUGGCUCACAAUCAACUGAUUCUGGUGUUGUGCAAAGCGGAAAUUAUGUUAACUUUGGUUUUUAGGAUAAAUAUGUCAGACACGGUUUUUCUGGACUAUCAGAUUAAAAAUUAACCCAUUUAGGAUCUCAAUUUAUUAUUUCUUGUCGAAAUUCAUCAAUUUCUCAUGCAGGAUACUUGCAUCACUCCUUGUGAACAGCUCCCAUUUUGCUUAGCCGUUAGCUCUUAUUUUAUUCUGAUGUUAACUCCAGAUAGUAGAUGGAAUUCCUUCUCUCCUUCCGAAAGAUGGGAAGUUGCUCGAGGACCACCAGGAGAAAUCAGGACAUGAAUCCAGUCCUAGGGAUUCUUCUCAUUAAAUUUGAGUAUGGUAGCAGCCGACAAAACCAUCCCAUGUUACAAAGAAAUAACCAAGAAUGAAAAGAGUUUGUGCUAUGAUCCAACUGUUUCUUGCUGUAGUAAAUCAUUGUCAGGUUGAUGUGUACCUGGGUACUAACUAUUCCGUGCAAAUGGAAUAAACUUGUUACACGAUUGCUGUUGGCCAAAAAUUGGUUUUGCCUCAUCUUGUUUUCAUGGUGUAUCUGUACAUUGAGCCUUGCAGACAAAAUCAUUAGGACCCUGGAAUCCCAAUAUGUUCUGAAUCUGCCUUGUUAGGCAGGAGUCACUUGGACUAAAUUUGAGACAAUCAAUUAUUGCACCUGUGUGAUGUUUCCUUUCUCGGCCGAAAGAAAGUUGGGAUGAUAUCCUCGAACCAGCCUUGGAUAUAUUAUAGCAAAGAUAAAGAUGAACAGGAAAACCGUACAUGGCAAAGCCAAAAAAUCAGGGAAAGCAGGAGUACCCGCCGAAGAAAAGUUGGUGCCAGAAAGCAAAUCUUACGUCUAUUCGAGUGUUCGUUUGGUAAGGAACAUGGUAUGUACGUACAUACAUGCAGUGACUGAUGCUGCGAUGCACAUGCAACAACCGUUGCAUGGCGCUUGCCGGAAUUCAUCUCCAGUUGACUGGAACUCAACAUCUUACUACUAUAUGCAUCGGCAUCUCAGCUUGCUAUAUCGAGUAUCUAGUGCUAAAAAUUGAUCAGAUUGCAUCAAAAGAGGUCAGAUUGUAUGACGGAAAUAAAAUAAAAUCCAUGCAGACCGGAUCGAUCGAUGUGACGCGUUACGGGCAGAGCUAGGAUGAGCAGUGACGGGAUGGCUCACCUACAUUCUGGAGGUAGAACAGCUCCGGUCAGUGUACCUAACCACUGAUCACUCACUCUGUCACUCAUUUUCUCCGGUUAAUCCAUUGCGGGUUAGCGAAGUUGCUUGCUUAGCCAUGGGAAAAGCUGACCUGCUUUUGUGCUGAUGAAGCAAGCUCAGCCGACACUUCGUGGCUUCAGCCGGCCAUGCAGGCGCAGAUGCAGCCCCUAACUAAACUGUUAAAGUUCUCUCCACCACAUAUAUAUAUUCCUGGUAGUUGACGAGGCUUGUAUACAAGGCUAAUACGUAGAAAAGUUCCCCCUCUUUCGACGUACGCGCGUCGUCUUCUGCAUGUUAAAAAGGUACGAGUACGCUGCCCUGUAUUUCGUUGGAUGGACUGGUUGGUGGUUCUCGAUCGGACGGACGGGAAAGGCCGCUGCGGGUAUCUGAUCGUGCAGGGCCCCUUGCACAGUUUGAGACUGAUCUUUGUGUACCUGAAAUGAAACCUCCUUCCUGUCAGGCCAGAAAUGUACGAAUGAUGGAUCAAUCCGGGCGCUAAUUAAUAAUAAGUGAGCUUAUUAGGCCGACCUUUCGCGUCGCAGAAGCUUUGUAUCCACGGAAAGGGAUCAGGCGCUGGAGUUUUAGGUGCACCUUCCCAUUCAGCUUAUCAUCCCGUAUAUAUGAUCACAAGCUGGAGCAGCUGCUCUCGCCUUAUAUAUAAAGACAUCGCAAUCCAGCCUCGGAUGGAUGCCGGUCCAUCAAUUCCCCCAUUGCAAAUUACUCUUCGUCGCACUCGCACAUGCAAAUUUUGGAGAAUUAGUUGGACUUAGACAUGGUGAUGAUGAUGGGGCACGUGGUGGCGCUCCUCUCGGCGGCUCUCUCCGGCUCCGGGAAGGCGGCGGCGGAGGAGCAGUACGUGUACCAGUCGUCGGGCUGCUGCGUGUGCAUCUCGAGGUUCCGCGACGGGGAGGAGAUACGGAGGCUGCCGUGCGGCCACGCGUUCCACCGGGACUGCGUCGACCGCUGGCUGGCGCUCUGCGGCCGCCGGACCACGUGCCCGCUCUGCCGCCUGCACGUCGGCGGCGUGGCAGCCGCGGUGGCGGAUGUCGAUGAUGACCACAUGCAGCUCAGUGACGAUCUCGUCAUCUGGUUCUCUUCCCUCUUCGUCGCCGGCUUGUAGGAUUCUUAGUCAAACCGGUCGAUCGUGUAAGUAGGAUACGAUCGACUCAUAUACAGAGGAACCUGGCAUUUGCCUGCCCGGCUUCCCUCUGCACGCAUUGCACCGCGCCCUCAUAAUUCGCUUCUGCACUUUGAUGUUUCCCCCAGUUCUACUUCUUCCUCUGCGAAGACUGCUCAUCUGGCAAUUGCUUCACUGCUAAACAGCUCCUAGUAUCGGUUACUGUUCUAAAAGAGGAGUAGAUAGAAAGUUGGGGCCAAACAGUACCUAACCACUACUUCUUGUGUACGUACUACUAUUAGUUUAGCUCAUUAAUAAUUUAGGAAUGAUGUUUGUCGCCCAAUAAUGAGGAAAGAGGACUGGUGGGGAAGAAUGCAAGCCUGUUACUGCUAGCUAUAUAUGCUCUCCUUCAGAAAAUGCGGGACUCUGUUUUUUUCUUCUCCAUCUGAUGAUUCGCUUGCACGUUUCUUCAUCCGGGUGCCGUAAAUUUACACAGUAAUUCCACUUCAUAUCUCCAAGCCUUGAACUACUACUUUGUGUUCGUGUCAGAACUCAGAAGACAACGCAACCCAAGGCCCCCACUUUGUUUCGGAAAAAGAAAAAGAAAUGAUAGCUCACCAAAUGGCAAGCUGACAUCGCUGUUCACCUCUGCCUGUCACAUCUGCACGCGCACUUAAUACAUCACCAUUGGCUGGUUCCCACGCGCCUUCUGAUUCUUCCACCCUGUACCGGCAUUGUACAAGCAUAUAUAUAUUAGCAUUAAUCUUGUCAAUAAAAAUUGAGAAACUGCGUGAAUAAAUUAUCGUGCAAAACUUAAAUGCACACCCAAGACGAUUAUUUAGGUCCUUGGAUGCAUGAUAAUAACUGACAAACACUGACGACAAAAGAUCGUCAUUUUUUGUCCUAUUUUGUUUGAGAUGACUCAAAAUAAGAUUAGUAUGACCAUAUAGGUUCCAUUCCAACAACAAAAUAAAUAGUAUGAUGGAAUCGAACAAUUUCUCUCCCACACUUCCAUUUGAUUUUUUGUUAAAAAGGUUAAUUGGAUUUAUGCCACUCUCUAUUUCACCUGUUGGAGAUAUGUCAUUACAAAAAUUUGACUUAGAAAAAUGCCAGUCUAACUUUUUUGUACCUUUAUUCAUGCCAUUUUGUCCCAUACCAGCACAUAUACUGCCUAAAUACGUAUAGAUAUAGCUCUAUACGAACAAUUUUUUUCCGAUCCCAAGUCAAAUAGUUAAAUUUCCUUAUUUCCCAAGCGUUUCUCAUAUCCCGUCCCCAACGGUGGACUUAUAUUAAUGUUUUUUAUUUUCUGUAUUUUUUAUAGAUUUUUUCUGAGAAGAUUGAAUUUUGGGCCAAAUUUGAAUUUUUUUGAACCUUUAUGGCACCUGAAAGACUCGAACUUGUAAAUAGGGGUAUUAUGGUAAAUACUGUUGUACAUGAUGAAAUACAUGUAUUUUAUGAACACAUAUUGGUCUUAAGUGGACAGAAUAUGAUUGAUAGAGGUAUAAGAAAAUUAGAUUGGCAUUUCUCCAAGUCAAGUUUUUGUAAUGCCAUAUCUCCAACCGGUCGAAUAGAGAGUGGGAUAGAUCCAAUUAACCCUUGUUAAAAUGGUGUUCUGAAAAGCCAAAUCUGACGGGAAUAAAACAGAAAAUGUGAACUAGGAUUACGACUCAUUUAUGUUCCUUCCACAAAUUUACAGACCAAUCGAUUUGGAGUUAAACGAAGAAACAAAAGAUAACAAGUUUACUGACUUAUAAUACUAUAACUGAAUAUUCCAAGCAACAAAAAAUUGAAAGAAGUGCUAUAUAAAUGGUUACCUGAACUUCAACUUCAGUCAAUGAGGUGAGUGAUUGAAGAAUCAAGUCGAAAUCUGAAGUUAGACCUUUUACCUGCAAAAAAUAUAAAGCAGGUAAAUCUAAAUAAACACAAACAAAAGUUCCAAAUGAAAUUACUCAUGACUUAUAUGAUCUCUUUUCAGUUUUCGGGCAACAACAUGCUUAAAAGGCAGCAAAAGAAGGAUAUGCACUGAGCCACGGAGGAAUGCUUCAGAUGACAAUUAUAGCAUUUGGAAAUUACUAUGUUAAAGCUCGCAAUUUCUGUCAAAGGAACCCAGCCUUGCUCAUCCAUCUGCUCUUUCAAGUGUAGAUCCGUGCAUAAGCUACCCUCACUACCAUAAGAAAGGGCACAAUGUUAAUAAUCUGAUAAACAAGUAGGAACCAAAACUAGAAAUGUCAGGGGGAUGACCCCGUAGGGUCACGUCGACACAACUCUAGCCGAGUUAACAGAGAUAAUUCUAGCCGAGAAAACGGAGGCUAGGCCGGCUUAGAUAAACAUGCCGGCAUCUCUGAGUGUGACUAACGCUAAGUCGGCUAAACCGGCAUACCCAGUGUAUGCCGGCACGACUGUUAUAUUUCGUAAAGCUUGCAGGAUCAAGAUGACUACGGGAACCUCGGCAGGAGCUGGGAUCCCUCAACGGUCUUAUCCUGACCAAACGGUGCGGAGUAAAGCAAAACCAUCAUCACUCCGGAAAAGCGGUCAGCGCCUCCACCACGGUGUCAGGUGACCACGCGCUGGAAGCACCGAAAGGAGAUUCCCUGACGAAGCCGGCACAGGAUAGCUGUACCUGCUGUCGGCAGACAGUAAGAGUAAAGUUGUCUUGUCCCCCAUAGUACUGCCUAGAGGGAGCAACGCCGCGUGUCCGGCGGGGCCCGUAGAUAGCGACGUCGGACUUGGCCCACAUGGCAGUGUACCAUGUGGCGCCUAUAAAUAGACCCCUACCCCACGCGGUAAGAAGAGGCUUAGCAGUUCGAGGGUUUUCAUUCCCUUCUUCUUCUUCUUCUUCCCCAAGAAUACAGCUAAAGGGGCACCAUUGUAGAGCUUCUCUAUCUCGGCUAAUACAGCAAGGCAGGAGUAAGAGUCUUACCUCGACAAGAGGGCUCCGAACCUGGGUAGAUCUGGGUGUUCUUGCGUGUUUUGUGCGUGUUCUUGUUCACGUCCUCCCUCCUCCGGAUCCACCAUCGUCCCCAAGUUAAGCCAUCCUAUGGCAUCUGCUAUGACACCACCACGACAGUUGGAGCCCACCGUGGGGCCAGCAGCGGCGCGGGCUGGAGUUUUCAUCCGGACGGGAAGCUUCCUUGUCACCGGAGAGCGUGUGGUCUUCGGUUUAGUCCAGAGAUUCGGCUCUCUGGGCUUCAUCGACAACAACGCGGGCUGCUUCAACGGCACACCGCUCCCUUGUGCCGGCCGCUUCAUCAAUUUCGGCAUGCACGAGGUCUACGUCGCCAUUGACCGUCCUUGCAGGUACCCAGAGCAGGUGGUGAUGGCCGACGAUCCACCUGCCGUCCGCGCGGUUCGUGACCGGCACGCCGACUGCCCCGCUGACCGUGUGGAGGUCAUGGUGACUGCACACGGCGCCGACACGGGGAAGGACGCCGCAGGAGGCGGCGUGGCCCAAACCAGGUUCGGAAGAACGGCAAAGCUUCCCUUGGAGAAGCUGGAGAACAUCGCUGCUCAGGCUGGCACGUCGGCCUUGCCGCCGAAGCCGACUCAAAUCCAGGCCUCCAUCGAGCGGCUGACUACGCCGGUUGCGUCCCACGUUAACCCGGCUCAGCUGUAGGCGGAGUUGGAGCUGGAGAGGCAGAAGCUGCUGAAGGAGGCCGUCGACGUCGCCAACGCCAGGCAGCAGUUGGAGAUUUCGCUUCGUGAGUAUAACAAAGCUCAUGGUCUUAAUUCUACUACGUUUACUAACCCUAGCAGAGUUGGGGAGGUGCGUAACCAUGUCAAGAAUUUGAAUGCCGAGAUGACAAGAGAUGGCAGAGUUGUGCUAGUUGUGUCAGCAAGUUUCGCCUCGGCACUGAAGCCGGAAUACAAUAACCCUGUAAAAAACCUUCGGGCUGCCGAGGCUGCAGCUGAGGAGUUGCCGAAUCUCACGGGAGAGGCACUUCGUGAGCAGCAACUGUGCGUGAAAGAGCUGCUCCAAGCGGCUAACGAGCAGAACGAGGCAUACAUGAGAAUGCACGGCAAAGCCAGUGCAUCGCAGGUCAUUCACUCGGCUGCAGACGCUGGAGGCCGGGUUGAUAAACAAGCAUCCUCGCCUGGUGGCAAACGGGACAAGAGUGUCAACUCAGGCCGGGGUAAACACCUUGAACGUUGUGAUCCAGCUUUCGCCGAGAGACAGAUAGGCAGGAGGGUCGAUGACAGUCAGAGUGGUCUGCGUCCCGGCGGAAAUCGCCGAGAUCAGCAGGAGUGCUACUCGCAUGAUCAAGGAUACCGAGUUAGGGGUCCAUCACCCAAUACUGCUGCGAGACAGCAGGGUGUCGGGCAAAACCCGAUCUAUCAAGGUGACGAUCACCGACAUGACCGUUACGAUGACGGAUACUCGGCCUUGGCCGACGAGGGUUAUAUCAGGCGGGAACGCGAUAACCUCGGCCCACUCGGAGGCAGAGUCGGCAACAGGCAGGUGUCACCCCUGAAUGCCCGGCAUCGCCUUGACCGAAUAUACCUGUCUGAGCUCCUGGAAGAGCAAGGCCCUUCGGGACCAUGUUGCUUUGCGAGCCGAAUCAUGAGGGAAAGACCUACUCCGGGUUUCCAGCUGCCCAGGGGUACGAGAACCUAUGACGGCAGCACUAAGCCGGAAGACUGGCUGGAAGACUAUGUCAUGGCGGUAAGUGUGGCAGGUGGCAACCGCAGAUGGGCAGUGCGUUACGUACCCCAGAUGCUUAUCGGACCGGCAAGAAUUUGGCUGAACAAUUUGCCGGAAGGCAGCAUCAACUGCUGGAUCGACUUCGAGGAAGCCUUUGUCAGCAACUUAUCGGGACACAAUGCUGAAACUUGGCAUUACCGACAACAUGCUUGAGCCAAGCCGGACCACUUUUCACGGUAUCGUGCCGGGAGUGUCUUGUGCCCCUGUCGGCAAGAUCCGAGUCGAUGUCUUAUUCGGCACCCGUGAGAACUGUCAGACUGAGAAUUUAUUGUUCGAGGUGGUGGAUCUCAACAGUCCGUACCACGCAUUUCUCGGCAGGCCGGCACUUGCUAAGUUCAUGGCUACUACUCAUAUCGGUUAUCUUAAAAUGAAGAUGCCGGGACCAAAUGGAACCAUAACAAUCACGGGUAACUACAAGUGUUCAAUCGAAUGCGCUGCGGCAGGAUCGGCUCUGGCUGAGUCAUUGGUCAUUGCUAGCGAGAAGAAGAAGCUGCAGGAGGCUGUGGCGAUGGCUCAGGCGGCACAAACUGGCCUGCCGGCUAUGACGAAUCCUCAUGGAAGUGUGGCUUUCCAAGCGGCCAAAGAGACAAAGAAGAUUCAGAUUGACAGUGAGUUCCCGGACCGCACCGUCAUCAUUGGACCUGGCCUGAGUGAGAAAUAGGAAGGCGAGCUCACCAGCUUCCUCCGUGAGCAUUGGGACAUCUUCGCAUGGUCAAAUCAAGACCUGCCGGGUGUGCCGAAGGAGCUAGCUGAGCACUCAUUACAUGUCAGACCAGACGCGAGACCGGUGAAGCAGCCUCUUCGACGCUUCGCUGACGACAGAAGGAAAGUCAUCUUGGAGGAGAUAUCCCAGCUUCUAGCUGCCGGCUUCAUCAUGGAGGUGCUACAUCCCGACUGGCUGGCAAACCCGGUCAUGGUCGAGAAGAAGAAAGACGACCUAACUGCCGCCAAGGUGUGGCGCAUGUGUAUCGACUACACCAGCCUCAACAAGGCGUGUCCUAAAGAUCCUUUCCCGUUACCUUGGAUCGAUCAAGUGGUUGAUUCUACUGCCGGGUGUGAGUUGUUGUCUUUUGUGGAUGCGUACUCUAGUUUUCAUCAGAUACCACUGAACCCUAAUGAUCAAAUAAAGACAUCGUUUAUCACCCCGUUCGGGGCUUAUUGCUAUUGUACUAUGCCGUUCAGCUUGCGAAAUGCAGGGGCUACCUAUCAAAGAUGCAUGCAGAAAUGCUUGCACGAUCAACUCGGCAAGAAUGUGCAAGUAUAUGUCGACGAUGUCGUCAUAAAAACCAAGGAAAGCGCUUCGCUCCUAGACGAUAUCCGGGAAACAUUUGCGAAUCUGAGAAGGUUUCGAAUGAAACUGAACCCGGCUAAGUGCACAUUUGGUGUGCCGGCAGAAAAGUUGCUCGGUUUUCUAGUAUCAAGCCGGGGCAUCAAAACAAAUCGUGGAAAAAUCGCUGCCAUAGAAAAAAUGAAAUUGCCAAAGUGCCUUAAAGAUGUGCAAAAAUUCACAAGAUGCCUAGCAUCGCUAAGUCGCUUCCUUAGUCGGCUGGGCGAAAAGGCUAUGCCCUUAUACCAGCUGAUAAAGAAGACUGACAAAUUUGUGUGGACGCCACAGGCAGACCUAGCUUUCCAGGAGCUGAAGAAAAUGAUUGCCACGUCGCCGAUAUUGGCCUCUCCAAUGGAGAAAGAGCCGAUGUUGUUAUACAUCGCGGUGACCAACCGGGUUGUCAGUGCCGUCAUAGUGGUGGAGAGAGUUGAGGAGGACAAGUCGGUGCAAAGGCUGGUAUAUUAUUUGAGCGAGGUGCUAUCAUUGUCCAAUCAGAACUACCCCCAUUAUCAGAAGAUGACUUACGGUUUUUAUAUGUCGGCAAAGAAGUUGAAGCAUUACUUUGAUGCACAUCAGAUCCGAGUUGUCUGUGAGACGCCUGUCUCGGAAAUCAAGAGUAACAAAGAGGCAAGCGGCCGGGUAGCAAAAUGGGCAGUUGAACUAGCACCCUAUACGCUACAAUACGAUAGACGAGAUGCCGUGAAGUCUCAAGUUUUGGCAGAUUUUCUGGUGGAUUGGGCCGAGAUGGAGUAUGAGCCGCCACCCCCGGAGACAUAUUAUUGGAAGAUGCACUUUGACGGCUCCAAGAUGAAAAGCGGGUUGGGUGCCGGCAUAGUUCUAACCUCGCCUAAGCGUGACCAGCUCAAAUAUGUACUGCAGAUUCACUUUGCAGCGUCCAACAAUGUCGCCGAGUAUGAAGCGCUAGUGCAUGGACCGAACAUGGAAAAGGAGAUAGGAGUUCGCCGGAUUCAAUGCUUUGGUGAUUCCGAUCUAGUCGUCCAGCAAGCUUCCGACAACUGGGAUGCAUUGGAUGCCAACAUGGCGUUUACCGGUUUCAUGUUCAUAAUAUCAAUGGCCAUUUCGAAGGGUGCGAGUUCCACCACAUACUUCGGGCGGAAAACGAAGCGGCCGACACACUGUCGAAACUCGGUUCGACAAGACAGGCCAUUCCGGCUGGAGUAGCACUGGAGCAUCUACGCAAGCCGUCUAUCAAGCCAUUGCCAGAAUCGGAGUCCAUAUUCAUUCCGGCAAGUUCUGAGGCCGCUACGCCUAUGAACAUUGACGGUGGUAACGGUUCCGGUAACCCAGGGACUGAGAGCCUGAACUCGGUGGAAGCAAUGGCGGUUGAGCCAAUGGGGGUAGACGAGCCGGGUGAGCCAAUCUUCACUAUUCGUCCCGUGCCGGCAUGGGCUCAGCCGAUAAUGACUUACCUCAAAGACGGGAGUCUGCCGGAAGAGGAAGUGUCGGCAAGGUAGAUCCGAUGAAGAGCAAAGGCGUACGCCAUCAUCAAUGGUGAGCUUUACAAGAGGAGUGUCACUAACAUCCUACAAUGAUGCGUUGAGCCAGAAGAAGGGCAGGAGAUACUCCGGGAUAUCCAUCAGGGAGAAUGUGGUCAUCACGCAUCUUCAAGAACGUUGUUAGGCAAAGCUUUCUGGCAUGGUUUCUAUUGGCCGAGUGCACUACAGGAAGUGGAAGAUAUAGUCAGCAAGUGCAAUGGAUGCCAGAGAUAUGCUAGCAAGAUCCAUAUGCCGGCAUCCGAGCUUAAAACCAUCCCAAUCACUUGGCUAUUUGCCGUCUGGUGUUUGGACAUGGUAGGGCCAUUUAAGCGAGCGCGAGGAGGCAUGACGCAUAUCCUGGUCAUGGUCGACAAGUUCACUAAGUGGAUUGAAGUCAAGCCGAUAAAGAAUUGUGACGGCAAAACGGCGGUGUCAUUUUUGAAAGAUAUCAUCUUAAGAUAUGGAUUCCCGCACAGUAUUAUAACGGAUAAUGGGACAACUUUGCAGAGGGGCCUUUCGCACGUUUCUGUGCCGAGAAGAAAAUCCGACUAGAUGUUGCCUCUGUAGCGCAUCCUCAGUCCAAUGGGCAAGUGGAAAGAGCAAAUGGUAUGGUCUUGGCCAGCAUAAAACCCCGGCUAAUCGAACCAUUGGAGCGCACUCUGGGAUGCUGGUUGGACGAACUCCCGGCUGUGUUAUGGAGUCUCCGGACAACUCCUAAUCGCUCUGGAGGAUACACGCCAUUCUUCCUCGUAUACGGGGCAAAAGCUGUCUUACCAGCCGACAUUGAACAUGACUCUCCACGAGUAACCAUGUACACGGAGGCCGAGGUAAAAGAGGCCCAAGAAAACGAUGUCGACCUGCUCAAAGAAGCACAAGAAUUGGCUCUAUCUCGGUCGGCCAUCUAUCAACAAAACCUAAGGCGUUAUCACAGCCGAAAGGUCAGCCCGCGAGUAUUCCGGGAAGGAGAUCUUGUCCUCCGGCUUGUGCAACGCACAACCGGCACGCACAAAUUGUCACCUCCAUUGGAAGGACCCUUCAUCGUGAGCAAAAUGCUCCACAACGAUUCCUACUAUCUUAUAGAAGCUCAGGACCCCAAGGCGAACAGGAUAGACCGGUCGGGCGAGGAGACCAAGAGGGCAUGGAAUGUAGCUUUGCUCCGUCCGUUCUAUACUUGAAAGAUGAGUAUCUGCAUCAUUUUUUCCUUAUAUCGAAUAUUUCAAUUAAGACAAUGAAAUUAUCCGCCGAGUUCUUAAAAGAAACUCGGGGACUUCUGUAUGAUUUGCUGCAAUUAUUUUUUGUAUGUCGGCAUGGCUUGGUUGUGUAAUCUUACGUUGAUCUAGUACUAUGUCGGUCUUGACAACACCCCUCUAUGACUUCGCUGUUGUCCGCAAUCCAGCUUCAUGGCAAGCUAGAAAUGGGUAUAAGAUAAUCGUGCACACGAAAAACGACUAAGGAAAUAAGCAAAGAGGCGAUCCGAGAUAUGUUUCAUUUCAGCUCGGCAUUUUGUAUUAAUUCUUCUAUUGCCGGGCAAGUUCUCCGAGUUAUCUUUUUCCAAAAGGGUGGUUUUAUGACUUUGCAAUUCAUACGUCGAACGCCGACAAGGCAGACAAAAGAACCGAAGUUGUAGCAUUUCACUAAGAGGAAAAAGACACUCGGGGACUCGGUCGGGAAUACGAUAAAACAAACGACUUGAUUAAAAUGAGAAUUUAGUACUUAACAAACAAGAGUAUGUUGGUUACAUUUGCACCCGACAUUCCGGGGAUCUAACUAUUUUACAGUUUCUUUCAAGCUCCAUAUGACAAGGCAGCCGGGUUGUUGGUGUUGGGACUCGGCUGGGGGGGAGGCCGACUCCACAGCGUUUUCCUCGUCUACUGCUUCUUCCUCCCCAUCCGUCAUCUCGGCAUCGGCGUCAAAGAGGGGGCCUUCUACAAACUUAUGCACAUCGGCAUAUUGUAUGAAGGAGUAAGCCCUUUCUCGGCACUCAGCCAUCAACUCCGGGUCCGAGAGAUAACGGGAGUCGGCGUGCAUAGUCUGGAGCACAUCGAGGUUAAUGCCAUCGUACCAAGAGAGUAUGAAUGACAAAGCCUCGUCGGCUCCGACGCGUGCAGUAGACUCCCGCCACUCAUCCAGCCGGGACGGGCCUUCGGCCAGCCGCCUGGACAAGUCCGGGAUCUCCACAGGCACCUCCUCCCCGGGCCACAAAACUUUGAAAAGCUGGAGGCAGGCAUCCACCAUGUCGAUGCCGAAGGACUUGAGAGGUUUUACCCGGCAAGCAAUGCUCACCAGGUAGUCCUCCAAGUCCCAUUCUAAUGGUUCCCCUGCCGCCACUGCCGGAUCCCUUUUCUUGCGAGCUUUUAUCAUGGUCGCUUGGGCAUGCUCGACGGAUAAGGGAAAAUAUUCUGGCAGGAGCAGAGAACAGUUAAUUAGUCUCGGAAUGACAGUGCAAGCAAUGCUCACCAGGUAACUAAAUGGAGAGGCUAAGCUUACUUGUUAGCAUGGAGUCGAUUUUGAUGAUGUCACGCUGGAGAGCGUCGAUCAGGCCCGCCUUAUCGGCAUCCUCCAGCUCGGCGACUGUCACACGAGUCUCGAAUGCGGCAGCGACCUCCUUGCACUUCUUGACCUCGUCUUCUAGACGGGUUUUCUCAUCCUCUCGAGCAGAGAGGGCUGAGGUGAGUUGGUUCACCUCGGUCUUAUGCGCCUCUGCUUGCACAACGAUCUCGGCCUGCAGCUGAGAGAUCUCCUUCUGAUGUUGCUCGGUUAGCCGAGUCUUCUCAUCUAUUCAGUCAGAACGGAUAUUACAAAAGCCGACAUUCAAUGUGAACGAAACUCGGAUUGCGGGUAGAUCUUUACCUUGUAGCUCGGAGACGCGCUUCAACAGCUCCUCCACUUGGGCGUUAUCUCUGGCUGAGGACAAGAACAUAUGUUAACUUAUAUCCGUUAUGCAUACUCAGACAGAGAUUGUAUAUUGGCAGAAUAUACUUACUUCGGCUCUCGUGCUCCGCCUUCAAGGCCUCGUGCAAUGCCUCCAACUUCUUGUACAUACCCAACAGCCCUUUGAAGGCUGCGGUGCGUUUAUUCAUGCAGAGCUGCCAAAUGAAGAAGUACAACCAAGUUUACUAAAACAGGCAACUGGUAAUGAAUCUCGGGGAAUAAGUGUUUGAAGUUUCUAAGCUUCAGGCCGACUAUUCUAAACUCGACCUGAAUCUCGGGGAAUAAGUGUUUGAAGUUUCUAAGCUUCAGGCCGACUAUUCAAAACUCGACCGGAAUCUCGGGGAAUAAGUGUUUGAAGUUUCUAAGCUUCAGGCCGACUAUUAAAAACUCGACCGAAAUCUCAGGGAAAUAAGGGUUUGAAGUUCUACGAGCUAAGCUUCAGGCCGACUAAUUUUUACUCGCCCUAAACCUCGGGGACUAGGAGUAUAGGUACUAUACUUAGAUUGGGAGUUAGAAACUUUUAAGGAAUUUUGCAUACCUUGGUGGCUCGGUCGGCUUCAAACAGGGUCAUCCGGGCUUGGUACAUCCGGGCCGCCACUGACUCCGGAGUCGCUGCCGGGGGUUGCCCCACCAAAGGGUUUUACCAUGCCGCAUGCACGGUGCUGGAGGUCACUUCGUAGUGAUCUGCUUGGUUCCAGUCCGUGACAAACUGACCGAGCGACCCCCAGCUCUGUCCGCUGCUCGUCUGGAGCGAGAUUUCCUGUUGUCAGUCUGAGCAACGCGGGGCAGCCGACCCUGGAGCAUUCGGCCCUGCUGUGACAGCAGGGCCUUUAGCCUUAGCCUUAGCGGCACAGGCAGCGGUAGCCUGGACGGUCUUCUCCGGCCGCUUGGCAGAUGACGGCAGAGUUGGAAUCCGGGUAGGAGUUGGAGUCGGCUCCGGUUGCGUUGGAGAUGGCGGCGGAGUUGGAAUCCGGAUAGGAGUUGGAGUCGGUUCCGGGCCUUGGGGGACCUGGGGACCCGCAGCAGGUUCUUGCGGUGUCUCGGAACCCGGUGCCUCCGAGGUGGUUUCCGCUGCGACCGAGGAAGGCGCUGGCUCGGCAGCAGCUUCACCCGCCGAAACCCUGGCAGCAGGGGUCUCGGAUUGGCCGACGACGGUGGCGUCGGCACUUGGAUCAACAUCCUGGGCCGGGGAUGUCGAAUCCGCGACGGUCUCAGUCCCGCGCACAGCCGGGUCAGAGGCCUCGGUGCGGGAAGGUUGAGAUGCCGGAAUCUCGGACGCAAUGCACGACCGAGACUGGGUUGCAUCCAAAGCUUCCCUGCAGAAGAAAAAGUUUAGCUACUUACUUGACAACAAAAGAAGAAGGCGGACGUAAGCAGUCGAGGUGAGCUAGGCCUUACCCGACGACCAAGGGUUUGGGCUUGGGGCCACGAGCCGCUGCCCUCUUCCGCUUUACGUUCUGCGGAAGCUCCAUCUCGGCGGUGCGCUUCUUCUUAACGGUGUUUUUCUGCCGAAUCAGCGCCUCCGCCGCAGGCUCGCCCGAGUCGGCUGCAUCCGGGAAAGAAUGAACAAAAUCACCUCACUGAUAGAUGUUGAGAAAUCACGGAAGAAUGUCGGAGAUUCUUACACUCGGUGCGGCGAGGAGCGGCAUAUGGGAUUGGCAUGAAGUCCUCCGAGUCGGGGUCCUCAUCGUCGGCCGUCUUGUGCGGAGGCGCAAAGCGCUUGUCGGGGGAGUCCCAGUCCUCUUGACGCUGAAGGGUAAAACUCUACGCAAGGGAAUCAGAUUGAACCGGGAUAAGAAUGCAUUAGGCAGAUGCCGAUAUACAUAUAUGACGGAUACAAACAUGAAGCGACAGAAAGAUGAAACUUACCUUGGGAGCACGACGAUUCCGGGCGUAUGCCGGCAUACCCCAUGACCAUUCUUUCGACAUGCUGGUCUUGGCGAUCGCCUUAACCGGCGCCAAACCUCCGCAUGGGAGAGCUUGAUGGUCGAGAUCCUGUCCGGAUCAAACUGGCCGCCAUAGUGGCACAUCUUAUGAACUUGGCGCUGGAGCGGGCACAGGCGCCGGUAUAUGAAGGUGGCCAGGAGGUCGUCGGUCGACAUCCCAUUCUUCUUGAGCUCAAGGAUCUGGGCGUGAAUCUCGUCAGCCUGCAGGAGGUUGUCUUUCAAGUCGACAGACCAAUUCCUUUUCUCCUCAGGGGGCCCAAUCUCGAAUCCCGGAAGAUUAAUAUAGUCGGUGGGGGUGGCGUUCUUGACAUAGAAAUAGGUCUUGUGCCAUUUUGUGCAUGACUCAAGACAUUGGAUUUUAGGGAACACGGAAUUACGCGAGGAACGAUGGUGGCAGCCCCGCACUGGGUCAUCAUCUUUGGUGCGCCGAGAUUCUCCUUGUCCGGGAUAACCUGUGGCGGGAACAUAAAGUACCGAGACCACAGGACAAUGGAUGGCCAGAGGCCGAGAUAGCCCUCGCAGCAUGUGGCAAAUGCCGAGAGAGUAAGAAUAGCAUUUGCCGGGAGAUGGUGAGGUUGGAGACCGAAGAAAUCAAGAAAGGAACAGAAGAAGUCGCCAGCCGGAAGAGCGAAACCGCGUUCAAAAUGAGAGAGGAAGACGACGUGUUCACCUUCCUCAGGAGCGGGAACGACCUCGUCGCCGGGAAGCCGGGACUGAACCCCCUUCGGGAUUCAUCGGGAGUUGUGAAGCCACUUGAGAUCCGCCGAGGUGACCUCGGAGCCAUCCCACGUGGCUCGCUCGGAGCUGGUCUUCUCCUCCGCUUGAGCAGCAGAGCCGGCGGCCGGAGCGCGAGAAGAGGACGCCAUUGUUGGGGAAACAGAUCUAGGGCUUGGAGCUUCGGAAGAGGAAGCGCUUGCGCGAGGCCUGGGCUAGCUAGCGGAGGUGGUGGAGAACCGGAGGCUUGGGAACAGGCUAGCGGCGGCAAGCUCAGAGGCGAGUUACCGCGGUGGCGGAGUUGCUCGGAGCAGCGGCGGCGAAGUGCGUAUGGAGCAGAGGGGAUAAGUGCGCGAGGAGAACGAAGAGGCGGGGAGAGCGAGGAGUGUGAAGGGUUUUUUCGCCCACGCCCUCCUCCUCCUCUUAUACCCGAAGCACAGUUAUGGGAUGCACGUUUCCCGUGAUAUAUGCUUAGUGGCUAACGGGAGGAUCGCGCAUGAUUCGGGCAGUUAUGUUCAUCAAGGCGUGCGUUCGGUUGCUGUGUGGCGUGCCGCCGAGAAUCCCGCAAUAUCCGGCGGAUAACUGUUCGCGUGGGAACCGAGGUUAUCUUUAAAAGCUAUAUCGGCGUUACUGUCCGACGCGACGGCAUGUUCGCAUCAAAAGGCGCAACGGCAGUAACUGAAGCCUUAUCCUCCCGUUGGUAGCUGUUAUAUCGGCAAAUGGGAGCUUUCGGUCAUCAGUCAUAAAGAGAGAAGGAUCCCGGCUAGAAGCUGAGCAAAUAUCUCAACCCGGAGUCCCGGAUUAAAUUGGUCUCGGCUAGCUGAACCGGGAAUUACCCCGGCAUCUUUCUCGGCUAAACCCGAGUAAACUGUUGGUGGUCUGUUGUGGGAAGCUGUCGCAACCCGACAUCUUUCUAUGCUGGACCGCACCAGCUUCGAGGACUAGUGUCGGGGGGAUGACCCCGAGUAGGGUCACGUCGACACAACUCUAGCCGAGUUAACAGAGACAGUUCUAGCCGAGAAAACGGAGGCUAGGCCGGGUUAGAUAAACAUGCCGGCAUCUCCGAGUGUGACUAACACUAAGUCGGCUAAACCGACAUACCCAGUGUAUGCCGGCACGACUGUUAUAUUUUGUAAAGCUUGCAGGAUCAAGAUGACUACGGGAACCUCGGCAGGAGCCGGGAUCUCUCAACGGUGUUAUCCUAACCAAACGGUGCGGAGUAAAGCAAAGCCAUCAUCACCCCGGAAAAGCGGUCAGCGCCUGCACCACGGUGUCAGGUGACCACGCUCUGGAAGCACCGAAAGGAGAUUCCCUGACGAAGCCGGCAGAGGAUAGCUGUACCUGGUGCCGGCAGACAGUAAGAGUAAAGUUGUCUUGUCCCCCAGAGUACUGCCUAGAGGGAGCAACGCCGCGUGCCCGGCAGGGCCCGUAGAUAGCGACGUCGGACUUGAACCACAUGACAGUGUACCAUGUGGCGCUUAUAAAUAGACCUCUACCCCCCGCGGUAAAAAGAGGUUAGCAGUUCUAGGGUUUUCAUUCCCUUCUUCUUCUUCUUCUCCAAGAAUACAGCUCAAGGAGCACCAUUGUAGAGUUUCUCUAUCUCGGCUAAUACAGCAAAGCAGGAGUAGGAAUCUUACCUCGACAAAAAGGCUCCGAACCUAGGUAGAUCUGGGCGUUCUUGCGUGUUUUGUGCGUGUUCUUGUUCACGUCCUCCCUCCUCCGGAUCCAUCAUCGUUCAUCGGCAGCAAGUUAAGUCAUCCUAUGGCAUCUGCCGUAACACCACCACGACAAGAAAUAAGAACAUAUAUUCGCUCCAAAUCUAAAGGAACUAGAGAGCAACCUAAAAUAAAAUUCAACUUGACGGCGUAUCUUUUCUUCAAGCUUUUCUGCACUUGGCUGCGCGGGUUUGGGUUCCUCGACGACAAGUGGUUGCGCUGCUUGCUGCUGCUCCAUACGCGGAAACAUCGGGUGCACCGGGAGAAGUGUUGGAUAUGGCACAAAGUGAAGGGCAUCUUGUGGUGGGGGUACAACGUACCAAGGAGGCACAAAUUCUGCCAAAAACAGCAAAUAAUCAAGCAAAUUAUUGCUAUUCGAUGACUCAAUCACCACCUAGUCAUGCAAGCAAUUGCUUGAACACAUGGAUCACGUACCAGUCUGUGGCUGUGCAUAGCCAAUAAUCGGUCCAUAGUAACAUCCGUAGAACAGCUGCGGGGAGAAUAUCUGCGUAGGUGGCGGAGCGAAGACCGGCAUUGGCGGCGGCACAAGGAACGGAGGACCAGGAUGCCGAUGCCCACCCUGGUGACCCCUGCUGCCGCGGUGAUGCCUGUCAAAGCCUCCGCGGUACUGCUCCUGCCCAUGCCAGACAGCACCUCCAUUGCCAUUGCCAAUGCUGAUGCCACCAACCAUCCUCCUCCCGCUUCCCCCAUCGUGUUCGCCCUUCCUGUUGUGAUGAGGCGGGAUGCGCCCGUUUGGGUGUCUUGCAGCGGCACCACCGUGAUUCCUCGCUUGUGCGGCAGGGGCCUGUGGGCUCGAGACAGUGCCGGCACGCGUCUCUGGUGUCGGACGUGGGGCACGAUCGCCAUGGCCGGUCAUCUUGGCGACUGGAUUUCCUGUCGAUGAUGAUGGCACGCUCUGAAACUGUGCAACCGGCGGUAAUGAACGUCAGUGUCCCAACCAACGGAUCCCCGAUCAAGUAAUCAAUCUGAAAAAGAGAUCAAAACUUCACAAAGCAAAGGGAGGAGCACUCGCCGUGGGUUGUGGAGGCGGAGAAGGAACAUCGGUGGAUGCUUUCGACGACUGUGCCACAACGCCACCGGGAAGAGCCGGACGGAACUCAGCGCUGCCAAUGACGUGCAUAUUAGCGACUAAUUCCUCCACAGCAGUCGGCGCACGCCUCAAGAGUCCAGGCGGCAGAAGCAGGAUCAAUGGCGAGGAGAGGACAGUUAGAUCGGUCAGGGCCCUUGGAGCGGGCAACCGUCCUGGCACCUGAGGGUGGUGCCCCGCUAUACAUGUAUGCGUGGAUCGCAAUUAGGGUUCCGGCCGCCGCCUAGGCAUCAUCCAUGGAUUUAUUCGUAUGGUUUUUGUUGUUCGUGAUGUGUUAGAUUUAUUAUGUACACAGCGGGAGAUUGAAUUGGACACGUGUUCUAUCUUGGUGUUCCUGGAAACGGAAAAGAAGGAAAAUAAUCCUAUACGACCCAGCCCAGUACGACCUUGGGCCAGCAAGUAGACGAAGGUAGAAAAAAAGUCGAUCAACCAAUUGAGCCAUGGGCCCAUGGCUUAUCGGCAAGUCUUGCUGGGGCCUGUGGCACAACCUGGACACCUGAAUUAAUUCAAUGGCUGAUCUAAUGGGCAGACGUGCGCAGCCUUGUCUUCCACUCUUCGCGUGCGGCGCACACCCGAUUUAGGACGGAGAGAUCGUGGGGCGGUCUUGGCUCUGCUUUCUCCCGAUCUCUUCGCUCUGCCUGGCCUCUCCCGAUGCGGAUUCAUUCUCUCGCUGCUGCAGCUGUACAGAGGGCCGGCGACGAGGCGGUGGCGCCGUACGGGGGGGCGGACGGUGGCCGGAGUUCACGCGGAGGAUCUCCGAUUGGCAGAACUGGCUGUCGGGGUGCUGCAGGGGCGGCGGCGAAGGGCGGCGGCCGCAGCGGCGUCGGCGGUGAAGGGCACGCGGUGGCCGCGACUGUGGAGAAGGGCGCGUAGUGAGCUUCCCCGUCGUCUCGCCGUUCAAUUCCAUUCUGGCCGACACCACGUCCUCUGGACAUUGCUGUGCCACCGGCCGGUAAGCAGCAGAGCCACGCGGCCCCACGCCACCGUUGUUCUCCCGUAGGCUGGGAGCAGCAGGAAGUUACCGGGAACUCCCGACUCCCGUAGACAUCUAGUGCCCGGCCCCCUCCUCUUGGGCCAACCCCGACCGGCCCACACUCCACACCUAAACUCUAAAGGCCUCCAUAUCUCCCCUUUCCCUUUUGGGCCUCAGCCCUCAUUCAUCCUGGGGAGUGGAGGGCGGUGGUGAACGACGUGCCGCGGCAGUGACUGUGGAGCUAGGUCACACGGCCGCAACGGGUGUCGAAGCUGGCUCGGCCACAGGGACGGCGGAAUAGAUCAUGCUGCCACAAUGGAGGAGCAGAUCUUGACCCAGAAGAUACGAUUGUCGGUCUCGAGCACGAUGCGGGAAGAGGAUGAGGUCGCCGACGACGGAGAUGAUGCGGCGGUCGAUAUCGUUUUGUUAUGUUUUGUCGGUUGUUUUGUUAUUCUCCUUUAAUCGUAUGUUUUGCGAGCCUGUGGUUUGUGUCUACAUGAUUCGCUACAUGUAGAUACACGAAUGUGAUUUUGCUACAUGCUUCAAAUGGGUUGUUUUCAAUCCAAAACUUAAGCUAAGAGCAUCUCCACUCGUCCCUCCCAUAUGAUGUUCGGCACAUGGCCAUAUGGGGAGGUGCUGGCGCAAUCAAUUCGUUUGGAGUGGAGCCGGCACCCAGCCGCACCCUCAAACAUUGGUCCCCCAAAUGUGUUUUGUCUCGCCGACAGGGGUGGUCCACGCUUCUUUUCAGCUUCAUCCUGCACCCCGACUAACCCUCCUGUGAGUAGGGUGCGGCAUGUGGUCAGGACGAAUUGAGGGGUCACACAGGCUUGUUUUUUGGUUUAGGGGGGCGGGCUGGGUGAGAUUUUUGGCAUCGUCACCCCCAUAACCCGUUUGUGGGCCUUUAGGAGUGUGACUAUAGGAGGAAAAAGAAGAAACAAAUGAGGGCGCUGAGGUCGGGUGAAUAUAUAAGAGCAUGGAUCGUGGUGAAAAUCUGAUGAUAUAUGUGGGGCACAAAUAGCGAGGCAUGAAUUUAUGUAAACUUCUGGUGGCUCUGCGCUAGCAGUCUCUUAGGUGAUGUCUUUUAGCUCGCAAUAAAUGCUAAGAACCUAUACCCUAAUACAUUGUCUCUUAAUUAAGGUGGUAUCUUAAGUAGCAGUUAUUUAAUAGCUUUGUGAGAGAGAAUUAAUGACUUUAUGUUGGUUUGCGUGAAGAGACGGUGGCUAACAUAAGAGACAGUUUCAUUAUUAAGAGUGUGCCAUGUCAGCAAAAUGUCUAAAAUAACGUGAUAAGAGACUAACAUUGGGAGUGGCCGAAAGAUGGCUUGAUUCAAUGUUGCUAAUUCGGAAAAGUCCCUUGUUAAGUGAGACAUAUGCCGAGCUCCAGGACAUCCAAUUAAUGGUAUAAAUGCCAAUGUAACGCACUAAUAAAUUGUGUGCUUUUGUACAGAAACAUACAUGUGGUAUAUGAUUAUGUGAUGGAAACGCAAGAACAAAACAUAUAUAGUGCACUCGGUCUAUACACAUGAUCCAUGCAUGCAUGUGUCAGUAGUCGAACUGCUUGUAUGUGCCGAAGGUCUGGCCGAACUGCCACCAGGCCGGCGCGACGUUGUCGAAGACCAGGUUCUGCCCGCCGGUGGUGGUCACGCUAAAGCUGAGCGCCUGCCCGGCAAGCCCCGCGAGACACUGCCAAUUGGCACCCCAGUUCCUUGACAUCUGGAUCCACCCAGUGUUGCUCCCCUUGAUGGACAUGCUGGCCACGGAGCCGCUGCCGCCGACGUUGGUGAUGAGCACGAGCUCGAAGUAGUUGAACCCGGCGAUGGUGAACCUGACCCCGCCCGUGCGCCAGCACUUGACGCGCUGGUAGAGCACGGGCACGAUGCCGGCGCGGUAGAUGCCAAUGGUCUCCCAGGCAGGCUGCGACAUGUCAAAGUGCUGCCGCGGCGGGUUGCACCACCCGCCGUUGUCGUUGGGGAGCGCCCAGUUGGGCGGGCACAGGUUGGUUGCCGACACGGUGAUGGUGCCGUAGCCGGGCUUGCACCACCCGGUCUUGCUGGCGUCGCACAUGAUCAUGAAGCACUGCCCACACGACGCUCCGUCGUUGAACAGCACCGUGCUCAGCGCCGCGUUGUUGAUGCCGUAACCCUGGUCGUACAGGUUGCCGUACCCGCACGCGCCGCCCAUCGUCCCGGAACCGUCGGGCUCGCCGUAGAACGUCGCGGUCGCCGGCGACCAAUCCGCCGCGCACACCGCGGCCAACGCUGCCAGAACCGAAGCGCGGAGAGCCAGCCACUUUGCCAUGCUCGUGCCCAUGUGGAUGACAACUUAGGACGACAAGAGUACUUGUGGAUUUUCUGUUCUUUGUGUGAUGGAUGAUUCGUUCCUAGAUUGCAGUAAUGCUUAAAUAGGGAGCGGAACCACACGACGUUCCGUCAAUGAUCCCAUGUCAGAUAAGACGUAAUCUACAUUCUAGAAAAAAAAAAGAUAAGACGUAAUCAGUAUUCGGUACUGCCAACUCCAGGCACAUGCAGUUAGGUACCUAAGGCAUUUGACUUGCGCGUUAAUUGGAAUGAUCGAUGGUUGCAUGCAUGCAAAUUGCAAAGUCAGGACGCGCAUAAAUUCAAUUCUUUGGCACCUAACACAUUCCUUCCAUACAUAGAUCGGUGAUUAGUUUAUGCUUUUCAGAUUAAUUGGGGCUCAAGUCAAUCCAAUCCACCGGUGCUGCAAAUGAUUCUGGCUUAGAGUACGGCUUGCAUGAUAAGUAUGCUCUAUAUCUUAGUAGAUGAUUGAUCAUCUAGCAAUGAUUUCUAGUACAAUGUUGGUUGGAUAGAAUUCUCUGGAAGGAGGAUGCCCCCUGCAUAGAACAUAAUGCUAGAAUUGUUUUUGAACCGCGUCACUCUAUUAUAUAUAGUUAAGUUGUAAAUAGAUAACUGAUUAAUUAGCAAUAAAUCAAGCAGAAACCAAAGAUUACCCAACACCCAUGUUAUAUAUGGCUAUGAUAACAAAACCCCAAAACACACCGCUAAGCAAAUUCACUUUACGAAUGUCACGGUCAUUACCCAUCAUCCCGAAAUCAAUUUGGCGACUUGGAUUUCACCAUAGACGACCAACGGUGAAGUUCCUCAUCAAAAGAACCAAAACAAAUAUGAACAAACCAAGAUUGUUGUGGUAAAAACAAACACAUCAAAGUUCUUUGACGUUGUCAGCCCGCGGAACAACAAACCUACAAAAACUGUAAGAGCCACCUGUUUCAAUAAGUGAGAACGUACGUCAAUUCAAUGUGGCUCGGGACACCUCCCUUACAAGGCAAGCUAUCAAAAUGUCGCUUCAUUGUCAUGUUGUCAUGGAGAAAAACCGGUAGAACAAAAAAAAACAUGUGAACCAUAGACCAAAAUGUACUUGAACUAUUGUCACCAUCACCACCACCACCAUGCAACACCACCACCUUGGCAAAGCCGUCCCAAAGCGGUGGAUGGCAAUUUGCCAAAUCAGCAGUUGCGAUACUGCGACACCAAACACCAUAAGCACCAUGGUAUUGGCCGAGGCCAGAACAUCACACGCACUGGUAUUGGCCGGUAGGGUUGGGCAUUCGGUUUCACCGAACCGAUCGGUUCGGUGCUUCGGUGUUUAGAAAAUUUCGGUUUUCAGGAAAUAAGCACCGAUCGGUUACUGGAACACAUGCUAACCGAGGCUUUCGGUCACCCACUAAUUCGGUUCGGUGCCCCGAUCUCACCGAACAGGACCGAACAUCUGUACUGCUCAUGACACCGAUUCAGUACUAGUGCACUACAAUCAACAGCAGUUUGUACUUUUUUCUGUUGCUGUACUUGAAAAAGGUGUCAGGCUGUCAGGACACAGCACUCAGCAGGCUCGGACGACAUAUUCAAUCAAAGCUUUCAUCGGUCAGCAAGGAAGAUGGCAAAUUGGAAUUGAACACUACAUAUCAUAGACAUUAAACAAAGAAUUAGAAAUAAGGACUUGCGUUGGCAAGCUAGGAGCAGCCUUCGGUCCUAUGAUAGACACUAAACAAAGAUAUCUCGGUGUCUCGGUUAAUUCGGUCACCCGAGGCAUAUACCUGAAUUGACCGAACUUAGUUCGGUUUUCCACAGUUGGCAACCGAAUGUGUAACCGAGCAUUUCGGUUUCGGUGAAUUCGGCUUCUGUUCUGGUUUAUUCGGUUCGAUGAAUCGGUUUUCGGCUAAUAUGCCCACCCCUAUUGGCUGGUGGCCACGGCAAUCACAUCGGAACGCAGAGAAAGUUGUGACAAUUUUAUUCCAUGCAACUCCACAUUCUUGGUUAAGAUAUGGUCAUGAAGGGUACAUUUUCCUUUUUUUUUAGGGAAGCCAAGAAGACAGUUUUAAUUUUAGGGGAGGCCAAGAAGACAGAUGAGUCGUACAGUCGUACUCUUGUACUUCCAAGUCCCACUGGCUCGCACGGCUGCCAACCAACGGCUUCCAAGUCGCAGUUCAUUCAUAGCAGGGAGGCAUGCAAGUGCAGGGGCAAACCGCAAACGUACAGAUUUUGUAAAGUUUUCUCUAGUUCUUUGCGCGGUUUCGUGACGUUGGUUGCCAACGAUCCGAAACCAGGGAAGUAUCUCUCUCGAGCUCUACUAGCACUUACCAGUAUGCGCAUUGCGCACGAGCAGCCCUGCAUUUUACUUUCAUCACAGACCAACUGGAUAUAUCGGGAUACAACACUACUCCAUAUCUGCUAAAAUCACCGACAAACAACAUCUUGGGCGAAUGCAAGUCCAAGUAAAUGGGAUACUAUGGUUUUACUUAUCGUUUUCUGAAACGGGACAAAACAAGAGUUGCGCUUAGCCGCUUUACACAGAUAAUCAUUAAUCAUUGUACGUAACGCGCAAGUCAAUGCCUGGACGUUGUAAUCAUGUGCUCCGGCCGAUAGAACAAGGAUUCCAUUUGAUGAUUAGUUGCGCUACAUCAUGCGUAUACACAAACUAUCAUCCGCAAGGUACGACUUUUGGUACGGUAGUGUUCUCUCUACUGUGAAACUCCAAUUAAAAACAUCUCCAUUAAUUUGGAUGUCCUACAUCAAAGGAUUCAUCGUACGUGCUACAAACUAGUACUAGUUCGAUUACAAUUGAUAGGCCUUAUUUUUUUUAGAAAAUGACAAUUGACGGGGAAUACGUUAAUUUGUUUGUAGCCUAGCUAGGAUUUUUUUUUUAAAGAUUUGCGUGUCUAGGCACACAUGCCGUGUAAGGUAUCAUGAUAUUGAGUUAUAUACUCUGGUCAUACUUUUAUGCCAUACAUUAUCGGACCGAUUUGAUCUUCAUUCAAGUCCUGUGAUUACAAUUCUACCAUAAGAGAUUUGGAUAAUUAUCAAACAUAUACGUAAUCUUAUCCAGCUCAAGUAGUUUAUCAUCAGUAAUUAUUAUCCAUUACUAUAGACAACAAUCUGUAAAAUAUCAUAAAAAUAUAUGACUAUUUGUGUCCAGUGGGGUAGCCAGGAUUUUGACCCAGGGUUGUCGAAUUAAUUUUUUUAUCACAAAUAUAACAUGCUAAUUUGCGUCGGAAGUCCCUGCCCGCCUACAGCUAACGCGUCCGCACGCCUCAGUCGCCUCAUGCCAUGCCGCUAAGGACAUCUCCAAGAGAAACCCCCAAAUCCUUUCCAUUUGUCCAAAUAUGUCCAUAUGGGGGUUCAUGAGCAAAAUACACAACCCAAUGAAAACUCUCAUUUCUUCAAAAGUGGUCCACAUCUCCCAUUUUUUUUCCAAAUUUGGGGAGAAUACAGGGAGUCCCCAUUUAUGCAAAACUCAUCCAAAUCUUGUUCAUUUGUCUUAUUGACCCGCAUGUCAAAGACUUAUGAAGAGAUAAAUGGGGGGUUAUCAUUGGACAACUUGAUAUUUUGCCAACCCCUUUGUCAAAAGACCCCUCAAAUGGACAAAUGGGGAGGACAAUUGGGGGCUCACCCUUGAGAUGUCCUAAGCUCUCCACUCGCUAAGAUUUGGGAACUGGGAAACAAAAUUUUGUGUUCGGGUAACUGGGUUGGGAAGGGUGCGACCAAUCAACGAGCAUACAGAUCAUAUACUCUCUCCGUCCAACAAAAGAUGUCUCAAGUUUGUCAAAAUUUGGAUGUAUUUAGAUGUAACUUAGUGUAUAGAUGCAUUCAAAUUUAGUCAAAGUUAAAACAUCCUUUGUUGGACGGAGUGAGUAUGAAAAAUAUAUCAGUACAAGAAAGGAGGCUGAGACUCAAGAAGAUACUCCCUCUGUUCCUAAUUAAUUGUUGCCGGAAAUUUUGCAAAAAAAAAACCUUGGUAUUUCCCGAAAUCAACUUGCAGUCCACAUUCUACCGGAACUUUUGCAAAAAAAACCCUUGUAGUUUUUCAAAAUCAACGCGCAGUCCACGUUCAAUUGAAGAUGUGUACUGCAAGUUGAUUUCGUAAAUUAAUAUGUUUUCUUUUUGCAAAAUGGCCGGUGCCAAUUAAUUGGGAACGGAGGGCGUAUCUUCUAGACAUUGCACAUCUAGACUUGGACCUGGCAUAUGUAUUUUAUUCUUGGGAUGAACUAUAUGGGUGGUAUGGCCACGCAAGUGUUUGUAUCCUCUCUAAAAAUGAUAUUGCUUCCAUCCAACAAUAGUGGGAUAUUAGUUUUUCUUUGACCAAUGCUUUCACUAAAAUUACUCUAUUAAUAUAUAAAUAUAUGACAUGUAAUUGAUAUCAUCAUAUUCAUUUACAAAAGUACUUUCUUAUGGUUAUCAUUUAGAUCAUAUUAUUAGUCACAUAUAAAUGAAGUAAACUUUGAGCAAAGCCUUGAGAAACCAAAACCUAAUAUGCCCACUAUAGUAGAACGGAUGUAGUAAGAGAGACUCAUUUACAUCAUGUGUUUUUGAAUGAAAUAUAAAUAAUUAUCAUUCUAGUCUAUUAGGUUUUAUACUACCUUCACUUUAAAUCAUUCUCCACACCAAUGAAUUAUUUCACAGUUUUUUGGGAACCCUGAAAGAUGAAACACACACCAAACUAAUUAAUCUUAGCUUACUUAGUUUUUUUGCACCAAUUUUAAGGACUAUUUUUUACACGGGUGAAAGAUCGGUAUGGUCAACUAGACGCGGGGGGGGGGGGGGGGAAGGGGGUUGAGUAGGCGACUAACAAAUUUUACGUUUUCUUUUAUUUUCUUGAAAGAUACAAACACAUAAUCUUAGGGCUCACUAAAUUCUCUAAAGUGAAUGCAACCUUGGUAUGAAGUGCAAUAGCCGAAGCACAAGAUAAUCAAUUUAGCUUUGCAAGUAAUAGGGCAAGAAUGAUACCACACGGGAGACGAAGAUUUAUCAUGGAGUUUCACCUUUUGUUGAGGUGUAUGUCUCCGUUUGGAGGAGUGCUCUAUCACAAAGGUAAAGGCGCCACAAAGGCUCACAACACCACAAAGGCAAGGUGAGCUUCACUAAGUGGCUUCCUUCAAGGCUCCACAAACCAAAUUGGAGGUUCCUUUCUGAGUCCACGAGCACCACCACACCAAGGAUGUGGCCUCGUGGAGACACUUCCGGCUAGGGAUUCCAAAAUCCCAAGAGUAACCAAAUCCACAAAGGAAAACGAGAUCAAUACUCUUUUUCUUCGGUGAAACCCUAGAUCGAGCUAGCUCUUCUCAACCCUUCCUCAAAGUAUUGGCUUGGGGAUGCACUAUGGAGAGAGAUCUCGGAGAUUGGAGGCUUAUGAAGGUGAAGCACAGUGGGAAAUGUCGAGGGUGAGCCAUUGCGAAUGAAGACCCCCCUUUUAUAGGGUCCUCGAGAUCUAACCGUUAUGUGCAGUUUCAGCACAGGCGGUACUACCGCCCUGGGCCGAGCGGUACUACCACCAGCGGUAUUACUGCGCAUGUACCGUAUCAGUGCUGUAUGAUCGAGGUCAGUGACGUUUUCGCCACCCCCCCCCCCCCCCGCACUAGUGCAGUACGGGGCCGGUACUACCGGCCUCGAUAGUGCUUCCCUGGGUAGACCAGCACUGCCGCCCGGGAAAUAUAGUUGGCAGAAACCCCAGCUCGAAUUCUUUUUUCACUAACCUUCACCGGUGGUUUUGUAGGCAAUGGCGGACGGAGAGGGGGGGGGGCAGGGGCCAAGGCCCGGGCCAUGAAAAGAAAGUAUUACUAGGAUCUAGGAAUACUUUUGCCUAAAUUUGUGCAUUCUAUAGUUAUGCCACCCCUCAACAUUCACACACAAAAACAACAGCCACUAAAAAUCUGCUCUUUAACUAUUGAGUUCUUGUUGAACUGGUAAGUUACUAUGAGCCUAGCCCUUUAGGCCCAUCUCCUAGUGGAAGACAAAAGGCAUCCCCUUCUGCCCUAGCCGCAAGUGACACACGAAGCAACAGACCCAGGUGUGACAUGGUAUCAGAGCCACGUUCGGUGGCGAGCUCACCGGUGACAGCGGCGGUGGCGCUGGCCUGAGGCGGCGGCGCAACCCAAAAGGGGCAACGUACUCGCCCUCGAGCGCGGUGCACGCAGGUUGGCGGCGACCGUGAGGCAUAUGCACCAGAACCUGGCGCUACUAGAGGUAGGCCCUGCGGUGGGGGCGGUGUGCGCUACCACGGAGGAGGAGCAGGGCGGAGCAUGGAGGCGCGCGGGCCAGGAGGGCGCCGCGUGGGGAGCUAUGCGUGGGGCCAUGGCAGAACCGCUGGAGAGAGAGAAGGUGGAGAAGCUGCUCGUGGAACCAGGUUGGGAGCAGCCACGAGAAGAUGAAGCUCAAGGUGGCUGUGUGUGUGGGGAGCCAAAGAAGACCCGCAGGUCUAUUGCCGGACAAAAUGCUCACGCAAUGUGGCAGGAGAAGGCGGUCGGUUGUGGACUUGGAGGAGAAGGAGCAGAGCAUUGUGGGUACAGAAGUUGGCGUGUGGAGCUGGGUGCGAGGCGUGGCGCAGCAGGCACUCGCUGCGGCGUGGAGCGCGGUGGCGCAAACAACGAAGUGGGGCAGAGGAGGCCCUCAAUGCAGCUUUGAAAGCGGGAUUCCUUGGUAUCGUGAAGGCUGAGAUGGAACCGGUGCCCUUGGUGCAGGGGCUGGUUCCCGUGAAGGGGGAGCGGCUGAUGGAGAUGUCACGGGAAAACGUCAUGGACAUGGAGAUUGAGGUGCCAAUUGGCUGUUUGGAAGACGCCAAUGUUGGGGAGGUCAUUGAUGUGAAGAAGCUAGGGGAAGAAGGAUGGUGAGGCUGCUGCUCAUGAGAAGUUGAAGGUUCCAAAUAAGAGUGAGAAGGUGCUGAAGCAAAGGGGCAUCGAUGAGUGGAAUCAGGAGGAGCUGAUGGAGCUUCUCAAGGUGAUUCUGGGUGCAACUGGUGCUCGUAGUGAGAUGGUUGGAGAUGUGAACUUUGUGCAUACUAUUGAGAAGGCCGAAAAUGUUUUGUUUACGGCUCAUGGAACAUGUUCGGAAUGGAUUCUAGACUCGGGGGCAUCAAAGCAUGUUAGCGGAAAUUCGAAGGAGUUUGAACUCUACGACUCGUAUCCUCCCACAUACAAGGAAACUGUUCAGAUUGCUGAUGGCACAAGACAGCCCAUCGUUGGAGUAGGAUCAAUGCAGUGUACUCUACCGAUCAAACUGUACUCAACUUUACAUGUUCCUGCAUUCCCGGUGAACCAUUUUGUGUCAUUGGGUGCUCUUAUUGAUCAGCAUGACUACAGAAUUUUUCUUGACAAAAGGGGUUGUUCAAUACAGGAGCACGAGACAGGAAGACAAGUUGGUACGGGAACUAGGCGUCGAGGAUUGUGGUACAUGGAUCAAGAGGGAAUUGGUCAGACGAGUUGCUCUGUGUUUGCUGCAGUGGUUGGAGAAAGGGAGACCAAGGCAAUGAUUCACCAUUGCAGGAUGGAACAUAUGUGUUUUGACAAGAUGUAUAAGGUGUUUCCCGAUAUGAUGAAAGGAGUGGAUAAAGAACAACUAAGAUGUGAGGCAUGUGAGUUUGCAAAGCACACACGGACUGUUUAUGUGAGUAGGAACUGAGGAGUAUAACCCCCUUUACGUUGGUGCACACUGAUGUUUGGACAUGCCCUAUUACAUCUAUUAGUGGAAUGAAAUACUUUGUGACAUUCAUCGAUUGCCACACACGCAUGACUUGGGUUUACCUCAUGAAACAUAAAGAUUAAGUGUUCGCCUGCUUUCGGGAUUUUUAUGCCUAUGUGCAAACGCAGUUUAAGGUGUGAGUCCAAGUGCCUAGAUCUGAUUAUGGGACAGAGUAUGUCAAUAAGAAGUUUGGCGGUUUCCUUUCAAAUCAUGGAAUCUUGCAUCAGACCUCUUGUCCAGAUACCCCACCACAGAAUGGCGUAGCUGAGAGAAAAAAUCGUCACAUAUUUGAGGUGGCUAGGUACUUGAUGUACACAAUGAAUGUUUCUAAGUUUCUUUGGAGUGAAGCUAUGAUGACGGCUACCUUUCUCAUAAAUUGAACACCUUCCAGGAUCUUGCAAAUGAAGUCUUCAUGUGAGUUGUUGCUGGGUGAAAACAAGUUUGCAGUUCCUCCUAAGGUGUUUGGCUGCACUUGCUUUGUUAGGGAUCACAGGCCCUUUGUUACAAAACUUGAUCCGAAGGCAAUGAAGUGUAUCUUCAUUGGCUACCCCUCCAGACAGCGAGGGUACAGAUGCUGGAGUCCCUCCGACAGGCGCACAUUUGUCAGUACUGAUGUUACGUUUUGGGAAUCUAACCCGUUUUAUGGUGAACCAACAGAUUUGAGCAUAUUGUUCGAGACGCUUGACUAGCGAGAAUCUGCUGUUGGCUGAGAGGGGGAGAGUGAUGGCAAUCCUUCUAGUAGUCCUGCUGCUAUUUCUCCAAAUGGACAGCAGCAACAACCUCUUGUUGGUUAUAUUCCUCUGAUUGUUGGUUCUAUUCCUGUCCCUGUAAUGACGGAAGUGCAUAAUGACAUGAGGUGGCCGAAGGUUAAAAAGAAGAAAACCUUUGUGUCUACUCCCGAAGACACGAGGAUGAUGAGCAAGAACAACAGGGGGAGCAACAGCAGCAGGGGCAGAUGCAGAAUGUAGGUUCACAAGGUGAAGAUGAGUCAUCGGAAGGCAGUUUGUCAUAUAGGGACUCAAGAGAUACAUCAGGUGUAUCCCCCUCAAGCUUGCCAAUUGCGUUAAGAAAGGGAACAAGAGCAGCUGCAGCAAAAUAGAUUGAGAGAUAUGGUUUUGAGCACAAUAUCAGCAACUAUGUAUCUUAUGAUGCUUUGUCUCCGUCUUAUAGAGCAUUUGUUGCCUCACUUCAGACUGUUUCGAUUCCAUCAGAUUCGAAAGUUGCAAAGAUGAUCCUAAGUGGUGCGCAGCCAUGAGAGAGGAACUGGAGGCAUUAAGGAAGAAUGAAACAUGGGUGCUAAUUGAUCUUCCCAAAGGAAAGAAGGCUGUUGGUUGCAAAUGGGUCUAUACGGUGAAGCAAAAUCCCGAAGGGAAGAUAGAGAGGUAUAAGGCAAGACUGGUUGCAAGAGGCUAUACUCAGACAUAUGGGAUUGACUAUGAUGAAACCUUUGCUCCCGUGGCGAAGAUGAACACUGUGACGACUCUUGUAUCAUGUGCAACGAACUUUGGGUGGCCUUUUCAUCAGCUUGAUGUGAAGAAUGCCUUUCUGCAUGGCGAUCUUCAAGAGGAGGUAUACAUGGAGGUACCACCAGGAAUGGCUUCGGGCGGCAAUGGUGAGGGGAAGGUUUGCAGGCUGAAGAAAGCACUUUAUGGGCUGAAACAAUCUCCAAGAGUUUGGUUUGAUAGGUUCAAGCAUGUUGUUUGUGGAAUGGGGUAUGGACAAUGUAAUGGUGAUCAUACCGUGUUUUACAAGCAUGCAAACCGAAAGAUAACCAUUCUAGCCGUAUAUGUGGAUGAUAUUAUAAUCAUCGGAGAUGAUGAGGCUGAGAUAGGUAGAUUGAAGCAAUGUCUUAGCAACACAUUUGAAAUAAUGGAUCUUGGCCAAUUGAGGUACUUCUUGGGCAUAGAGGUUGCAAGGUCAAGCAAGGGAAUUGUCUUGUCACAGUGAAAGUACACUCUAGAUCUACUCAAUGAUGUGGGCAUGAUUGGGUGUCGUGCAGCUGCCACUCCUAUUGAUCAAAAUCACAAGAUAACAGCGGGGUCUGGUGAGCCUGUAGACAGAGAUAGAUACCAGAGACUUGUGGGGAGACUACUCUACUUAUGUCACACUAGGCCAGAUAUAACCUUUGAUGUGAGUGUCAUAAGUAGGUAUAUGCAUGAUCCAAGGAGUGAACACCUUGAGGCUGUUAACCGCAUCUUGAGAUAUCUAAAGGGUAGCCCAGGAAAGGGUUUGUUGUUUGAGAGUAAUGGACACCUGGUUGUGGAUGGGUACAGUGAUGCAGACUGGGGAAGUUGCUUGGAUGAUCGACAAUCGACUUCAGGGUAUUGUGUGUUUGUCGGAGGAAACUUAGUGUCAUGGAGAAGUAAGAAGCAACCUGUGGUGUCAAAAUAACCAGCUGAAGCAGAAUACAGAGCCAUGUCCCAGGGGUUGAGUGAGAUGUUGUGGGUGAGAAAUCUUCUAAGUGAGCUGAAGUUGCUAAGAGAAGGCCCCCUGCAUGUCUGGUGUGACAAUCGGUCUGCUAUAUGCAUAGAAAACAAUCCAGUGCAGCAUGAUAGAACUAAACAUAUUGAGAUUGACAGGUUCUUUAUCAAAGAGAAGUUAGAUGCGGGGAUAAUCAAAAUAGAUCAUGUGAGUUCAGGGCAGCAAAUUGCAAAUUGCUUGACCAAGGGACUGGGAGCUAGAGAAUGCAGUCUGGACUGUGACAAGAUGGGCAUGAUAGAUAUCUAUCACCCAUCUUGAGGGGGAGUGUUGAACCGGUAAGUUACUCUGGGCCCAGCCCUUUAGGCCCAUCUCCUAGUGGAAGACAAAAGGCAUCUCCUUCUGCCCUACCCGCAAGUGACACACGAAGCAAUAGACCAAGGUGCGACACUUCUCAUAUUCUAUGCCAAAAGCUAGUCCAAAGCAGCAUGCUGCCUCGAUUUCUUUUCCCAAUUUUUUUCAUUUUUACUUGGCCCUCCCUAUCCAAUUUUCAUGCCUCCGCCCCUGUUUGUAGGCUAUCUGGUGGGUGCAAUCUGGGAGUUUUGUGUACGUGAAGUUAAUUCACCCUAGCCUUCCCAUAUGGACUUUAUCUUUAUAGUACGGAUUUUCCUAUGACUCAAUAAAAUAAAAAGGCGUAAAUCCAUCUACGCCCUUCUGUUUUGACCCCGGUCAAAAAAAACUAAGUAUUGACAUGAUAGUCAUAUUUUUAUGGAGAUUUUCAGGUUAUCUCAUAGCCUUCCCUACAUCUAGGGUUUUUCUCAUGCGAAAUUCAAAGCUAUUGUGCAAAAUGCUAGGGUACCUAUUAAAUGGUUCCUGAAAGUCCAGGCUUUCGUACAUGAUGUUCCAAAUAUCAGGGUUGGGAAAGUGUGUGUCUCUUCUUCGAGAACAUGACAAAAUCCUGGGUGAAGUUGGCCGGUCGAAUUGUCUCCGAACUGUUUGUUGAAACCCAUGUAUCGCCAAUUAAUCGAUGGCAACAUGCCUUUAAUUGAAAAAAUAUAUAUCAUCAACAAAGCCAUAUUUGUUGUCCUAAGUUGUUCUUGUCUGCUCUUCGAGCCUUUUGUUGUUUGUCCUUGUUUUCGAUUUGCGAUGUUGUAGCCUGUCGUGUUGCAGCUUCUUGCAUGUAAUAGGGUUAGUAGUGCGGUUGGAAAUGUCUGUUUUUUUAAAAAAAAACUUUUCUGUUGGGCGGUUUGUAUAAAGGAAAUCGGUGAGGAGGUCUUGUUGUCUCAAAAAGAAGUUGUGUUAAAUAUGCUUUUUACUCUCAAAUGGUAAGAUUCUUCCUGAUCAGCAGGAGCGCGCCGGUUGCAUCUAGAACAAUGUGUCUGUGUAUUUUUCAGGGACAUCUUCAGCACUUAAUCUUGAAGAAAACACAAAACUACAAGCAUUCGGAAAAACCUAGCUAGGAGAGGUCAAGUGUACCGGAGAAUUAAUAUUUCCCCUUCCAGGGAAACUAGCAGAUUGACCUGCGCAUUUGCGUAGAUAGAUUUCCCACAAGUCGUUUUAGCUCACUCUCUAGUAUACACAACUACAGUAGAUAAAUCCUUGACCCGAACCGAAAAAUCACAUUAUCUAUAAUUUAGCUAUUCGUCGACUUAGCAAAGCAUGUAUGAAAAUUGGCUUUAAAAAAACUAUUUUAAAUAUAGAUAUUCAUACUGUCCAUUUUAUUCCCUUCCUUACAUAUUGAAUGAUAUUUGAAUAGAUAUCGUAUUUUUCUAUUUUGUUGCAUAUUUCGACGAUUAUAUGUAAAACAUAUAUAAAUUAAAUAAUGUAGUUUCUAAUUUUAUCUAUUCGUGGACUUAGUGAAGCAUGUAUCAAAAGAGUUUUUAAUUUAUUUAUUUUUGCAAAUUCCAGUUUUACGCGUUUGGUACAAAAACCAAAAAGGUAGCUUUAGGACAAAAUUAGUCUCAUGAAGUUACGUAUGAGAAUCAACAUUUAUUUAUAUUCAAAAAUGAUUUUUAAAUGGACCUGUACUGUUUAUCCAAAAAAUCCUCUAAAAUAAAAUACAAAUGCAUAAUAAUCCAUAAAAAUGCUAUCAUAACUUGUGUCAUCGGCAGAUAGUAGUAAAUACUAAGCAUAGUACUGUAGAGGUCAAUUUAUUAAUUGCUGGCAUCAUCAGUGACAAAACAUCUCAUGCAAAAUCACAAUUCUUGCACAAAUUGGAGUGCUCUCUCACGUUGACUACCAAUCGGUACGGAUAAAGAAUCCGAUAUACUAGUUUUUUUUAUUUGUGAUAUUGUGUCCGGCUCAUUUUGUUUAUUUAAAUGGUUGUGAUUAAAGCUUGUCAUAUAAUCUACGGUGUAGAUUAUUUAGCCUACAUGAACGAAUUUGGUGUCUCCUUAAUUAUCCUUUUAUUAUAAUAGAUAAACUUAGUAGUUGAUCAGUUUUGAUUUCAUAGGCGACAUUGGCGUCCAAAGUUCCAUGACUCAUAACAUUGGAGUACAAGUUUUAAAACUUCAUGCUGAUACGUAGUUUACAACUGGCACGUUGGCGCCGGCCGGCUGCAUCUUCUGAAUUGUGAUCUCUCUCUCCGUAUUCUUCCAGCAAACUGAUUGUCCCUCGGGUAACCAAAAUGCAAUUCGACUAAUCAGCACACGAACUUUAUGAUUGAAAGAUUAAAACAAAGAUUGUCGAUCGAAUAUGGAAUAAGUCACGUCUGAAAUGACUUCGGUGCAUGAUUAAUCGUUUGCUCGAUCUUCCAAGUCAUGCAUAUACACAGUAGGCGAACAUGCAGAGAGCAGGGUUUCAACUUUCCAACCACUAGAACAGACGCGAAUAGAUAGAUGGAUUAAAGUGUGAAACUGAUGUGGGGGUUAACGACCGAUUCCAGUUAGUUGCCUCGAGAAUCUUUUCAAUCAUGCAUAUGACAGGGCCGGAGAGAUUAAUGGAAUGGACAUAACUAACUUAAACCAAUUAACAAGGGCUUGAUCGAUCAAGUGGUGCAUGUUUCCGGACGCCAAAAGUCAAAUGCCCCGGAGGCCGGAGAGCUUAGCUAAUUCUGUUGAGGGGGAGAAGAAGUAAUUAGCUACUAGUCAAUUAAUCCGGCCGCAUAAUGCCCGCCCCAUGUGCUUUGAUCGAGCACGGAUUGCAUGCAUGCAUUGCCUGUCUUUCUGACUUGUGAGUUCUGGCACAUGACAAGACCAUCAUUCCCUCCAUCCUAAUCCUCUCGACUUAUUGGUUAAUUUAACUCGUCACCUCAAAUAAGCUUCCGCUUCAUCCUCUAUAUAAGCUCGCUGGCUUCGAGAGCAACGUACACCAUCCAUCGUUAGUUCAAACGACACACACCCUCCCUCCUCUCUAGCUUGAUCGCUUCUCUCGUGCGCUAGCUAGCUUGAUCUCUGCCUAGCUCGAGCCCUCGUGCCCAUUGUCGCCAUGGAUAUGGCCAAGUCGCUGGUUCUAUGUGCCAUAUUCCUCUCGGCGUGCCUCUCACUCGCCGCGGCCGAUUGGUUGCAAGCGACGGCGACGUUCUACGGCGAAGCCGACGCCUCCGGCACCAUGGGUAAGCUAAGCAAUAUAUAUAGCUAGCAUUUCUGACGUAUACAUAUUAGAGCACGUGCGUGCAUUUGUGCCAGUUAAAGCAUGUGUGUACGUUGUGUACUCGCGUGCAUGCCUGUCUUGUGUGAGCCUAACUUGACAUGCUUCUUUCUCGUUGUGCGGUGCCUCUUUUCUCAGGCGGCGCGUGCGGGUACAGCAACCUGUACGACCAGGGGUACGGCGUGAACAACGCGGCGCUGAGCACGGUGCUGUUCAACAACGGCGCGUCGUGCGGGCAGUGCUUCACGAUCACCUGCGACUCCAAGAAGUCCGGAUGGUGCAAGACCGGCAACAGCAUCACCGUGUCGGCCACCAACCUGUGCCCGCCCAACUGGGCGCUCCCCAACGACAACGGCGGGUGGUGCAACCCGCCACGGCAGCACUUCGACAUGUCGCAGCCGGCCUGGGAGACCAUCGCCAUCUACCGGGCCGGCAUCGUGCCCGUGCUCUACCAGCGCGUCAAGUGCUCGCGCCAGGGCGGGGUCCGGUUCACCAUCUCCGGGUUCAACUACUUCGAGCUCGUGCUCAUCACCAACGUCGGCGGCAGCGGCUCCGUCGCCAGCGUGUCGAUCAAGGGGAGCAACACCGGGUGGAUCCAGAUGUCCAGGAACUGGGGCGCAAACUGGCAGUCCCUCGCCGGCCUGGCCGGCCAGGCGCUCAGCUUCGCCGUGACCACCACCGGCGGGCAGUAUCUUGUCUUUGACAACAUCGCGCCGGUCUGGUGGCAGUUCGGACAGACAUUCGGCUCCUACAAGCAGUUCGACUACUGAGACACCAUCAGUCGCGCGUCCUCGCGUCUUCGUGGUCGGAUUAAUGGCUGGUUCGUGCGUGCGCUCGUGAUUUUGACGGAGUUACACGUACCUGCCGCCAGCCAUUAAUUGCAUCCUUGGUCUUGGUGUCCGGCUCCGGCAUGGAUAUGAUAUAUCCUCCUAGCUAUAUGAUGCUCCGACGUACUGCUGGAGCUGCGCGCGCGGGAUGAUGUGUAACUUCGAUUCCUAGCUUGUUGCCGAUAUUUUUACUUGUUGCUUUACUAAUUUUUCUUCUUUUAAUUCGGUGCGGCCAUCUAUAUAUGCAUGCAUAGCAUGCAAAUCAGUUUUCAAACUUAAUGAAAUUUAUUACUAGUAUAUUGAAGAAAUAGAUCUGUCAUUGUACACUUCCUCAAGUAAAAGCAAGCACAAGUCUUUAAAAAAAUCUUUAAUGAAAGCAAGGAUAAGGCAGUAUAACGUGGCAGUAGAUUUGUCUCAAAAAUUAAACACCACCUAAACAUUUUGCAAAAGUGUAUGUGUUUAUAGAUUGGUCCCUAGGAAAAUAAAAAUUCAUCUCUAACGACGUUUCAAUUAAAAUUUGUGAUUAAUUAACAAUCAGUUUUAGAAACAUGUCCCAAUUUGGAAACUAAUUAUAUUAUAAAAAUAUUUCUCAUACUAAAAAUAAGAUGAGCAGUUAAUAUUUUUUUUAGAUUUUUAAUGAAUCAUGCACAACAUACAUAACAUUUUCAUGCAAUUGGUAACAUAACUAAUUGGUGAGAAAUGUAUGAUCAUUCCGAUAACAUUUAAUUGAUCAAGUUUUAAAAGAAACAUAAAAUUAGUUUUUGAUGUUUUCUAAAUUAAUUUCACAUGGUAUAAUUGCUAAUAACCUAAUUCAAAUUGGCAUCUUAUGCUUACAUUACACCUACUAAUUUUUAUUUAGACAGAUAAGAAGUGAGUUUGAUCCAAAUUUCCGCUUGAAAUGCUAAUUCUUGGUCACUCAUAAAUAUAUUCUUGGAGAAAAUUAAUGAUCCAUGACAAAAUUCUAAAUGUUGUACUAAUCUAAGGAGUUUCUAUACUUUAAAGUCGGCAUAGUGAUGUCCUUAUUUAAAGGUCCAUGGACUUGCAUGUUGACUUUUUAUCCAAUUAAAGCGAUAGAAUAGUUGCACCUUUAGAAUUCUAUGAAAUUAAACUUAGUCAAAAUCGGUUUUGCUAUUGAGAAGUCCCCUGUUUUUUAAUUAGAGUAAGUCGACAUUUUUUUAACUAGAGUUGAUCAAAUCUUAAAAGAAACUUAUAAAGUAGUUUUUUUAUGCUUACGCCUACUAAUUUUUAUUUAGAUACUACCUCCGUUCCAUAAUUCUUGUAUCAAAUUUGCCCAAAAAUGGAUGUAUGUAUUCCUAAAAAACGUCUAGAUACAUGUAAUAUUUCAACAAGAAUUAUGGAACGGAGGGAGUACAUAAUAAACAAGUUUGAUCCAAAUUGCCGCUUGAAAUGCUAUUUCUUUGUCACUCGUAAAUAUAUCCUUGGAAGAAAAUUAACCACUCCAUGACAAAAUUCUAAAUGUUGUGUGCUAUUUUACGGAGUGUCCAUAAUUUGAAGUGGACGGAGUGAUAUUCUUAUUUGUAAGUCAAUGUUCUUGCAUGUUGACUUUUUGUCCAAUGGAGGUUAAUAGCUGCACAUUUUAGAAUUCUAUUACCAUGAAACCUAGUCGAUUUAGAAAUAACUAUCUAUGUGGCGCCUUAGAAAUGAAAACCAAAGUUUUAUGAGUCUCCAUUCAGACACUUACCCUGCAAUCCAUCUUUUCAUGUGAGCCUGUGAAAUCAGAAUCCAAUGUGGCAAUUUGGUUCGAGUUGAAAGACAAAUGAAAGUAGCGUGUGGUGAUUGGGGUCAGAGAAGUAUCCGAUGUAAAAUCAAAGAAGAAAAUAGGUGAUGUAAAACGAGCAGUAAAACUCCAUCAUCUGUCUCUGAUUCGAAAUAGAUGUACAAUAGCACGGUGAAAACAUCUGAACCGACAACUGGAUUUAAAAUUAAAAAUCGGGAGCAUAUUUAUUAACUUAUGUAAUACGAAUUACACAGAUCGAAAUCCAGAUCACCCCACAUUGCAUGCGCCAUUAAGUCAACCAAACCAAUUUAAUCUGUCAGUGCACCAUGGCACCCCUAGCUGCACGAUGAUGGAGAAUAUAUAUGGAUCAUGGAAGAAUAUAUAUAUAUAUAUAUGUGGAUCGAUCAAUAGUCAAACUGAUUGUUGCUGGUAUACGUGGUGGAGCCAAAGGUCCACCAGUAGGGCACGACGUUGUUGAGGUAGAGCGUCUGGCCGCCGGUGGAGGUGACCAUGAAGGAGAGCGCCUGGCCGACGAGCGCCGAGGUGGACUGCCAGUUGGCGCCCCAGUUCCUGGUCAUGGGGAUCCACCCGGUGUUGGAGCCCUUGACCGACAUGGCCCUGAUGGAGCCGCUGCCGCCGACGUUGGUGACGAGCACCAGCUCGUAGUAGUUGAACCCGGCGAUGCUGAACCGGAUCCCGCCCUGCCUCCAGCACUUGACCUGCUGGUAGAGGAUGGGGAUGAUGCCGGCCUUGUAGAUGCCGAUCUGGAGCCAUGCCGGCUGCGACAUGUCGAAGUGCGGGCGGGGCGGGUUGCACCAGCCGCCGUUGUUGUUGGGGAGCGCCCAGUUGGGAGGGCAGAGGUUGGUGGCCGUGACGGUGACCGUGCUGUAGCCGGCCCUGCACCAACCAGUGCUGCUGGCGUCGCACAUGAUCAGGUAGCACUGCCCGCAAGACGCACCGUCGUUGAACAGCGCCGUGCUCAGCGCCGCGUUGUUCACGCCGUACCCUUGGUCGUACAGGUUCUGGUACCCGCAAGCGCCACCUGAAGACAACAUAACAACGUUGUUAGCAGGUCGAUUAGGGACGAGAGAAAUUAACCGGCCGUCCAGGUGAGACUCGCUCGCUGGCCGGAGCUAGCUAGCGUACCCAUCGUGCCGGAGGCGUCCUGGCCGCCGUAGAACGUGGCCGUCCCCUUGCUCCAAUCUGCCACUGCCGACUCGAUGCAGAGUGCGAAGAGAGCCAAGAGCAUCACCUUCCUUGGUGUGCCCAUCUCCGAAACGAUCACCGGUGGCUGGUAGAUCUUGAAGCAACAAGGAUCUAACUAGCUACCUAGGAUCGAUGUGGAGAAUACGUGGGAAUAAGAGAAGAGAGUGCGGCUGUUUGCUGGAUUGUUUGAAAACAGAGAGAGCAGUGUAGUGCUUAUAUAACAGUAGGGAACUUACUGGGUAAUUUGCAGGAGGGUGUUUCGGAAAUACGGAAUGAUGGUCGUUGGCAGGGAAUACACAGGGAAUUAAUUGAUUGAUUGAUUGAUAGCGUGCAUGGAAUCCCACUGCUAGCUAAGCUCACAUGCAUGCGCGUAAUGUCAAACCCUCGGCAGAAUUAAGGGACUGGAUUGAUCCCCGUUGGUCAGCUCGAAUGCUCGAUGGAGCAUCUCGAUCAUGAAGCCAAAAUCCAAUUCUUUCCACACCAUUCCCGGGUUAGCCGAGGAUUAUGCCGCAUGCGUGCAUGUGUCCACUUGACAGUCGGCAAGUUUUGCAGGCAAUUAAUGGCUGAUUGUGCUGUAAUGUCGUGAGAAUGCUCUGAUCGAUCUCGGACGCGGGAGUUAAUUAUCAAGUGUAUUGUGAGGAAUGUGAGGGCUCAUAUAAACUAAGGGAGGACCCACAUGAUGCCACGAGAGGGCCAGCGCCGUGGGCACAUGGACGACCGUACGUGACAUGAUGCCACCCCAAUCAGUUCCGGUAAUUCAAUUGGUUCUGGUUCUGGUUUGGCUAAUGCCGUACUUUGAUCUGUUCUGUUUUUUAGGGAAUCCUGGAUUUUGAGUUUGGCAGAGGCGGUCAGUCAUAUCGGAAGCAAGCCUGAUCGGAAGAUACCAAGUCAGGCCCACGGCUGAUGGACAGUUAGGCACUGCUGAGUUGAACUGGCCCAUUGAACUAAUGGGCUGCACUUAGAGCGAGCACAACGCCCAAGGUCAUUUCGUAAAAAGAAGAACUUCUCAUGAAAGUUCUGAAAAUCCCCAAAACUCGGUCCCACCCAUACACAGCGGCACACAAUCCGUGUGAGAUCGGACCGGACCUUAGACCCGUGUUUUGGUGUGAGAUGGAUGAGGAGAUUUUUUUUAACCCGAGCAUGAAAAUAUGGAAGUCGAACCAGGACCUCAAGGGUUCUAUGAAAGCCCCUCGCCAUUAGGCUAGAGACCCUUCCACGGCCCUUGGUAAUAAGGCGCCGGCCGACCGUCAUCAGAUCGGCCGUAAGGACGGAGGGGGUGGGGGACCCAAGAAAAUACAUUUUACUUAAUAGUUACUAAUAAGCUCAUUAGCAAUUACUUAAAAACUAGUACAAUGCCCGUGCAUUUCCUUUCGUUUUCACAUGUAAACAUAAUACACACGAAAAUUCAAGUUUAUAGAAAAGACAACAACAUAAUUUCACAUUCAAUCGAAAUGCAUUUUGAUAUGUUAAAAUUAUAAAAAGCCAAGAAAAGAAACACUUGCACUUAACUCUCAUGCAACCUUGAAUGGUAAAAUAAAGUUUGAAAUGAAGAGUCUCUGAUCGAUGGAGUUGAUAGAUUAUCUUCCAUAAACGCAAAUUAGAUAGCUUUUUUAUAUCCCCUGGCUGGAUAAUAUCCACUAAAAGAGGCCUAGUGGAUGACACAAAACCUCAAUAGGAUACAGAUAGUUUGAUCUGCUCAAACAAAAGCUCAAAAAUCACAGCUAAGUGUGAACAGUAGUAGGUUUUAAUAGCACAAAGAAAUGGAAACUUACCUUCGCCAGGCAUCUGUUCUUUCAAUUCACACUAACUUUUUUCUAACAAAUGCAGAGUAAUUUCUCCAAGAUGCAGAAAAAUGCAAUAGUAAUAGAUCUGAGUAGUCUGAUCUAAAACAAUGCGACUAUCUGCACAAAGUCCUGAAAUUAUCUUGAGCAUCAUCCAGUAUGAUAUAUUCUUGAAAGUUCAAAUGAAACUUCUUGAUAAGUUUCAGAAAUUAUUUUGAUAGCCUCUCUGAUAUACAUCAACACCCAAUCAAAACUGAAAAACAGAGCACGGAAAUAUAUACUCCCUCCGUCUAACAAAGGAUGUCUCAACUUUGAUUAAAUUUGAAUGCAUGUAUACACUAAGUCAUGUCUAGAUACAUCCAAAUUUUGACAAACUUGAGACAUCUUUUAUUGGACGGAGGGAGUACCGUAUUCCAAAUUGACCGCAAGGGUGAAAGAGGUAGGAUGCAGCAGUACGGUACUGCGGGCGACGACAAUUGAUGUCCAGCCGAAAGUCCUCGACAAGUUAGUAGCACACAGGAAGGCUCCCACGGAGGGCGGUGCAGUAGAUCAGUCCCAUGCCGAAGCCUUCGCCGACGCGGGCCAACUUCUUGGCCAGGCGACGGCCUCCCGUGCCUAGACCUGCAAACUUGUGACCCUCAGAGUACCCUUUGACCCUCCUUAGUUCAAUCAAAUGAACUAAAAUUUUAAAAUAGCACAACAUUUUGAAAAACUAGUUCAUUUGUUUGAACUAAGAAGAGUCAAAGGGUACCCUGAGGGUCACCAUGUUGCGCCCCUACCCGUGCCCCUCCCCAUGGCGCGGUGCGGGUCGGGUAGAUGCGGGUGCGGCAGCGGUGGAGAUGUAGGUAGCCUAGCUGGUGGUCGAGGCGGAGUGGGAGGGAGGAGGCCUAGCGCGAGUAGGGGCGAGGCGCGCGAUGGGUCGCCAAGGCCACGAUGUGGCGGGAGGGGGCAGGCGCGAGGAGGAUGGCCAUCGUGCAUCGUGCGAAGGUUAGUUUUUUACCGUGAGUUAGGAGGGGCGGAGGCAAGGUAGAAUUGCAGCAGCUGCUUCGGCCAAAGUCCAUGAAGCGAGCGGAGGAGGAGAUGGGGCCGGCGGCCACUGGAGGAGGAGGAGGUGACUAGCGGCCACCGGAGGAAGAGUAGGGGGGCGGGGGGGGGGGGCUCGGGAGGUGGAGGAGGGUACCGGCGCCACCGGGCACGGGAGCAAGGAGCGGCCACAGGAAGAGGAGGGGUGGAGGCAAGGGCCGGCGGCGCCGGGCACGCCUCGGGAGGUGGAGGAGGGGGCCGGCGGCGCCGGGCACGGGAGCAAGGAGCGUCCACAGGAGGACGGGUGGAGGCAGGGAAGAAUUGCAAAAAGAACCUCGAGUUUUGCAGAAGUCCAGUUCCGUCAUCAAAUUUGACUGCACGAUGUUUUCUUGAAAAAAGGAAGGACCAAAACGCAAAAUUGCCACGACGAACGAAACCCAACGACGGAAACACUACUCUUUUUAUUAUCAGGUACAGAUAGGUGAAGUCCCUAAUUUCGCUCCCCUCGCAUCUCUCAUGUCAAAUUCCUGGCUCCGUCCCUGGCCAUAUAAUCAACUUUAAAACCCAAAUCACGGUCCUCUGAUCAUCGCCACGUGCAUUAUUUUUAUUUCUACGUUUAUGAUGUUGUAACAUUGGCUUCUCAAAACCACCCUAAAACCUUGCGAUGUUUAGGUCAAGUCCAUGUAGCAAAAAUUAUACGUAUGCAACAAGUUCAUAUUAGUUGUCCCUAAACACUUUUAGAAGAAAGGUUACAACAUAUAUAUUAGUUCAACAUAUUAGAAGAAAGGUUACAACAUGUACAACAUAAAGUUCAUAUAGUUGUCCCUAAACACUUUUAGAAGAAAGGUUAUAAUAUAUAUAUUAUAUUAUAUAUAUAGCAACGAAAAAAACAUUUUUUUAGAGAGUACUCUCAGACUAUGAGUUUUGUAUAGCCGUUUAGUCAUCUCGACAAGCGCCUACUUACAGUACUUUUUUUCCUUCUGAAAAGGAGGACAUUCCUACGGGCGCCUUUGCAUCAAUCGAUGCACACAUCCAUAAUAUUAUUGAAGUCACAAAUACAACUCAAAAUUAAUGACAACAAACUAGAAAACCCUCCAAGCUUAGCGCCCUCAUGUCACAUCCGAACAAAGACACCAUUCUAGGUCGCUUGUCUUCAUCAUCAUACUUCGUUGCAGCAACAAUGGUGACAGUAACAUACAACGCAACCACACCAGAUGUCGCCGCAUUACCAGAAGCAUCGCCAACAAUGACUCCCCCUCCAACAUUGAGGACUAUCGCAUGGUCUUCAAGACUGACCACCAUGCCCAACAACUACAGACACCACCACCUCCAUGGGCGUCUGGGCCCGACUUAUGGUCCAUGAUAGUCGUCCGUAGACGCUGAUGACGAGCGGCCACUCAGCAGAGCACACCACCGCACCGCCAUCUCCUCCAUGCAAGCCGCGUAUGAUUUUUCGUACAUAUGAAACCUCGAUGGACUGCCUUUCCCAACAUGAGCCACCGUAGUUCAGACGCCUGACAACGACAACUCCGGCGCAUCUUCCAGUGGCCCCGACCUCCGUCAGCCCCUCUACCUUCUUUCCUCCCGGCUCGAUGGUUCCUCGGUGGCGCAGAUCAAAUUGCGUGCAGAGGGCCCUCUGCCAUGUCCCCUCCCGGCUCCAAGCCGAUGCGACAGACCCUACCGCCGUAACUGACGCCCUGGCGCCUGGCCCGCCGACUAGGGAUGCACAUCAAGCUUGAGUACCAGUAUAUAUAAUCUUGGUUAAACACCAAGCCUGGUCCUCGGGGUAAAUUGCAUGAGUAUCAGGACAACCCGUCCUCAAGAAUAAAUAGGAACCUAAAUUCGCGUCCGUGAGGAUUUGAAUCCAGGUGUUGGGUUUGUACAUCCACUCCCCCAACCAAUUGAGCUAGGGUCACUCCCAUCCACGUGCUUGCUGACUUAAUUAAUUGUGUCUAUUUAUUGCGUCAAAUGUGUCUAGUUACAUGUUAACUAUGUCUACUUGACAGGUUUAAUUAACUAUGUUCGAUUUAUUCGUGUGUAAUUACCUGGUUAUACAUCUCUACUUCCCGACUUAAUUACUAUUUUAUCAACGUCUAAUUGUAGGUUUAACUGUAUCUACUUAUCGUCUUAUCAACACUUACUUAUGCAUGCGUACUUACCGACUUACUAGUUUAUCCACACCUAUAUACUUGCUGGUUUAACUGUUCUACUUGCCAAUUUAUCUAUAUAUACCUACUUAUCAGUUUAUCCACAUCUACUUGCUAGGUUAAUCUUGCCUACUUGUUGGUUUAUCCAUGCGUACUUACCCACUCGCUUGUACAUGCACACUAAUCAGAUUAUUAACAUAAGUUACGCGUUUAAUGGACCACAUUUGCCAAGGUAUUUACCAUACCAUAUAGUUAACAUUCACUUAACAACCAAUUUAUCCAUGCACAUGUACCAGCUAAUGUAACACACAAAUCUCAAUACAAUGCAAUGUAUACGUGUCAGGGUACAGAUAUGCUCAUCUAAAACACAAACUUAUCGCUCAAUCAUCAUAUAUUGACAACACUCGCGCGCAUGUUUAUCUACAACAUAUACCCUGAUGGUAUAAUCGAACUACCACCUUGUAGUGUAGUUGUGUACUACUCUCCCUCCGUUCCAAAAUGUAAUAAGCUCUAAUUUUGUUCUAAGUCAAAAUUCUUAACUUUGACUAAGUUUAUAAAAAAACAACCAACAUAUACUAGUCUAAAUUAAUUUUAUUGUAUCCAUCGUGAUAUACGUUUUACGGCAUACUCAUUUGAUUUUCUAUAUGUUGAUACAUUUUACUAUAAAUUUAAUCAAAUUUUAAAAUUUUGAUUUAGGAUAAAGUUAGCACUUAUUAUAUUAUCAUACUUAUAAAGUUUGGAUUUGGUGGUCGUCAAUUCACUUCUUUAUAACCACUCUCUUAUCACUCCUGACAAGUAGAUUGUACAAACUUAUGAGUUAAAAUUUGAAGUCAUAAUCCUCCCUUACAUAGUUUUUACUACUGCAUUUCCUCUCCUGAGUUUGGGUUUAGAGUACAAAUUCAGCAAAACCUAUCAACAGGCUAGCAUUGGUUCAUAAGCUUACUAUCAUGUUGUCUUCAGUUGUAAAAAGAAUUUAUUGAUGAUUCCGUAGCAAAACACGAACACAAAACAAUUAGCAUUAAAAUACGAAGUUAGUUAUAAUAUAGGCUGGAGUACGACCAUGCAUUCUUUUUUGUGCAUGGCACCGACGCCCCGUGUACGGAUCCCUACAUUAUGAUGGAGUGAUUUUGUGUGGUAACGGAUGGUGCUUCAGGACAAUGCAUGCAUACAACAAAAUCAGACCAGCGCAGCCCAAUAGGCCCAACACAGAAGGUAACGUAAUAAGCCCAGGAAGAUCUGGCAUGACUAGCAUCGAUCCGAAGCGUUCUCAAGAAAAAAAAACGCAUCGAUCCGAAGCGUGCGAGGCUGCGAGCGAGUCAGCGGCCGCUUGAGAAGACAGAGCAGGGGACGUGCCCCCGCUAGAAUUCCGAGUCAAAUUACGCACAGAAAGUCAACACCAUGCAGCAACAAGCUAGCUAGCACUAGCAGCCGUAGCUCUCUAUGCUCGAUCCCCUAACAAACUACCAAGUCCGACGGAUGAUAUACCGUAGCACGUACGGUCGUGCAGUGGUCAGUAUGUGAACUGCAGGUUGCUGAUGAAGGACAUGCCGAAGCUCCAGCUGGCCGGCACGACGUUCUGGAAGACGAUGGUCUGGCCGCCGGUGGUGGUGACGCCGAAGGUGAUGGCCUGACCAACGAGCCCUGCCAGGCACUGCCAGUUGGCGCCCCAGUUCCUGCUCAUGGCCACCUGCCCCGUGUUGGCGCUCUUGGCCCACAUGGCCUGCACGGACCCGCUCCCGCCGACGUUGCUGACGAGCACCAGCUCGAAGUAGUUCUUCCCCGUCACCGUGAAGCGCACCCCUCCUUGCUUCACGCAGGACACCCGCUGGUACAGCACCGGGAUGUAGCCGCCCUGGUACACCCCGAUCUGCAGCCACGCCGGCUCCGCCAUGUCGAAGUGCGCCCGCGGCGGGUUGCACCAGCCGCCGUUGUUGCUGGGGAGCGCGUAGUUGGCCGGGCAGAGGUUUGUGGCCGUGAUGGUCACGCUGGUGCCCUGCCGGCACCACUGCGGGUUCGUCUGGUAGUCGCAGCUGAUCUGGUAGCACUGCCCGCACGACGCGCCGUCGUUGAACAUCGCCACGCUCAGCGCCGCCGUGCUCUUGCCGUACCCCGUAAAGUACAGGUUGCCGUACCCGCACGCGCCGCCUGCACAUAGAUAGACAUAUCAAUGCAAGUACACGCAUGCACUAGUCAAGAAACGUUAAUUUCAUGACUACUAAUCGGUCCAGGACGCUCGAUUAAUUAUUGCGUACCCAUGGUGCCGGAGGCGUCGCUGCCUCCGUAGAACGUGGCCGAGCCCUGGGACCAGCCAGCGGAGGCCGGCGCGAGGAACAUCAGCGCGGCGGCGACGGCGAGGGCGAGGAAGGCGGGUAGAGAUUUGGACGCCUCCAUUGUCAUGGUGUUUGUUCGAUCGACACGGAGCCCGACGGUCGACAGAGUGCAGAAACAAACAGCUGACAAGUGAUCAGACAAGUGCAGUGUGUUGGGUUUACUGCAGCUUGUUAGUGGCGCGGUUCUUAAAUAGGAACUGUGUGGAUCGAUGAACGGCUUCUGAUUAACCAACGUCAGGAUUACUAAUUCAGAGUCCAAACAGGGGAACUUAACUGAGGCGCACGCGGGCAUGCACGUGAGUUGCAGCUACAGUGCGCGCGCGCGCGCGUCGUCGUCGAUCAGAUCGACCGUGCCCCGCGCGGCUAUCUCGGGACGGAGCCUUUUUUAUUCCACAGAUGCUACUUAGUAACAUGGUCUCUGGUUUACGAAGAUUCUGAUCUGCAUUAACUUGCAUCCAUGCCGUGCAUGCAUAUGUCACUGGCACAGUCUGCGACUCGAUCGCUAGCUGCAUACAUUUUCUUCUGCUGAUAUAUCUUCUGGCGAGGAACUGUGAGGAUCCAAUCGAGCGAAAUGAAUGGCGUAGAGAAUGAAUAUAUAUGUGGAGAGGUUGACAUGAGAGUAGAUAAAUAACUGGAUACAGUAAUGCACCAGAGAGUAGAUUAUUCGUCGGAGAGGUCGUCGGCCCACCGGAGCCUUCGUGCAGGCAUCCAGAUCCAGUGAAUCCACGCCCGUCCAGAUUGAACCGUGGUCACAUCUGCAUCAGGAUUUGCUGGAUGUGCGUCCGUCCUGGAUGGAUCAUGGAUGAGGCCACCGAUACCGCGGCGCUGUUGAUAACUUGGUCAGGGUCCCUGGUCAGGGUUUAGCUUCCUACGGGCGCAAACACCGGAUGACGGCAAUUCCAGCAGGGCGACCCAAACGAAUUGUUUUUUGUGUCCGUUUUGGUCCGUUUUGAUCGCGGGCCGUACUGAAUGCGUUUUGCUGCCCGGACUUCGUCCGUUUGGGCCGCCCACCACCCCAGCGGUGCGACCCAAAUACGGCGGCCCAUUUUUGGCGCCCAGAUUCAAAACUCUCUCCUGUUCGCGGCCCGACUCCCCACCGGCAAGAUUGAGACCAAAUCGAUGGCAAUUUAAGAUACGAAAAUACAAAUUAAUGCACACGUCUCACCGGCAUACAUAGCAAGCAUAGUUCCAUACACCAAAAUGCAACAGAUUUGGCCGCAUAUCAUUCCUCCAGGCGCCGGCGCAUCGCGCUCUUGUAUGAUCUUCCUCGUGGCCUCGAACCAAGCUCGCGUCGGAGGGUCCAUGAGGUUCAAGUCCGUCGUCAUGAUCCUUGUCUCCUCGGUGAGAAGGUAAUUGUAGAAACCACUCAUUAUUGCGAGGCUUGUUGCGUAAAACACCCACUAUUCAUACUUUUUGCGCAAAACACUUACUAUUCGUCUAAUCAGUUGCACAUAAGUCCUAAACUGAGUUUCCGCACGUUAACAACGUUUUUGACCGGUCGGGCCCACCCGUCAGUUCCAACACGGCAGCUUGCUCACCUCCGGGCCACCGAUAGCCUCACCCAGCCCGCCCACUUGCGUGGCGCGCUCCAAAGCCGUCGUCGUCGUGAAGUACUCCUCGAGCUCCUCCACCAUGUUGUCCACGUGCCGGUCGAGGUACCGUCUCUGCACCGGUGAAAUCUAGCAGGUUCGGGUAGCACAUGGCUCCGCACGCGAGGUGCUCGAGCCUCGGUGCCGAGAUUACCACCUAGGCCUCCCUGAGGAGCAUCCUGCGCACCCCACGACGCGCAGCCCCGGAGGGUGCAGCUCGAGCGAGGUCAUUUCGGAGAGCCGCUCCAGGGAGAGCUACUCGAGCGUGGCCGUGACCGCCUCGAGGCACGGUGCGGCAAGGCCCUUGACGUGCUCGACCCGGGCACGCCGCAGCCGCAGGCAGCAGCUGGCCCCCCAAGUUGGCCUCGUCCGCGCACCCCAGCUCGAUCCUGGCGUGGCUCAGCCAGAGGUCCGCAGCGCAUCCAAGGUGCCGGCAUCGGCGCCAGGCUCGCGUUGCCCAAUGUCAGCCGGAUCUCCUCGUCUCUUGUGGAUGCCAGGAGCUCAGCCAUGAGCUGCUGCUUCCUCAUCUUCGGCUCCGGCUCGCACACUCUCGUCGUCUUUCGUCUGGGUCCAGCACGGCGUUGGGGCCGAACAUCACGAGCAUGGCCUCCACUCUCGCGUACGUCGGAAGCUCGGCAACAAACUUUCUCUUGGCUUCAUCCUCGUCCGGCGCGACGGGCGGCACGACGACCGCAACAAGGUGACGUGCGCCGCCAAUUACCAAAUAAGACAGGAAUAAAGUAAAUAUUCGCCCGCGAAAUCCUUAUUGAAUUAGAAUACUUUACCGCAAUUCAAUAAUUCAAUAAAUUCAAUAAAAGUAAAAAGAAAGAUAUUUUUUUAAGAAGGAUUACGUUAAAAAUAGAAUAUAGAUAAAUAGACACACACAUCUAGAUAUAUUCUAGAUCUUCUUUCUUCACUAUAUAUUUUUCUAUUUGAACAAAAUUAACUAUGAAAAAUAAAAAAAAACUAACUUUUUCUAUUACCUAUUAAUGUGUAUCUAUCCAUAAUAUUUUUGAAUAUUAUAGAAUUAGAGCAAUUUGCACGCUUUCUCAUUUAAUUCGCGAGGAGCUGGAUGAGAAGAAACUCUCAUGUCCAGUUUUGACAUGACGUCCUCGACGACCUCGGUGGGUUCUCGUGAUGGGGCAGGCCCAGUACCGGUUGUGGCAGGAAGUGCAGUUCUCGAGGAGGCACAGCACCCACGUGUUGCGGCGGCGCUCAUGUCAGCAUGGUGGAGGAGCUCGGGGAGUACUGCACGAGGACGACGGCGUCGCAGCGCUCGGGCGGGCUGGGCAAGGCCAUCGGCGUCGACCUGAUCCAUGUAGGCAAGCCCAGGCUGCCACGUUGGCACCGACAGGUGAGCCCCACAGGUUAGAAACGUCGUUAAUGCAUUGAAUUCAGGUUAGGACUUAUGUAUAAUGGAUUAGACGAAUAGUAGGUGUUUUCCGCAAAAAAGACGAAUAGCGAGUGUUUUGCGCAACAACCCAACCAAAGUUGAGUUGUUUGUGCAAUUUCCUCCCUCAGCGAGCAUAGCGGGCCGCGGCUGCUGUUUUGGUUGCCGCCGCAUUGGCCGCCUUGAUGACGAGCUUCCUCUUUUGCACGAUGAGAAAUUCCUUCAUUUGCUCCUCUUUUUACCACGGCGCUGUUGAUAACUUGGUCAGGGUUUAGCUUCCUACGGGCGCAAACACGGGAUGAGACCAAACAAGCAAUUCGUGGUCGCCUGAGCUGAUAGCGAGACCUUUUACUUGCUAAGGACGCUAGAUAGUUGCAUAAAGAAGAAGAAGAAGAAGAAGAAGAAGAAGAAGAAGAAGAAGAAGAAGAAGAAGAAGAAGAAGAAGAAGAAGAAGAAGAAAUAUAUUCCGACCCUUGAUGUUCUUGCCUCAUCAUUCAUCAGCCCCUAAUAUGAAGAUCUUUGUGGGGAUCACCAGUCAUCAGCCCCUUUUAUCUGCAUCACCGACUUCUCUAUGAAACGGUGUAGUGGAAAUUUUGAGAAUCGAAUCUUUGUGGGGAUCAUCAGCAGUGGCGGAGCCAGAAACUAAGGAUGGUGCUAAGAUAGAUCUAAUUGUGAUAUAUUUGUGGGUCUUUCAUACUUAUGAUCUACAUACCUAAUCACCUCUGAUUCAAUACACCCCCCUCCUCUUACGAAAAACACAAGGACGGGCCAGAUCACUCCGUACCCUUUCAUAAAAAAGGGCAUGAUGGGCAUUAAGCAAUAUUUCUUUCUCUCUUUUCUGCCUGGCUCCGAACAGCACUCGGUGAUUACGAUUUUUCCGGAUAUUGCACCGUUGGAUCUUCACGAAAUUUCAUGAGAUAGUAUUAGACACAGUUCCACACAAUCCCACCGAAGGGAUCGGCAAAAAGUUUCUUGAUCCAGCGGGAAACAUGCGAACAAACCAUAUGUUCAUGCUGUCCGGCACGGACACGAGUAAUCCAAACAUCACUCGGUGUUUUGAAGUUUUUCGGAGAUUGCACUGUUGGAUCGCGAUGAAGUUUCAUAUUGUAUAGUAGACAAAAUUCCGCACAAUCCUACCGAAGGGAUCAGCGAAACCCUUCUCGGAAACAUGCGAACAAGUUGGAUGUUCAUGCUGUCCCACACGGUCGCGAGAAUUCGAAACAACACUCAUUGUUUCGGAUUUUCCCGCAAAUUCCACCGUUGGAUCGCGAUGAAAUUUCACAUUGUAGUAGUAGACAAAAUUCCGCACGAUCCCACUAAAGGGAUCGUUGAAACAUUGCACGAAUCAGUGCGAAACAUGUGGACAUCGUACUAUCAUGCACGGCUUCACGAAAUCCGAACAACACUCGGUAUUUUGGUAUUGGCCGGAGAUUUCAUCGUUGGAUCACGAUGAAAUUCCACAACGUCGUAGAAUACACAAGAAAUUUCACGAUGAAAUUUUUAGUAAAGAGAGGAAGAAACCCACUAAGGCCAUGUUCGGUUCCAUCAUACCGGUGGGGAUCCCCAGUGAACAACGCUACCGAACGGGCCAAAAUGGAGGAGUUGUUAACUUAGCAUGAGGCUGUUGUCUAUCUCUUCUCCCAGUAACAGUUGUAGUAUCAGAUUGUUGCGGAUGCCUUAAUUGUUCUAUGUAUCAUUGUUAUGCUCUCAUUUUACUUCAUGGCCUGACCACAGAACCAAGAAAAUAAAAUGCCGAGAUGCACAGAGUCCGCGUAAAGGAGUUUGUCGCUGACCCCAAAUCUAUUACUAUCUAUUAAAUUGCAGUUGGUGGUGAGUUCUGUGGACGUUGCCCGUACGUCACCCAUCCGAAUCCCACGUAUGCUAAAAAACCAAAAAUCCUGAAGCGUUUUUCUUUAUUCCUCCCGUCUCUCUGUUAACCACACCAUUUCCCCCGAUCUCUUCUCCCCGGGUCCUCCUGUCUCCUUGUUUUGGCGGCUGAGACGAGAUCCAGCCCGCUGCCGCCACUUGAGAAGGGCUCGCAGCGACGCCCUCAAUGAGUACUAUCCUCCACGAGCCCCUCCACGACGUCCUUGGCCCCUUCCUCCCCGAGCCCCUCAGUCUAGCAGCAGUUCCAGUAUUACCUAAGGCGUGGGUCUCCAAAUCAAUUUAUGCCGGCCGACCGUAUGAUGGCGUAGUUUUAGGACAACACAACAGACCUAAACCGAAGCAGAUCUCGAUGGGCAAAUCGAUUUGUAUCAUGUUGCCCGUAGGAGAGGGAUAGACAGCAACAACGAUGGUGGUAGGGAAUCGUCUCAUGCUGUAGGAUUUGAAUUGGAGGUGACGAGUAUUAGGGGCCUCGUCUCAUGGACGCACGCGCCAGAUCGAUCAGCCUCGACAAUCCAAAUAAAUCUAGCAAAUUGAUGAAGAAUCUGCCCCUUUAAUCUUUCGAGAGGUGAAUGUGCUUGAAUGAUUAACAAGAGGUAGAGGUACGCAGACUUAACAAUCCAUCUUACUUGAUGGGGAGGGCGUCGUCGUGGGCGUCCAAGCACGAGAGCCCGCCCGCACCCUUCUUCCUCCUCGGCGAGCCCUCGAGCAAUGUCCUUCAUCUUCCUCGCCCUGCUGCCACCUGGCACCACCGCGGGGGGUGGCGCCACAACGGAAAUCAGGUCUGGCCGCGAAGGACGCUGCUCUCAAUAUCAUUGGUGCCCGCAAGCAAUUCAUCUAUGCUUUGGCGGUAAACGCACAAACCCCGUAGCAUGCUCCUCUGCUCGUCGAUGAAGAAACCGGGACAGAGCUCUCACGCUAGAUCGUAGCCGCAGCGUCCCGAUCAAGAAUUCGCCGAUGGCAGCAGCGACGCGAGAGCGUCCGCGAGGCCGCGGCAAUGGCAGGCUGCGUGAGGGACCGUGAGGCGGCUCCGGAGGGCGGCAGCGAAGGUGAUAAGGUGUGUUUAGAACAUUAUCCUUGUCCUUAGGAUGGACCAAUUUUUUAAACUUUGAGACAUGCAUCGACGAAACCAGGAGGACGAGAUAUAUGAUUAGCGAUAGUCAUUCGACGAAAUGAAGUGAUAUGCUUUGGCAUGAUGAGAGAAGAUACAAGAUAAUAAUUUCUAUUUUCGUUGUAAGGACACUCCGCUAGUUUUGAAUAAUUGUGCAGGUUGGAUUUUGCUCAUCCGGAAAGUUCAGAUUUGUGAAAAUGUAUUUGUCCUCUUCAUACGAAGUCCUUGUACAGAUUUUUUUUUUAAGAAGUCCUUGUAUAGAAAUUUUGUAAGCAGCCCGUUCUGGGCUCCGGACUUGUGUCGAGGACAACCUCUGAGGGUUCGGAGCAGCGGCCCAAUCUCUAGGGUUUUGUGGCUUUCGUUUCCUUUGUUCCCCUCGCGGAGUCGUGGUCUAGGGUUCCCGCACCCUCGCCAAUCCCCAUCCACUCCCUCACCGCCAUGGACUUCGACGAGUACGACUACUUGGAGAAGGCGGUCGAGCCCCCAGUCCCGUCAACCAACGGCGCCGGCGAGAAGGACCGCAGCUCGCGCCGCCGCUCCUCAACCGGCGGCGGCGGCGGCCGCGACCAGGACGAGCGCGGAUCGAAACGCCCUCGCUCGGGAGAAGACCGCGAGCGGCACCGCAGCAGCCGCGAGCACCGGGACCGGGAUGACGGGAAGGAGAAGGACGGGAGCCGCGACCGCGAGAAGGUAAGGGAGAAGGACGAGGGCCGCGACCGCGAGAAGGUUAGGGAGAAGGAUGGGGGACGCAGCCGCGAGAAGGUUAGGGAGAAGGAUGAGGGGCGUGACCCUGAGAAGGUUAGAGAAAAGGAUGAGGGUCGGGACCGAGAGAAGAUCAGAGAGAAGGAUAGCAGCCGCGACCGUGAUAAGGUUAGGGAAAAGGAGCGAGACGGCAGGGACAGGCUUAUGGAGAGGGAGAACGGAAGGGAACGUAGGAGCCGUAGCCGCUCAGAGCGACGCCGCGGGGAGGAGGAGGAGAUGGUAAGGGAGCUUCAACGGGAGCGCGAACGCAGCGACCGACACCGUGACUACCGAGACCGUGAUUUCAGGUGCGGAUUUGUUGACCUCCCCUAUUACUUUCACUGUAUUAAAACACCUCUGAAUGUGAUAGUCGUAGAGGUUAAAUGUCUAGGCAGAAAUCCUUUGGCCCUGUUUGGAACACAAGAAUUUCCCUAGAUUCCUGCAGGAUUUAAAUGGUGUGAUGUAAAAUUCCUCUUUUAGUACUGUGAAUUUUGUCCAAAUAUGUUCUUAGAUGGUGAAUAUGCCUACGAAAAUCCCCCGUGAAAUAUGUAUUAGACUAAUUUGACUAGUCAUUUUUCUUUUGUUAGGUAAAAGAGUAAUGUGAUUUAGAAUGGGGAGAGAGCAGUGCUUGGUUGGACGCUCUUGAUAUUUUUUGCAGGAUGCUAGUAGUGGUCCUGCUUGUUUUUUAAAUUUUGUUUGGCAUACACAUGGAACAAGUAACAUCAUGCAUGCAUAUAUCAAGUAAUCUACUUAGCUGCUCAAUGUUUCCUGUAGUAUAUUGUUAUUAUGAGCUAGGCUUGUCAAGUCUGGAUAUUGAACGUUAAAUAUGGGACUCGCAGAUACAAAAUCCUAGAGCUCUCUUCAGAUGGUUUCAGCAGUUGAGCCUGACUCGAGAUAUAAGGUCAUGAAUCUUUAAUUCUUUAUUGCGAAAUAUUUACUACUUGGCCACUUGGCUUGGACUACUACUGCCAGCCUCUUGAAGAUAAUUGGCGAUUUUUGCAUGGGGGUUUCUGAUCAGCAAUAAAUCAUGCUAUCUGUAAUUACAGUGUCUGUUUGUUACUAUUUGAUGUGUUUAGUAUGCUGCUUCCUCCUGUGCUAAAAUACCUUUUUUUGUGCAGGCGCAAGAAAGAUGAUGGUACAGAACCGGAAGUUGACCCCGAAAGAGAUCAAAGGACUGUAUUUGCCUUCCAGGUUAAGUCUCACAAGUAACAUCUCUUGCGUUGAUAUUUUAUUCAUAAAGCUAAUGUUGUCAGCAUUUCUGCAGCUAUCUUUGAAGGCCGAUGAAAGAGAUGUCUAUGAGUUCUUCUCAAGAGCAGGGAAGGUGAGAACAUUCAAAUUAUCUAUAUCACAAUGCACCAUAAUUUGAAAAUGUAUCCUUGUCACAGGAGUUCUUAGUUAUGCCUGUUCAUCAAGCGUAAUGGACAAUCUUUUCUCUGUUUUAAUGAAGUUGAUUUAUUUAUGAGCACAAACACAUAGAUGUAACAUAAUAUGGGCAUACUGACCUGAUUUACCGAUCAUUGGCAUUAUGUUCGCAUGUGUGCAACUGUUCUGCAUGAGAACUCAUUUGCAACUCAAGUCGACACUUGCUUGAUCGUUCCACUUAUGCAUUCACCCAGGUCUUGCAAGCAUGUGAUUAUCAUUUGUUGGUUGUAAUUAGCAGUAGUCAUUGAACCUUUAUCUGCACGUUAAAUUCCCCAGCAAUAUUAAAUUUGAUUUAAUCAUUUACUGGCACUCUUGUUUUCUGUGUAGGUUCGUGAUGUUCGCCUUAUUAUGGACCGAAACUCACGGCGUUCCAAAGGAGUUGGGUUAGUCUCAACACUUUCUUAUUUGUUGUAAUUUUAAUUCCCUCACUGGAUGCUUCUGCAAUAAUAUAGCUACCUUUUUCAUAGUUAUUGUUAAAGAUUAAACAAAUAUUGCAUGUGCUAAAUUUUGGUUAUCGGACUGUACUAAAAUUCGAAAAGACUUACCAAGGUCCUUACCACCAAAAUACGCAAAAUCUGAUGAAUAAGUCGGUGCACAUGCCACUAGGAAAAAAUAAGUUAUGGACAUGUGUAACCAUCACUCAGUUAGUUGAUUGUUUGUGCUCUGAAAUGCAGUGCAUACUUAUUUUAUUGCUUGUUCUUACCAUGUUGCAUAACUUAGUUGUGCUUCCUGUAAAUGAACAAAUGCUUUAGUGUGAAGUACAGAUGUGGUUACCAUGAAUCUUCCCUUGUGCUUGUGCGUAAGAACAACUGCAAAUUCGGGAUGUGUAUUAGAUGGAAGUUGUUUUGAGGAAAUAUAGCUGUUAGGGCCCUGUUUUUUGCAUUUCAUGAAUUAGAAUAGGCCUUAUCAUAUAAUAUGUUUUCCAUCUAUUUACUGGUUUUGUAAUUAUGUGAUUCUCAAGUUCAUAUUUAAUUUUUCCGUGGGGAAUAUUUUUCAUCAAUUUUGUCAUACUCAACAGGAUUGCACACUGAAAUAUUUAUAGUUUGGUCUACCUGCUGGGAUUAUCGGCACUUUACAAGUAAGAUGGAAUAUUAGAUCAUUCUGAUGCUCUCAGCAAUCUAGGGCAGUUUGCUUCCAGAGUAUUUGACAAAAACUUGGUGCAGGUCCUUGGAAUUAAAGAGGGCAACCAAGAAUCAAGUUCAAAACAUUGCUACUCACAAAAACUGAUCAUUUUUUCUAAAACACUCUGAAGAUUAUGAUUUUUUAAACACAUAUAGCCUAAUUUAAGGUCUACUUUGACAGGUAAAACUUCUUUUGUUGGACAUUCUGAUACAGUACUAAAGAUCUAUCUGAAUUGGCAGGUACAUCGAGUUCUAUGAUGUUAUGUCUGUUCCAAUGGCAAUAGCUCUAACCGGUCAGCCACUUCUUGGGCAAGCAGUGAUGGUUAAGCCAUCAGAGGCCGAAAAGAACUUAGCCCAGUCAAAUGCGGCAUCAGGUGGAGCAGCUUCAGGUGGAGCAAGAAAGUUGUAUGUUGGCAACCUUCAUUCCAAUAUCACCGAGGACCAAUUGAGACAGGUCAACUGCUUAAUAAUCUCAUAUUUUAGCACAAAUAAUGAUAGAUUUAACUUCCUGUAUUUUGUUCAUUAGGUAAAUAUAGAAAACAUAAGUAUCAUAUUUAGAGUUCUGGAAUGUAAACCAAUUCGUGUGUUAUUUCCUUCUAUUCAGUGUGGUGUGUAAUGUGCUUGAUUUCAUCAAGGCUUACACAUACUUAAUUACUAAAUUGAUUGUGAAACUAAAUAAUAUCGUUGGGGAAAGUAGCCCUAGGUUCUAUUGAUCUGUCAUGCUCACAUUGCUAUAAUAAAAUUCGCCUUUUCAGGUCUUUGAACCAUUUGGGCAAGUGGAGCUUGUCCAGCUGCCUGUAGAUCCACUUACUGGGCUAUGCAAAGGUUUUGGUUUCAUUCAGGCAAGUAUCGAUAUUAUUGCCGUGCAACUCUUUGCCUGACAAUAUUAUCACGAAGCUCUUCCCAUGGUUAUAUUUCCAUGACUCUUAAUUUCUCAUUAAUAUCCUUUCAUUAUGCAGUUUGCACGGCUUGAAGAUGCAAAAGCUGCUCAGAGUUUGAACGGCCAGCUCGACAUUGCUGGGAGAGUAAUCAAGGUAUCAUUUCUUAAAAUGCAUCUCCUGGCUUCUGAAACAUAAUGAAGACAUAAUAGUUAUCUGUCUGACAAGUCGUAAUUAUUUACACCAGGUCUCCGCUGUUACUGAUCAGGGUGGUGUGCAACUUGGUGGCACAACCACUGGAGAUUUAGAUGAUGACGAAGGUGGAGGGUUGGUACGUUUCUUUUUCCCACACUGCACACCUCAUGACUGGAUAUUUUUUUCAUGUUAUCCUGCUCAAAGAUCAUGUGUAUUCAUUGUCACUUGAUCAUACACAGGCAUUAAAUGCAAGCUCUAGAGCCCUUCUGAUGCGGAAAUUGGACCGGAGUGGCACUGCAACCAGGUACUGUUAGUGUUAUUGUGUUUUGGUUUUUUGCUCUUCCCUUCUGUUACCUGGGCAUGAGGUGAUCUUGAUACAACACUCAGAAUGUUUAAAAUUUUAUGUGAGCCUUUGGUUUGAGGAAUACGUUGAUCCUUACCCUAUGCAAAUCUGAAGCAUUGGAAUUUAAACUUUUCCCCAGAUGUCCUAAUUUCUUUACGAAAUUGCUGCCUUAAGUUGUAGGCUAUAUAACCUUGGAACAAGAUGUGGGAUCCUCUUGGUUCCACGCAUAAUUGUUAAGUACUCCCUCUGAUCCAUAACAAGUGUCUCAGACUUAGUACAACUUUGUAGUAACUUUGUACUAAAUCUGAGACACUUUAUUAUGGAUUGGAGGGAGUAUUAGAAAUGGCUUGGCAGAUAAUGAGGCCGCCAUAUAUAGAUGGAUCUUGCUCUGAGCAUACUCAAUUGGAAUGUCACUAUCUAAAGACAGGUCUUCUGCCGGCUGUAGCUUUGGCCUUACAUGAUAAUGAACAAUGACUAGCAUGUCAGGGGACCCUUUUUUUGUGCACCAAAUCUUAUUUAGCUUGUAGUAUUUUGAUGUCUAGGAUCUUACUUAGCUUCGUGGUUUGGCAGAAACAUCUUGUGUGCCGUUAUAGGUUCCUAUAUUCUCAGAAUUACAUUUAGGGCAUAUCCUCUAAUCUUAAUUUUGUGUGUGGUUCUGUGCAGCUUAACUGGUGGCAUUGGUGCUCCUGGUUUGAACACGUCUGUUGGAUUGCCUGCUGCAUCAGUUUUUGGUGCUCCUCUGGCAGCUGCUUCUCUUGCACCCACAAUACCUACUGUUGGAGCUGUUCCAGGAGCACCUCUUCCUGUUAUCUCUCAGUCUGCUGAUAUUGGGACACCUACUGAAUUCCUGUUGCUGAAGAACAUGUUCGACCCAGCAGUGGAGGUAUUUCCUCAUCUUAUCCAUUUAUGUUUUAGUUUUCCAUCUUAUUUCUGUUUCAGUAUUUUUGGGGCUUGCCUCAUGUUUUCGUUUGGCCGACCCCAUAAAUUUUCGUUGUAGUUGUUACUUUUCUGUUUACAUCUAGUCUCUUACUAACCAAACUGGGAAUUCAUUUCAUUGCAGACGGAUCCUGAUUUUGAUUUGGAUAUUAGAGAUGAUGUCCAAGAAGAAUGUUCAAAGUUUGGUGUAGUGAAGCAUAUUUUUGUUGACAAGUAAGCCCUUUUUCUCAUUUUUAAACCCUGCUGCUAUGCUCUUUUAUUGCAACCAUAUAUGUUAUCCUUCAGAUAUACUCCCUAGCAAAAUUGGCGGAAACUGGCAGUUCGAACAUAUAUAUUGAGAAAAAACAGAAGAGCUAACUAGAAAUAUCUUCACAUGCUACUAGUAGUGGUGUGGUGUGGCUCGUGUCCUUGCAUCAUUUCGUAAUCUUCUUUGCUGUGGUGCAGACAUACUGCUGGCUUUGUGUACCUGCAUUUUGACAGCUCAACAGCAGCAACAAGUGCACAACGAUCACUUCAUGGUAGAUGGUUUGCAGGAAAGAUGAUCACGGCAACCUUUAUGGUAACGAACAUUGUUUUUUUAUGUUAUUUUCCAAACCAUGCACCUGUUGCUAAUCUUGAUGAAAUCUGCCUGUGUUUUAGACUGCCCAGCAAUAUGAAAUGAAGUUCCCAGACCGCUCAGCAGUGUGAAAUGAAGUUGCCAAGCUAGCGGACAGGUUAAGUGGUGAAGAGCGACCUGGCGGAUGAUUUGCUUAACUGUUCAACAAUUUCAAAUGAAAUCGUGUCAAGUCUUACUAGAAGAGGACGCCAAUUAUUGUUUCUUGUAACAUUAUGACGGACUGGAAGAGGUUUGUUCUGGAGUCUGGACGGUAGGAUAAUUUGUGGUAGUUGGAGGAUUUAUUUAUUAUCUCUAGCAGUAUCCUAAAUAUUAGCUGUACCUGUAUUAUAACCUGAUCUGCCCAAUAUUACAACUAAGCGACAUUAUUUUGGUCUGAACCGCAGAAGAGAAUGCGACAACCGUUGCAGCAACACUAAUGCUGAGAUUCUUUGAGAGGACCUAAGUAAUUUUUUUUCUAUUUAUUUAGUCAAAAUUGACUCAGUUUUCAAAGUUCAGCAAAAAAAAAGUUGAUUGGCUUGGUCUUAAAACUUUAACCAAAUCAAUAUUUUUUUUUCAGAGCCAGCCUCUUGAAUACCUAGAAAAAAGAGAUAUCGAUCCCAUGCCGCUGGUCAUAUCGGCCCGUCCUCCAAAGGGCCAUCUUGGCAAAAUUACGGUCGUUGCUCGAAUGGCCAGUUAGCGCAACCAAAGCCCUUGUGCAUGGUUCAACUUACCGAACUCAAGACAUAGAAGAAGGGGAACCGCUGAACCGCAGAGACUGAAAAAAUAUAUCGAGAUACAUUUCACGGCUUCAUUGAAAAUGCUGAUGGGGCGUUUGUCGAGGAUAAAUAUUUUGGAGAACGUUUUGGAGAACUCCUCGAGUUAUUGAAAGCAAAGUCACUUUCCAGUGGAAAACUGCGUCAUGAAUCUGAGUGUGAGAUAUUUAACUGCAUGACCCACCACCUCAUAUCUCCCUUGUCUCUUCAACCGUCCCAGCCCCCAAGCAGCCUUCGGUGGAUUUCUCUCAAAGCAACCGAGACAAUGAGCGUUGCUAACCGAGCUAGAGCCGCGACAGAGACCCCCAGUUAUGGUUACUAGCAGGAGCCCGUCCGUUGCGACGGAAUACAUAUGUUCGUCAUGUCCAACAGAGUAAGGAAAACGAGAACUGAUAACGAAAUCUUGAAAAACACCGGCAAACAAAACGAGAGCUCAAGAAUAGAAACUUGAUUUAUACAGUGUACAGAAAGAUAAAAUCAAACAUGUUACUUUUAGGUGUCUCUCAAUAUAAUGCUACAGCUCAGACCAGAAUUCAUGUAACUAAAAUGUCACUCCCUUUUUUCUGCAAAGCAGCUAAAGACCGAAAUAAGAGCAACAUGCUGAAAUAGUAGUGCUUAACAUUGAUGGCAAUAAUGCUUUUGGAGUUCAUACAACACUGGAAUUUGGACCUGAGAAUUGAGAUGUUCAGGUCACAACCCAAAUUACAUAUAUAUGUCGGUAAACAAUUGUUUUAUUUCCUUUAGAGGCUUGUGGUGUAACCGUCGGCAGUCAGAACCCAUGACGUACAUGUUGACCAUGUACACCAAGGUGUUAGGAGGUUGAGCACAAGGGAGAUGAAAUGGUGCUUGUCCUCUUAAAUCUAUUGUUGUUCUGAACCUGUGGUGUCUCUUGACCCUACGUGCCAUCAGCGCGUGCUUGUCCUCUGAAAAACUAAGGGCUCUAAAACCAAAGUGCUGAUAAACUGUCCCUCAAUAGCCUCCUUCACAGCCUGCCUAUGCUUCUUCUCCUGUGACCAAUGUUAAAAGUAGUUAAUCGAUGGCACACAUAAAGUAAAUACUACCCUAUAGGUUUAGAAUUACCAGUCAAGCAAAUUAAGCCUUAAAACAUGAACUCAUAGAAAAACAAGGGAAUGACUAUCAAAAUGUUGUAUUACUUUGUAGGUUAACUCAAAGAAAAUAGGAAAUAAUUUAGAACUGAGAACCAGAGCUUUAUUUUACAUUGUGAUCAUUUAUAAUUGUGCUUUCCACCUCAAUGAUACUUUUAAGAUCCGACUUACUUUUAAAUUCAUCAUUUUUGUCUUCAUAUUAUACUUUUCAGAACAUGUGGAAUAGUUUUUCCAUUUCAACAUUCUUGUACGGAGUGCCACUCUGGAAUAUUUAAAGAAACAAUUGGCAUGACUGGUCCUUGGUUGAUUGAGUGCACAGUAUUCAUCAUUUUAUGAUAUUUUAACAUGUGUUAAACUACAAUGAACACAAAGCCAUAAUAGAAAAAUAUGGAUCAGGGUGGUCCUUUGGCAGGUUUUUAAGGGCACCAAGAAAUAGAAAUACACUCUCAGCCUUUUUGCGGAUUGACACAGAGAAGUUCAGAAAAAGAGAAAGAAAUACCUCCGAAGGAAGUUUUGAUGGAUGUAGUGGUGGCUGACAAGCUCCAGCACCUCCUCCUCUUCGUCCUUCUACUGUUUGGAAAAAAUAACAUCAGUUCUAAUAAUCUGAAAUGAAACAUGAUUUCCCCUAACUAUCUAGAUCCCAUGGCAGAGCAAAACUUGGUACAAUAUCUAACAGAAACAGCAAAUAGGUACUAAUUCGCGUACUAUGGUUAUUAUUUGUUGAACAUGCCAAUCUGAUACUUGUACUAUUCAUGCUGGGUAGCCAGGAAAUCGUGAAAGCUAAAGGGAGAGACUAAUUUUCAGCUACCUGAAAUAUUUUUUGGGUCUCAGUCAGUUUUUUGUUUUGUUGAUAACCAGACACUCCCUGAGCUAUUGAGCUGAAAACGAAGCUAACACAAGAAAGCACAAGCAUCAGCCCCGUACUAUUGAUAUCACCCUCUCUUGUAUAAACAAACUGAGCAUCCAACAAUGUACAACCAUUCUUAGAAAAAAAUUAAAACGAAACUGAAACUUAAAUUCGAACUGAAACUUAAUCCUAAAACUCAAAUAAGAAAAGAGAAACUUAAAUUCAAACUGAACCUGAACCCUCCUAGUUAAUUUCAAGUAUUUAACACUUCGAACUAAAACUAAAACUUAUAGCUGAAACUAGGAGACACACAAAGCUAAUUUAGUGGCAGCACCUGGAGGACCAAGGGUAGAAAUAAUGAAUCAAUCAAAUAUAUGGAGCUGAAUUUAAAUGGGAUUUUUUUUGGCAUAUGAACACCAACUUCAUGGGUAAUGUAAUACCCAGCAAAGACUACCAUUGAGCAAUACCUUCGGCUACACCUAUAUCUGUAGCAGGACCGGAUUCUAGUUGUCUCCUGAUAGCAUACUAUGAAGACAUGCUAAUACUAAAAGCUAAAAGUCAAACAUCUCAGUCUAUAAUUUCAAAUCUAGAAUGUAGAAAAUUCUAAUAAGAUUAUUUUUAGAUAAUGUAAAGAUCAAUUUUCAAAAUAAAGUAUUGAUCAAUAAUUCAUCUCUGAACCUAGGAGACUUCCUCCUACAACAUGUGCAGCAGCAUCUUUAUUUGUCCCUAUGCUAAUACAACGUGAUGAACAUAUCAAAUUCUUGUCCUCCAUAGUUUUUCUAAUUGCACAGCUUCAGAAGUGGUUAUAUAUUUAUCACUACUGCAGCUUGCCAUGAUAAAUUAAAUUGCAUGAUAAACCAAGUGAGAGGAAUCGUAGUUAUCCAAAACCAAGUAGCAGAUCGAACUCCAUUUCAGUUACGUGUGAGUAUCUACCAAGAAACGAAGCAAGAACUAACCGUAAUCAACGCUAGAAACCAAACAUUAACCACUCGGUCCAAGAAACAGCAUGACGAUGAGAGCUACAGAAGAGAAAGUUUUGAAUUGAAGUGUAGAAUAUUGCAAAGAAACAGUGCCCGAAGAAGAGAGGAAGAGAACUAACCUGUAGCUCAUCGGAACUCCUCCAGGUCUCCUCGCUUCACUUGUUUUUCGAGUUCUACAAAUCGACAAGACAGAACAACUGAGAAGGAAGAAUGCCAUUAGCUGGACGACGGAGGAGAAAUUGUAGAAAUUUUCGAUUACCACCAACGUCGGAAGAGAGGAGAGCAGGGAAGAGGAGAGCAACGGAGAGGAGACUGAUCUGCAGAGCUCGUAUCUGGCCUUUUUUUUAGCCAUGGAAGGAAUUUAAACACCGGAAGUGGGGGAAGUGGGGCGGUUCCAGACUUCCAGUCUACGGGGCUGCCAAUAGCUGACCGAGGUCGUGCACACGCACGAACUUGCAACCGCCCAUUCCACGCUCGACGCAAGUUGUCGGAACCGCCCUCGCACGGGACUAGCGCCUCGCCUGAAUCGCCAUCGCAAGGCCGCCGCCGUGCCGAAGCAGAGGAAGCCGCCGCCGUGCCGAAGGAGAGGAAGCCGCCGCCUUGUUGGAGGAGAGACGUGCGCGUGGCAAUCGCCCCUCCAUCUGCCCGCUUCAUCCCCUCCACAAGUGCAGCAACGGAGGCUCCGAAUUCACCAGCGUGGGAUCCUUCGGAGCAGCGGCUGUGGGAAGAGGCGGCGCGGGGGGCCUGACGGGAGGACGCCAGCGGCGGAGGAGUAAGGGCGAUGGAUCCGGGGGAGCAGCGGCUGCGGGAGUAAGCGGCGCGGGGAGGAGGCGGCCGGGCGGCCGCCGGCGGUGGAGGACGAAGGGAGAGGGAGAUGAGAGGAGGUAGUAGCGUGGACGAAGAGAAGCGUGCGGGAUCAGUUUUUUUUUCCGUUCGCUAUUGUGCGCAGGGGGAGGAACAAUCUGGGAUGUCGAUACAAACUGAUUGGACGGCUCACAAUGUGUGGAUGGUGAACCAUGGGUAAACUGUGUGUUUAUAGUAGUAGAGAUGAGUAGGAGAUGAUAUCAACGAGACCCCCCUUCGGCCCGUUGGCCCAAGUUAUGGUUAGGAGUCAUUGCCAACGCCGGAGAAGAACCAAGACCUCAUCGGGCUUAGAGGGACGCAUGGCCAGUGCGAAGUCGGUGCAUGGUUGGUAGUCAAGAGAUGAAAUUGAUGCUAUUGUCAAGAGUUUGCCCUCUAAUAAAUCACCUGGUCCUGAUGGAUUCAAUAUUGAUUUCAUGAUAAGGUGUUGGCAUAUCAUCAAGUAUGAUUUUUAUGAUCUCUAUGAGCAGUUCCAUAAAGGGAAUAUCUCUCUUGACAGCAUCAACUCAUGCUUUAUCUCCCUUAUCCCAAAAAAUGAGAAUGUUGAAACUGUGAAUGAGUUCAUGCCGAUCUCCCUCUUAAAUUGUACCCUGAAGCUCCUCACAAAACUGCUGGCUAAUAGGUUGCAAAAUGUCAUCAGAACCAAUAUGGCUUCAUUAAGACCAGAACCAUUCAAGAUUGUCUUGCAUGGGCGUUUGAGUAUUUGCACGCUUGUCACAAAUCUGGUGAAGAAGUUAUCCUUUUGAAGCUAGAUUUUGAGAAAGCUUAAGCUAUGGGGGGGGGGGGGGAGAGAUGGUGUGUGUGGUUGGAUCAGUAGCAUCCUUAACUUUGCUACUCCCUCCGUUCCAUAAAGAUUGGCACGGGUUUGAACUAAAACUAGUACAAAACUGUGUCAAUCUUUAUGGAACGGAGGGAGUACCUCACAGGUGCUCUUGAAUGGGGUUCCUAGUAAGACCAUUCAUUGUAAAAGAGGUGUUAGGCGCGGUGAUCCACUUUCACCUCUCCUAUUUGUUAUUGUGGCUGAUCUACUCCAGUCUGUCAUGAACUAUGCUAUGCUCCAUGAUCAGCUUAGAAGGCCCAUUGCAUCCUCUGCUUGCCCUGACUUCCCUGUGAUCCAGUAUGCUGACGACACUCUGAUGGUCAUGCAGGCAAACAAUGAUCAGUUGCAUACUCUGUGUGAUAUUCUCCAUUCAUUUCAUCUUUCCACUGGUCUCAAGGUUAUUUUUCACAAAUCUAACCUCAUCCCUAUCAAUGUUGCCGAGGACAGAGCUUUGUAUCUUGCCGGCCUUAUUGGCUAUAAAGUGGGUUCACUUCCUUUCACAUACCUUGGCCUGCCCCUGGGCACUACCAAACCCAGGGUUCAAGAUUUCAUGCCACUUGUUCAAAAAAUUGAGCGGCGUCUCGCCUGCUUCUCAUCCAUGCUGUCAUAUGGUGGUAGACUCCAUCUGGUCAACUCUGUCCUCUUUGCCCUUCCCACAUUUUACAUGUGUACCUUCAAGCUCCCAACUAGUGUGAUUGCGCAGAUUGACAAAUACAGAAGACACUGUCCUUGGAGAGGUCAGGAUCUCACCAAGAAGUCACCCCCCUGGCUGCAUGGGAGAUUGUUUGUCGACGUAAGAAAGAAGAUGGUCUUGGUGUCAAGAACCUUUAGACUCAGAACCAGGCCCUGAUCAUGAAAAAUUUGCACAAAUUCUUCAAUCGACAGAAUCUGCCAUGGGUGAACUUUAUAUGGGAGCAACAUCACCCUAAUGGCUUUUCACCCAACAAUAAUUCAAAUGCAUCUUUCUAGUGGCGUGACUCCUUCAAGCUCCUUGAGGAUUACAAGCAGAAUUCAUUCUGUAUUGUGCAUGAUGGUAAUACCGCCAACUUUUGGAAAGAUCCAUGGCAAAAUGCAAAGCCUCAACUUCGCUGGCCAGAACUCUUUUCCUUUGUCAUCGAUCCUGGUAUGACAGUUGCUCAGGUUCAUGGCUGUGCUGACAGGACCACCCUUUUCCACUUGCCUCGUCUCUUGAGGCAUUCACACAGCUCCAAGAGAUGUCAUUGAUGAUUGAUCACCUGACCCUUGAUCAAAUACCUGACACAUGGUGUACUCUGAAACAAAAGAGGGCUUUUAUGCAGUUUCACUUUAUAAUUCUCUGAUUGAGCAUAUUGAGAUACCUGCAGCAUUUCAUUGGAACUGGGACUCAAGCUGUCAGCUUAGACACAAGAUUUUUUGUUGGCUUCUCAUGAUUUGAUAGAUUGAAUACCAGAACUAUGCUUCUCAAAAAAAACUUUUACCUGGCUCAUACUCUUGUAUCCUUUGUCAACAAGACACCCUGGAGACCAGGGAUCACCUUUUUUUCUACUGCCCUUUUGCUCUUGCUUGCUGGAGAUAUCUUUGUCCUCGUUUCACGACUUAGGGAUGCACUCUCCAUAUCCUCUCGGAGAUUAAAGGACAGCUUAAUAAGCCAUUUGGUAUGGAAAUGAUUACUCUGGCCUGUUGGAGCAUCUGGAGAGUUAGAAACGAUUUCAUCUUCAAUAAUGUGCAGCCAUCUCUAUACAGAUGCCGGCAAAUUUUCUUGGAAGAAAUGAAUCUUGUCUUCCACCUAAGGGAAAGCAUCUCACUGAAUUUAGAGAUUGGCUUAGAACUUUUAGAUAACCUUGUACAUUUUUUAGCUGUAAAUAUUUGGCAAUAAAGCAACAGUAGAUCAUUUGAUCUACUGUUUUUCCCCUCAAAAGAAAUAAUGUGAUUGAUUCAAAAAUAGAAUUGUACGCCAGCGCGCAGGGGCGGAGGCAGGGAACAGGCCAGCCCUGGCCCUGAGAUUUUGAAUUUUUAUUUGGGUCCCUGCAUGAUUUUGAGAUUUAAUCGUAUGAGUUCCAUAUUUUUAUGUUUUGACCUCCCUCGUAAAUAAUCCAUUCUAUUCUCCCUAUAAUUUUUUCCGCCACUGCCAGCGCGUGAAAAACACAGAGUUACAGCAAGUGGAACCGAAAACAAGUGAACGAACAGGAAUCGGAGUAGUUGUCUAGAAACAACAACAACAACAAAACAGUUUUAUCAUACCAGUACUAGCGUAAACCGAAAACAAGUCGGUGCCCGUACUACCCGAUCCCAGAACGGAAACUUGAGCUUCAUGUCUUCUUCCCCGAAGAGGACACGGAAAGCCGCGCGCACAGCUGGGAUCCCCUGCAGCUUAUAAAUAACUGCUCCCCAUUGCCUCAGGAGGUGUACCUGCAAGAGACCUAAACUCUACACCCAUCGACCAGGAUCCACCAGCGCGCUCCCUGCUCGAUCUCUGCUUCCGUUCCCGUCGAUCGAUCCGGAACCGUCGCUGCUCGACAUGGGGAUGGCUGGACCCGGCGAGACCAAGCGGCGGAGUCGCGUGUACGAGUUCUUGGACUAUGCCGCAGCCUUGGAUCCCUACGGCGCGAAGCGAUGGUGCAAGGCGGCGCGGGAGAUGCGCAUCGCCGACGGCGGCGACAGCGGCAUGAAGGAGGCGCGGCAGCUCCUCCGCAUCGCCAUCUCCCGCGUCAAGGACUACGCCACCGUCUACAGGACGUGGAUCGCCAUGGAGACCGAGGCGAACAACGUCGCGGGCGCCCGGGAGCUCGUCCUAGACUGGGGCUGCGUCUGCGCCGCGGAGGGCACCGCCGAUGAGUACGCCGCCUUCUGGAUCGCCUACGUUGCCUUCGAGCUCCGGCACGGUGGCGCCGACCGCGUCCUCGCCGUUUCGGCGGACGCCGCCAAGGCAUGUCCGCGCGACGCCGCCGUGGGCGCCAUGUGCGCCAGCGCCAUGACGGAGGUGGACCUUCGCCUCGACGACGCCGCGGCUCCUGCGACAAGAAAUGGAUGGUGGACGAGGCUCACGCGUACGAGGAGGACUCGCUUGCCGCCGUUCGCCCGCCCGCUGCGUCGCCGCGUGGGUGCGAGUUGAUCAUAGACGACGAGUCGCCGUGACGUUUCUGUUUCAGAAGUAGACCAGAUUCAUCGUUAGAGAGUUCAUAGUAGUAGCACAAUGUAAAGCACGAUGUAAAUGGUACUGUUGAUUUGAUCUAUGUAAGAAUUGCAACGAUCCGGUGUAUCGAAAUAUAUUCAAUCUUGGCACCUCGAUCGAUCGAUGUAAAUGUGCAAACUAGCGCACGUAUAGUGCAGUCCAAUUGCUUAUGUUUUGUCAGGUUUGGCUAUAUGUUGCUUAGAGGCAGAGGCGCUCAUGUUCUUGACAUAAGUCUUCCGGAUCUCCCUUUUUUUUAGUUGUAAAAAUUCAGAUUUACUCAUUUGUAACGGUCCGAGAGCAACCCUUUUCUAAUUAAACCUUUUUGAACUGUGUUGUAAUUUAUUUAUUGUCAUCAUGUUGUCAUGCUCAUGUCAUCAUCGAUAUAUUGUCAUGUUAUUAGCAUCAUGUCACAUGAAAUCAUAUUCAUUUGCACGAAGCUGUCUUUAAUGUGCUUGCCUUUUCGCGUGUUCGCGAAAGCCUAAAACUAUUUUUUUAAAUCCUAUUUUGGUUUGACAAAUUACUUCCUGAUUUAAUUAGACCUAACCUCUCGUCUCUUAAUUUGUCACGAAAAUAUAAAUUGAUAAAACCCGUAUUUUUGUUGGGCCAAAAACCCAAUUAAGCAACACCCUAACCCUAACUAUUUAAUCUCCUUCCCUUCUCUUUUCCCUCCUUCCCUUUUCCUCCAAGCCGCCACCCCUCUUCUUUCUCCCCUUGUCUUCUUCCUCCCGAAGCCUUUCUCCCCAGGCACCACCUCCUCCCGGCCUCUGCUCCUGACCACGUCACGCGCCUGCUGUGGCCUCGCGCCCGGCGCCUCCCCAUGUUCCAGCGCCGCUCGCCUGCGUCCUCCACCCCACUGGCCUCUCUCCCCUUCGGCUCUCUCUCUCGCUGAGCUCUCUCUCCCCGAGCUCCCUCUCUCCCGCGACCCUGGCCCCACGCGCGCGCCUCCCGCUCUCCUCGUCUGGCUUCCACGCCGCCGCCCCGGUGCCGCCUCCUCCCGCGUCCGCCUCGCCUGGCCGCCGGCCCGCUCCGCCCUCCGCUUCCCCGCCGACGCCGCCUCCACCUCGCCGGCCGCUCCGCCCUCUGCUUCCCCGAGCGCCGCCCGACCGCGCCUCUCCCUCUCCCGUGGCCUCCUCGCCUCGUCUGCCCGAGCUCGCCCUCCACCACGCGCCGCCCAGCUCCCGCUGCCGUUGCCUCCACCGGCGCCUCCCCUUCCCCGAGUGCCGCCUGCCCUCGGUUUUCCCCACGCCGUCCGCCUCCUCGCCGGUCGCCGCUGCUUCUGCUCCACCCGCGCCUGCGCCUCGCCGCUCGCCUCGCCUCCGGCUGCCGCUUGCUGCUCGCCAGGCCUAGCUAAGCCCAACUCGGCCCAAGCCCAAGCCAGGUCCAAGCCCAGGCCGUGGCCUUCUUCCCCUUUUCCUUUUCUUUUCUGUUUUAUUUUAAAAAUUGUUGCCUGAUGUGUGGGCCCUGCUUGUCAGCUGUUGUUGCUUGGCCUUGCCGCUGCUGUGUUGUUGUUGCCGCCGCUCCGCGUGUGCUUCGCCGUGCCGCUGCCCAAGACCUUCCCGUGCGCCGCGAAGACCGACGAACCCCGGAGUCGGAGCCAUGAAUGGCUACGACCACGACAAAUGAACGACUACGUCGUCUACUUGGACUACGUCGACUAUGUGUACGACUACCUCGCCCGUACGACUACUUUCUCUACGUCGGCUACUUCGUCUACAUCACGACGCCGCAACGAGUCCAAGGUAUAACGAGCGACUGUCCUGUGAGCUGACCGUCCCGUGACGUAGACUCGUAGAUUGUGAUAUAUGAAUUGCAUGUGUUGUAUGAGAUGCCGUGUAUGUACCGAUAGUAUCGAUAGUUGCAGGCACCUCGUUGCCAUUGGCGUGUGCAACUCCAUUUGACUCGUUUGUUUGGUGUGUUGUUCUUGUUUUAAAUCACGCAUCGCACCUAUCCAUGUCAUUCUCAUACAUGAUAAUACAACUAUAAUAUUGUUGUGUGUAGUUAAUCCAUUAAACUCUAUUCAUUGCAUAUGGAAUUGUAUAGAUGCUAUGUGUAGUGUAUUCGGACUCUAUUUAACUUGGUAAUCGUAUAUCAGAUUUACUCUUGGAAUCCUUAAUAUGACAUGCAUCAUCCCUAUGUCAUGCAUCAUUCUUUGAUUGCGCAUAUUAACUACCACGUGUAUCUUGUAUGCUUAUACUUUCCUUUUAUGUCGUGUAUUUGCUUCUUCCUCGCUAGUCUUCGGUUCCUACGACGACGACUACACUUGUGUUCAUAUUCUAGGAUUCUUGCUCAUUUCCAGGCAAUUGAGUACUCCAGGCAAGCAGCCAUUCCUUGCCCAUGUUGAUUAUGCCUAUUGCCUCUCCCUUAAUCUUGCAUUAAGUUACGAUCUCAGUCUUGUCAGGAUGCCAUUAGGAUUGCUUAGCUUAUUAGUCAGCUCCACUUAUUGCCUUAUGUCUUGUUACUUGUCCUAAUACCAUGUCACAUGUUUGUUUUAUUACCCUACUUGAUCAUUAGAAGUCUUGUUUAGAUUGCUAGUCUAGUGUCCUUACUUUGGGUUACACAAUUGCUACAUCCACAUGCUACUUUCUGUAUUUAAAUUGCAAUUAUUAAACUGUGAUAUGAUAUUUUAACUGUAACAAGGCAACGAUGGGAGGCCGUGCUCUAACGCAUUGGUGAUUUGUUCCAUUUGCGCCGACCUAAGGACCGAGUUCUCGUUUUCGCCGAUCCAAGAAACUUCGCGCUAACCGCUCGUGGGAGAAGAUAUGGCUUCCCCCUCGACUUAGUACUUGAUCCUCAGCUCUUCCAGGGGCCACAUAGUUCGGGCGUUCCAUUUAGCAUUUGCAUUGCAUGCACACAGAGAUUCGUGGAGACUUGUUGGUGACUUUGCAUUCAUAUAGGAUUACGGCACUAGUCUAGAAUGGUCAUCCUGCGGGCCUUGAACCACUACCAGCUGUCCACGCAACUCUUGAGUCCAUACAACGCUUUGACGGGGCUCUCGUUUCGGAUAGACUCAGUUGGCUGGUCCCCUUGGACUAGUUGUGGAACUUGGAAACGUCGUCUCGCUCAAUCCAGCCAGCGCACAUUUGAGUGUGAGCAUGCUUGGUAUUUGUGGGUUGGUCGAACGUGUACGGGUAAAUUGGCACACCCUGCUGGGAUAAAUCUUUCAGAAAACCGUGUCCGCGGUUAUGGACGACUUGGUUGGUCAUUACUUGAUCAUAGAGAUCUUAACCAACUUAAUCUCAUAAACUUGAGUAGUAAUUAGCCUUAAUCAUGGAUAUGCUUAAAACUACUUAAGUGUGAGUGUCCUUUGGAUUGCUUCUUCACAGGGUGUUGAGGGGGUGAUACGAGGAUUGUGUUGUUUGGUGUUUAGUAAAUAGGUUAAUCACUUUCACCUGGUAGACGCUUCUCAUCCUCUCAUUAGACGUUGUUAUUAGAGUGUCUCUCCAGAUAUUGUUGCUGCUGCAUAACCCCACCAAAUUUAUCCAUCCUUUGAGACUGGUUGCACAUUUAGUUUAGUUCUCCCCGUAAGUCUUGCGAGUAUUUUGUACUCAGUUGCUUUGCAACGUUGUUUUCUUCAGAGGUUCCAGCAGAGCAGGUGAGCCGCUAGCUUCUUCAUGGAGCACGACGUUGGAUUCGAUGUUUAGCAAGGAGAUCCAGAUCAGGGUUCUGAGACUUGUGGCGGGUUUCCUUCCAGCUUCCAGCCUCUUCAGGCCAUGCUGUAUUCUUGUCCGUACUCGGGCAUAAUUCGACUUCCGCUGAUGUAAUGAUGUAAUGUUGGGACAUGUGUCCUCUCUUUGUAAUAAUUGUUAUUCUACUCCUUGUAUGAGCUUUGUAAUUACUCUCUUCUGUAGAGUUUUGGUAAUGAUAUUCAUGUUGCAAAAUCCUACAAUGAGCACAUUAAUGCGUGUAUGUAUUGAAGUGUUUAUCGUAGGUUAAGAACCUGAGGCUUGAAUUAUGCAAAGGUUAGCAAUUUGGGGCUAAAUUGUAUAAUUCCGGUCCCGGGGUCUUACAUCAUUUUAGACCGGAAGUACUCAAAAUUUCGUUGUUAUAUUGUACUCGCCACAUCCAGUUGAGCUAACCGCACAAGAGUUCAUCAUUUCAUCUAAAUGUGAUCAUUUGUCUUGCAAAACUGAAGAACUUCAAUUCAAUCGUAUUUACAGAGUAUUUUAAAUUUCUCUCGCAGGCAACAAAUGCAGAUAUGCUUCGGAAUGCGGCAUAAAGAGAAUGCAGAGAAUUAAGCAUAAACUGAGGUGGUUCUUGAAUUUCUAACGUCAGCAAUAUCAUCUGGGAAAUAUUAAUAUAUCGUAGAGCAUGACAUCUCUAGCUAGUGUUGUUUAGGUCAAGAAAACACACCCAAGUUUGCACAGGUUUUUUAAGAGUCGGCUGAAGAAUUUCAACAAUAUCCAAUCGGUUGCACCCAGAUUUCAUAGACACAUGCGCCUCCGCUCGAAGCUGUAGAGACUAGCUACGGAGCCAAUAUGACGCCCGAAAAACAAAUUAAACUAAAAAAGUUAGGAUUUCUUUUUCUUGUUACAAACCAAGUCAUUCCUGAUGUUCCAUAUCAACCAACAAAUCGCACCAGCCAUAAUAGGGAUAAGCGAUUUGCCCAACCUUCCAGACCAACGACUAAACCUAUUGGUUAUAGAUAUAUUGAUAAUGUGAUUGAUUCAAAAAUAGAACGCAAUCCCACAAAUGAGGAAGCAGCUGUCGUGAUACAACUUUAUGAACUUGUACGCUGGGGUGUGAAAAACGCAGAACCUUACGAGGUCUCUUGCAUGUGUGCCUCCUCGAGGUCUGGGCCAUGAGUCACCUCCUCCUAGGUGAAAGCAUAGUUUUCAAAACUGGACCGAUGAUUGAACCCACGGCUCUCGCCGGUCAAACCUCUGGUUCAUCGGUUCAGUGUCUGAUCUUUUAAGAUAUAAAAUAAUAUAUUUGUUCAUAAAUGCUGCAAUAAACGGAUAAAAAUGUAUGCAAUGGAUAAAAAUGUAUGCAGUGAAACUCAGACUUGGCAAUAUGAAUAAUAAUUCACAUAAUAAUUCCACAAAGUUAAUCGGGAUUGACCCAAAAACCUAGAGAUAGCAUCGUCUUGUUCCGUUUCCAAAAUUACCUCCGCAAUUUUUUAUGGAAAAAUAAUCUAACAAGGGGUAUGAUUAAAAGGCGGACGGUUCGGCUGACUUUUUCGGUUCGCCGGUUUCACAAAAACCGGUUGUUUUUCAUAUUUCCAUGUGUGUGCACUUAACAAACUGGCGGGGUCUCUGGUUUUUUUUAACUAUGGGUGGAAGCUUGCUAAUUCAUUAGGGCGAGCCUUGCUCCUUCCUAGAAGAGUGAGAGUAAAGGAAAGAGGAGAGGGAGAAGUAUUUCCCAAAUGCCAAGUGCCCCCCUCAAUUCAGAGGGUGCCCAUCUAUUCAUAGCGUUUAGAGGGGAAGGGGGUUACAUUUUUGCCCCAAGGAAAUUACGGUAUUGCCAUUGCCCUUGCUAUGGGCAUUUUAUUAAUUCUAAAUGUCUAGUUUUUUUUUGUCUUUUCAGAACAGCGGUCGAGCUUUAUUGAUUCAUAUAUAUAAGAAAGUACAAUAAAUCGAUACAAUCAAAACGAACACAAGGCCCACGAAGAUCCGCUAUAUAACUAAAAGCUCCAUCAUGGUCCUUUCGAAAUCAACAUUUCUACAUCCAUCUUUCACAUCAUGGCGUUUCUCCAUGUAUCAGGGACCGGAAUUGCAAAAACAACAUGCUUGCACAAGCUGGACUAACCUUAUAGAGUUUCAAGUAUAGUCUUAAGAGCCGCAUGAACCGUCCACAUCAAGUAAUGAGAUCAUAGGCGCUAUUUGGUUGGGAGCCAACACAAUCCAAGACAAAUAAUUGGCAACCAAAUUUGUUUGGUGCUUGUUUGAUUUGUUACCAAAAUUUUGGUUGCCAAUGUAGACCAUGCCAUCUCUUUCACACAUUUUUGCCAAAUAACUGGCAAGAUAAGGGUUGGGAAAUCCUUGGCCAAAUAAUUAGUAAGCCAAUUCUUGUCCUCAUAUGGUAAGGCUAAAUGGGGCACAAAACAAACACACCUUAGGAUCGUGGAACGCACCAAGAUACAACCUUUACAAGGCAAGCUGUGAAACUGCUGCUCCGUUGUUGAAUUGACAAGAAAAUUGAUCAAAAACAUCAAAAGACGAGCCAUGAGAACCACUGACUCAAUUGACACUACUACAAAAAUGUGUAUCAGUAACGGUCGAAAAAGUGCAUCAGUAACGGACGGGACACUCGUUACUAACUUCCUGUCAGUGAUGAUGGGCAUCAUCAGUAACGGUCCCUCAUCGGUCGAGUAGCACGACCGACAGUGAUGUUAUUUUCAUGAUUUAAAAAAAACAGGCCCGUGGCCAUCUAAUAUUCGCAAAUCACAGAUAAGCGCGGAUUACAAAUCACAUCCAUAAAUCACGGAUUACAAAUCACAUCCAUAAAUCAUGGAUUACAAAUCACAAAAAAAGCAAGAGGCCGGAUCUCACGGCGAUCGUCGUGGCCGGCCACCAAAAUUGCUCCCCGAGCCUGACACCAACAAUAUCUGUGAGAGAGAGACGGUGAGAAAGCGAGAGAGGGUGUGAGACAGAAUGAGAGAUGAACGGAGGGAGAGAAAUUAUACCGGCGGCGCGGUUGGCGGUGGGGGCGGCCGGAUCCGGCCGCUGCAGGGCCGAGGGAGGUCGGAUCCGGUGGCGGGACGGGUCAUGGCCGACGGAUCCGACGGCGUCGCGCCCCGCUGCUGCUGCUCCUCCAUGCGCUACGGGCCAAUGCUGCUGCUGCUCCAUGCGCCAUGGGCUGGUGCAGAGGAAGGGAGAGGGGGCGGGCUGGUGUGGAGGAAGGGAGAGGGGCUGGAGGGCAGGAAAGAGGGGAGAAGAGAAGGGAGCUCGGGAGGAGAUUGGGGGAUUGGGGGGCUUCGGGCAGGGAGAAGAGAAGGGAGUUCGGGAGGAGAUUGGGGGAUUUGGGGGCAUCGGGCAGGGAGAAGAGAAAAGGGAGGGAGGGAGGAGAUAAGGGAGAGAGAGGAGAUUGGACCGCAGGAGAUAAGUUCUGAGUGGGCCAGUCGAUCCGAUGCCCUUGUUGCUCAAGUAAUAGUGUGGGAGCACACGGAUCGUUUGCUUUUUUUCACUGGAGAAUCAACUGAGCAUCACUGGCGGGCACAGAGUUAAAAGCCGCCACUGAUGAUCCCAAAUAUGAAUAAUAACAUAAAAAAAAGAAAACUCAAAUUUUUUAAGCCAAAUAUUUGUAAGCUUUUGUGGAAAUAUUGUUUGGCACGACAAAAUGUACCUCUGUGCAGAAAAAAAAACAUUACCAUGAACUAUGACAUAAACAUGACCAAGACUUUAGUCGUUUGGCUUGAAACACAUAAACAUUAUUACAUGAUAGUCCAUUUUUUAAACAGUUGUAAAAAUUCAAAUUUACCAUUUUUCAUGAAAACUGAUAAACUUGAAUUUUCAAAGAGUGUACUUUUUUUUGACAUUUUCUAAACAUUGUGUGGCUUUUUUCCAAAUAGGGUGCAAAUAGUCGGCAUAUCUUUCCGUAGCAAGGUGUUGGAUAUUUCAACACCAUUUAUGAAUUUUAGAUAAUACUUACUAGGGUACCCUAAAAUGAUUUUUGUAAUUUUUAAAGAACAAACUAUCACACACUUGUACUUACUUCACAAAAUACCCCAUUUUUUACAUUUGGAAAAUGGAAAAUCAUUUUUUAUAACCAAAAAUUUGUAAACCUCUUUGGCAAUAUUGUUUUUCAUGACAAGAUGCAUCUUUGGGCAAAGAAUGGACACAUUAUCAUGACUUAUGACGUAGAAUUGGACAAACUUUGGUCUUUUGGCUUAAAAAAUAAAUUUCAAACUAUGGGAAAUGACAAGUUUGUACUACAUAGGUAAUUUUUUAGAUGUUAACAUUUGAUAUUAUUGUUCAUUAUGUUAAGAAAGAAAAGAUAAAACUUUAACAAAAGGAAUCAGAUUUUUCUGUUUUUUUAUGAAUUAGUUAUGAAUUUUUCAAUCUUCAAAGGUCUCCAUGAGUCAUCAGUGGCGGGCCUAGAUGUAAAGCCCGUCACUGAUGUGUGUUUUUGUGAUUUUUGCAUUUUUUUUGCAUUUGGCUGUUAGUGGCGGGCUUUCCGUGUCCGUCACUAAUGAGGGUUUAUCAGUGACGAACGUGGUACGCCCACCACUGAUGAUGGGUCAUCAGUGACGGAAACCCGUCACUGAUGACCCCUCAUCAGUGGUGGGUUUUUGACGCCCGUCACUGAUAUGCCCGUUGCUGAUGAGGUUCAUCAGUGACGGACGGGUAAAAUCCGGAUGUUGUGUUUUGUAGCAGUGCGAGAAUUCUACAUGUCUAGUAUGCCGCUGUAUUCAUCCGUGAGUUCUCUCAUGGUCAAGGAUUGGACUUCAGGUCGGAAUUCGAGCGCGUAAUCCUUGGGGAAGAGGGGCGGUGCUAGAACUGGGCCUAGAGCCUAUACCUAGGCAUGGGCAGCCCGGCCCAAUGACUCAGGCCUUGAUUUGCAGCCCGUGGCAAUUUUGGGACCGGGCUCGGGCGUCGAAUUGCAGCCCGAAAAAGCUCGGCCCGGACCGGUAGCAAAAAUUUGGAAGGCAAACUGGCAAAUCGCGAAGGCCUAGCCCAGCAAUACAGCGACCCGUCUAUACCCGAAGGCCCGUCUUUACCCGAAGGCAACAUGCGGCCGAACCCUACCUACCCCGAUCUUCCAUCGACUCCUCGCUCCUCCCGCAGACCACACCUCCACACCUUUCCUUCCCCCACGCCUAUUCCUUCUGCGGCGGCGCACGCCAUGGACGGUGCCCAGCUUGAAGCCGGCCUCGUGAGGGAGCUCUAGCCUAUGACGAGCCUCCAGCUCACCAGGUUCUUUUAGCCUCCAACCCGUGGGAAGCCUCCAUCCUUUGUGGGGGCCUCAGGACCGUACGGGGCCUCUGGGCCAUGAAAGUUGCUCAACGCUUGGAUUGAUAGAAUUGGCGCUCUUUUAAAAGUUCAGGGAAAAAUGCUCCUUUCAUCAAUUUGAUCCUUUUGUCCUAAAUAAAUAAAUAAAUUUGAUCCUUUUGUUUAGCCCCAGCCUCUACGGUGUUGAGGAUGGCUAGAUCGGUACUGUCACGGGAUUGAAGAAAACCCUUAUAGCCAUUCCGUUUGGCACCGACGGGUGAAAACCAGUGAGCUGGGUGCUGCAUAUUUUGGCUCAAGAAUAAUGACUUUUCCUCAGGUUCAGGACAUAGUACGUACAAACUACAAACACAUGUAGGAAAACAGAAACAUAAAUGCAUAUCCAAUCCAAGCCAUCGAUGACAAGUCACUGUCACACGCUAUUUUCCCGCAAGUCCGGCGUGGGCGCGUGGCCAACCUCUAUCGUCUGCCGGACCCGAUUUCAGAAAGUCCAGCUGGUCGGGCAGUUCCAAGUUCCAAUAUGCACCCACACAUUAUUGAACACCAUCAUGUGGAAUGGAAAUGGAAUUCCACACUCACGCACUGCAGGGCCCGGGCCCGGGAGCAACCCGAACGGUGGGGCAGAGAUAGAGCUUGGCGCGUUUGCUGGCGACCAUCCCGGCCGCCUCCGACAUGUCCAUGUCCUCCGCCCUGGCACCGUCCGGCAGCUUCCAGUCAAAGUGGUAGAGGAGGCUGGCGAGCGCGACCUCCAUGUUGGCGAUCCCGAGGUUGGCACCCGGGCACAUCCGUCUCCCGGACCCGAACGGCAGGAACUCGUAGUUGGUCCCCUUGAAGUCGACGGCGCCGUCGGCCUCGAACCGCUCCGGCCUGAACUCCUCGGGCCGGUCCCACACCUUGGGGUCCCUGCAGAUGGCCCACGCGUUCACCAGCACCGCCGUGCCCUUGGGCACGUCGUACCCCAUCACCGUGCAGCUCUCCCGGCACUCCCGUGGCAGGAGGAGCGGCAGCGGGCAGUGGAGCCGGAGCGCUUCCUUGAGCACCAGCUUCAGGUAGCUCAGCUUGGCCACGUCCUCCUCCGUGAUGCUUGUCUUGCCCUGGAAGGCGUCCCGGAGCUCCGCCUGCGCCUUCGCCAUCACCCUCGGCGUCCGCAUCAGCUCCGCCAUCGUCCAGUUCAGCGUCGUCGACGACGUCUCGCUGCCGGCCCCAAACAUAUCCUGCAAAAUUAAACAAAAAAACACACCACACAAAUUCAUUUAAUAUUUUUAAUUCGUGCCUGCCUUGCCUAGCCGCCUAGGUAGGCAGAAGCAGAACAGAAGGAGGGUUGAGGCUUAAUUGAUUACGAAGAGGAGGAUGAGGAUGUCGCGGUUGGUGAUGGAGCCGUUCUGCUUCUGGAGCCGGAGCAUGACGUCGAGGAAGUCCCCACUACCGUGAGCUUUUUCGGAGCCGUCGUCGUCCUUUUCGGCGGCCUUUUCUUCCAGCCGCUCUUUGAUGAUCUGCUCGAUGAUGCGCUCCAUCUCGUCCCGGCAGACUCUGGCGUUGCGUGGCGCGGCGCCGAGCGCCUGCAUGAUCCUGGACGACGGGAACAGGUCGGCGGCCGUGAGCGAGGACGUCUGGCGGACCAGCGUGUCGAAUGCCCUGAGAUACUCGUCCUGGUACUUGCACCGCGCGCCGAUGGACUCCCUCACGAUGGUAUCAUUGAUGAAGUUGGCGAUGCUCCUCGUCAGGCACACGGGCUCGCCGCUGGACGCGGACGCGGCGAUGCGCGCCACGAGGAGCGCGGCCUCCUCCUCCCGGACGCGGCGGAGCGCCUGCACGCGGGCCACGCUGAGCAGCUCCAGCACGCAGAUCUUGCGGAGCUGGCGCCAGCGGUCGCCGUAGGGCGCGAAGACGAGGUCGCUGGCGUCGAAGGUGGCCGUCCGGGUCGUGGCGUUGAGGUGACGCGUGGCGAAGGUCAGGUCGGACGUCUUGAGGAUCUCCCGCGCGGCCUCCGGCGACGAGGCCACCACCGUGGGCACCUCGCCCAGCCACAGCUGCAUCAGGGGCCCGUGCUUCUCCGAGAGCACGCUCAUGGCGCGGUACAUGCCGCCCUGGCUGCUCACCAGGUGGUGCACGCUGCCCAGCAGCGGCAGCGUCCAUGGGCCAGGCGGCAGCUUGAGCUCGGGCUUCGUUAAUCCUUGUUUGAGCUUCUUGGAGAGGAUGACCAAGAGCGAGCACACGGCCAGAGCGAGUAGCACCUUCUCUGCCUCCAUCGUGGUACUGGUGUGGUGGCUGUCGUCACUGGUCAGUGCUUGCGGAUGUUCUUUUGCUGGGGUUUGCGGGGCUACAUUUAUAUAUGUCCCGGACACGGUACGUGGUGCCGUACGUCGCAGGUCGAGGCGAGCGGGGCAGGCCAGUCAAACACAUGGCGGCUGCGAAACAGGAGGUGCGACCGCCCGAGCGAGGAUGAUUGAGUGGCGUUGCAGAGAAAUUUCCUCCAAGAAAUCAACGAUAUCAUCUCACCGGGGCAACAGCCAGCAUUGAAGACACGAAAAGAAUGUGCCUUCUGGUUUCAAAUUUUGGGUUUCAGAAAUAUUUCAUGCACUGACGAAAUCUUUAACUACACAUACGAAAUCCUGCAAUUGAGUUAAUUAUUUCGGUUUUCAGUUCGUCCAAGUUGACCGCAGUUUCCACAUCGUUUGACUGAAAUCUUGAAUUUUAGCAGAAAAAGCUUGAAUUCUGCUUGCAUUUUACUUGAAUUCACAUGUCACAAAAAAUAUCUACUCCCUCCGAUCCUAAAUUAUUUUAAUGCAAAUUCGAAUUAAAAAAACGACAAGAAUUUAGAAUGAGAGUAGUAUUUAGGAAAUUCUCAAAGUUUUGGUAAAACUGAGACGGGUCAUACAGGUAAAGCAUUUGUUGCAACAAACCAAUGAAAAUUACUAGUAAAAAACAGACCGUCUUGGAUUAUCCCCAAAAAGGUCCGGCACAUUUUGGCCUUUUCCUGGGUACUCAUGUUUCUCCUCACGUGCUUGCACAAGUGCUUUUUUUGGUAGACUUUAUGACCCACGUGGUGCUAGCACAGAGGGCAACCGCAAUGCACGAGUUGCGACUUCAACCAUGCAACGAAUUUGAAUUCAACAAACCACUCUUAGUUGCUGUUUUUUUAGAAUUUAUGUGUGUUUUGUUCCAGCCUAUUUUAAUUGCGAGACUCGGAUCUCCACCGCAUCAGAUAGAUCUCUCAUACAUUAGAGCAUCUCCAACGGAUGUUAUAAAAUAGACAUUGUGUCCAAAAAACCGUUUUUAGGGCACAAACAACCAAAAAAGCCUCUCCAACAGAUGAAAUAUAGCUAUCCUGUGCCUUAUAAUUUCAGGGCAUGCCCCAAAAAAUUGAGGCAAAUGAUGUAUAUUUGCAUCACAGGAUAGGGCUGCCCUAUCUUUCCUCCCACCAUCGCGCGAACCAACCACCAGAAAACUUCAUCCCGCGACAUCUCCCCGACGCCACCGCUGCUCUAUGCCGCCGCGCCACCCCGCUUCCCCGAGCUGCUUCGCUGCCCGCCCCAAGCCUCUUUCUCCGCCUCGACGGCCGCCGGUGGCGAAAAGGAAGCGGGCCGCCGCUCUCCUCCGCACUGCUCAUCCACGCCGCUCGGCUCUGCCCCCAUCGUUCUGCUGUCCCGUCCCCAUCGUCUUCCUCUGCCCCGACGGACGGUGCCCCGCGGCGCCGGCGGCCCGCUUCCCCGAUGAGCACUGGCCCCGCUCCCGCCUAAAGCAUCGCAGAGACGAGGCGAAGCUCCUAGGGUCGGUGGUAGCAGUAAAAACAUAGAGGUGGAGGCUGUCCACGAUGAAGGGCAACGGCCGACAGUGACUGCCGACGCGGGGGUGACGCGGGCAUCCGCGGGCUUGGGCGAGCACACCGGACGAAGCGCAGAGGCGUCGCGGUGCUCCCUCGGGCGGCAACGAGGCACUGCAGGCUGUGGUCGGGCGGGUCGACGCGGGCAACGCUUCCGCCGGAUUUGGGCGGGCUCACCGGAGCGAAGAGGGAGAGCAUCUUCGGUUGGGGGAGAAAGAGCAGAGGAAGGGGAAGGGAACUCGCGGAAGAAGAGAAGGGAAAAUAAGAGAUGGGUCGCUGACUGGUGGACCCCGUGUGUCAUUGUGAAAUUUUGUCAUGUGUGGUGCCUUAUUUUACAUCAUCUUGAUUUCUGCUAGUGUCCUAUUUUACAUCAUCUGCAAUGGCUUCCCUAUUUUAGGGCACGAAAAACUGCAAAAGUGGUGCCCUAUCCUAAAUUUUCAGUGCCUUAUUUUACAUCAUUUGUUGGAGAUGCUCUUAUCGGAAGAGAUGGAUUACUAAUUUCCUCUGUUUUUGUAACUAGUCGGGUGACUUACGCAUUUGUGCGGUUAGAUUCACUGUAGAUCUUUAAGGUGCCUUUUCUCUAGUGAUUUACUCACCACGAUUAAUGAUUUACAUAAUCCAGUUUAUACGUAUGAGUAUAACAGCUUACAUCCUCCUGUUUUAAUGAUUGGGAUUUCCUUUGUUUGUAUAUUUGAUUCAUCGCAUGGGCGAGCGCCAAGUGCUUGUCGCUGGAUCAGCGCCAUGCUUGCUUCAUGGUGGCCCUAUGUGAUGCUGAUAGAUUGUUAAGCAUGGCGUUUUGCGGAAAACAGGAUCACAUGACGUGGUUUUACUUGGGAUUAACAUUUUUUUCCUUAAUUUCUUGCAGUUUCACCGAAAUAGUAUAUGAUUAUAUCUCUUGCAAACUUUCUAUCGUGUCCUCUUUCUAACGUGGUAAUCACAGAAUCAUGAUCAUAUGUAUGUGUACUUCUAUCCGAGUAUCUAGUUUGUGUGAUACAUUUAUGAGAAACUAUAUUACUCCUUCCUAUCCAUAUUAGUUGUCAAAAUAUUACAUGUAUGUAGAUAUUUUUUAGACAUAGAUACAUCUAUAUUUAGGCAAAUUCGAGACAAUUAAUAUGAAUCGGAGGGAGUACUAUCUUUAUGUGCGAAAUUGAGAAGCAAAGAUCAAAACUGAAACCAAUGAGAAAAUGAAGCAUUUGUAUGAAUGCGGGUAAAAGCAUAUUGCUGUGGUUUGUAUCUAAACAUGCCCCAGACUAGUCAUAGAACAAUGUUCUUAUAAGAUUUUCAUUCCAAUGACACGGAGUUAUGGUUUUAAUACACCACAUCUAUCUAUCUAUUAGUCUGAGUUAUAAGAUACAGUUAGGGCCAGUUUUUUCGGCUUCCUGAACCGGCUUUUCUGAAAAGCUGCCCUUCCCCAGCUUCUUGGAGAAGCCGCCACUUAAAUUUGAUUAGGUUAUCAAACUAGUUUGAUCUAAACUACUUUGAAAAUUUGUGAUGCGGCUUCUCCAGUAAGCUACGUGAGGACAGUUUCUAGAAAAAGCCGGUCCUAAAAGCCGAAAAAAACGCACCCUUAGCAGACUACAAACCUGAAUUGUCCUGGAGUAGUAAAUGCAAUAACAUACACGAAAGACCACAUCCUAAAAAGAAAAACAACCAACAAUUCCUUGUACAAUUCAUGAUAUGCAUUGCAAUUGUUCCUCCAUAAAUAAAGCCAUCAUCUGAGCUUAAGACCCAAACUUUAUAUUGAUACAGUCAAAAGCACGGAUUUAUUUGUUUCAGUGACAUAAAAUUUAUGUCAGUGAAUAGGAAACUUAGAGAGAAAAAACUGAAACAGCAAGUUAAAAUAGGCAAAUGGUUUUACCAAACACUUCGAUAGCGAUUGGACUAUGUCACUUGUUUUUUUUAGUAGCAUUUCCAUUAGGAAUUAUAUUUCAACCUUCGAGUGCAGAUUGAGCUAUCAAUACCAUUUAGGUUUACAAAGAAACUAAGAAAUUGCUGAUCCAAUCUGACUACCUCUGACUAUUACAAAGACUUCUGAAGUAAGCUUUCAGGCUUUCCAUACCAUGCAGGAGUGAACAGAGCCCUCGUCCUUACCAUAACCUGGAACAGAGGGAGGCAUGAGAUGGAGUCUGCUAUUGCUACAACCCCAAUUCUCUCUGAUAGAUCUGUUAGUUGGUAUUUAUUAACCGGUAUCUGAAAUCCUGUCUUUCCUUCUGUCGGAAAUUCGGACGGCGCUUUGGCAACACCAAAACACUAAAUUUUGCAGAAAAGUAUCCUCUGCUGUGUAUUUUACCACUCCAAGUUUUACACCUUAGGGCCAUGAGAAAACAACGUGGCUGCCCUUUGGUGGGAGGGCAGAAGUGGAAGAUUCUCUAAGGCUGUUUUUGGUUCGGGAGCGAGGUAGAAUUGAAUGGAACCACUCCAUUCCAUUUCAUUCCUACGAGGGUUCUAAUAUGUUGUUUGGUUUGGAAAAUGAAACGGUUAUAGAUUCUGUUUGGUCUAUGGAAUAUGAUGGAAUGGAAUGGUUUCAUUUUUUGUUUGUUUUGGAGAUGGAAUGAGAUGAGGAGAAUGUAUUCACUGCUGGUGAGGUUACCAGAUUGAGUAAUGAACAUGAGCUGAUCUACUCUUCAUGAUUUGUAAACACGAGGAAAAAAAUUGGCAACACUUUCUUUGUAUUUUCUCUCAUAGACAGUUUAGAAAACAUGAACAUAACACAUAUACUGAUAAAGCAUAGUACUUGAUGAAGCAUCAGAUCCAUACAUCACAUAUAGGGUCCAUUCAAUCGAUCACAUUACAAGUCCAAAAUACAUCACAUAUGCACACAUGGCUAUCAAAAUAUAACAAUGCAUCCAUAUGCAACAAUUUCUCCCUGUUUUGUACCAAUUAAUCAGAGUGCAUAGCAAAAAUUAAAUCAGAGUGCAUAGCGAAAAUAAUAAGCCAUAACCGGCCAUGGUGACCAUGCUGAGCACACAAAUUGGACAGGUGGGGUGAGCAAUUUCUCCUUGUUUUCACCACCGGUCUCCUCUUCUCCCCGCUGACAUGCUCCUCCGCCUAAUCCAGCCGCCGGUCUCCUCUUCUCCCCGCUGACGUGCUCCUCCGCCUAAUCCAACCGCCGGUCUCCUCUUCUCCCCGUCGAACUACUCCUCUACCGAAUCCCCUCGCCGGUCUCCUCCCUCCCCCUACCAACGACCUCCUCUCCCCACCGCCGUCCCAGAUCUACUGACGACCGGCCAGGAUUUCGGGGGGAUGGACGUGAUCUGGUUGGGAACUGCCGCCGCCAUGGAGAGGAACCGAGCGGAGGGAGAGAAAUAUCGGGACGAGGGGGUGAGGAUAGAGCAAUGAGAGAGGGUCGGGGAUCGGGGGUUGGGGGGGGGGUGUGAUUUCUCGCGGCGGGCCCACUCGUUCCAAUCGGAACGAAGUCAUUCCUUCGUUUUUGAGUUAUGGGUUGGUUCCGGAUCUGAGAGGUAUAUUCCCCUCUGAGGAACCACUUGGUUCCAUUCUACUUUUGUCAAUUCUAGAAACCAAACGCUGAGAUCAUGCUAAAACGAGGAACGGUUCUAUUACAUUCCACUGCAUUCCAGGAACCAAACACAGCCUAAAUUACUUUGGGACCCUUUUUUUCACGAUUGACUCCUUUAUGUCGAGGUUGGGUCCUUUUCUCCCAUAUGAGUCUUUCUCUUGACUUGUUGACUAGCUUGGGUUGCUUGACCAUCCUUGUUGGCAUGUUGAAUGGUCAAAGCCUCAUUUUUGACUUAGAUCUUUGCCAUAGGAUUCAUGGCUUGGCCCAUAUAAGGGUCUCCAACACAUUCAAUCUCACAAGAUUCAAAAGGACAUGCCCAUAUCCUUAAAAAAGAGAGUACAUAAUGAAAUCUAUUGUUGUGUUUUUCAAAUCAUGUGAACAAAAGAGUCCUUAGAAUUUACUCCCUCCGAUCCUAAAUUGUUGUCGAAAUAUUACAUGCAUCUGGACGCUUUUUAAGAAUAGAUAAAUUCAUAUUUGGGCAAAUUUGAGACAAGAAUUUAGGAUCGGAGGGAGUAGGUUGGAAAACAUAUUCAAACGCACUUGAGAUCCAAAUCAGUUGAACAAGGGAAGCAUUGUGUGAUUGUGCAAUUAUGUGUGCACUAGUGCAUAUAUGACACUGAGAGAAAAUGUUGAACAAGGGAACCCGGCGUUUCUAAGAAAAAUGUAUCACUCUGGGCUGGCUAAAGUGUAUACACUAGUGCAUAUAUGACACUGAGAGAAAAUGUUUCCUUGAGAACUGCAGAAGGUGAAACUAUUCUUAACACAUACCUUUAUAAAGUAGCCAAGACAUGUUUGCAAAGUAGCAAUAGACACCAUCAACAAAGAGAGCAGGUGAAAAUCACUGGCUGAACCUAGCAUAGCAACACAAACACCAAAAUUCAGAACUCAGUAUAUAUGUAUCUCAUGUUCAUAUAAAAAGAUCUGGAAUGAUCCAUGCCAGCACUACCCAGUUCAGCCAAGAUUGAGAGGCAACCUUAUACUUCAAAUCGUACAUCUGGCAACCCGAUAAUUAAAAAUUAUUUAGCAGCAGACCAGUGUAAUCUUUUGUUUCAAGCCAACAACUGAUGUUAUGCCCGAUGAACACUGCACCACUUUCCUUGUCAAAGUCACUGCUCGUGAAGAUCAGAAUGAGAUGCUGCCCAAUGCCAAUGUGACGAGCUGCCUGAAAGGGUUGUAGAUGAAAAUGAUGGUACACUUGCGUAUAGAAGGUUUGCAAGAUAGAUCAACCCACCAGAUAAAAUUCAUCUUCCGAGAAGAGGUGUAGCUCGAACCAACUCUUAGGAUUAUUCUGUUGGUUAAUAAUACAAUAGUAUGGUGAUUCCAUGUCGAAAUAACGCAUAAGCUAUAAUGUUUUGUAGAUUUAGAACUAUAGCUAGAGUAUACCACUUAAACAUACACCCAAAUUCUUGUCAGGCUGUCAGCUACUACUGAUUUUACAAGAUUUUCGAGUAAAUUAACUAACUGUACUUCGUGUAUACUGUAUAUGUAUAUAGUUCUUGUCUCUACAUAUAAAGUCAAGUAGGUUUCACGUUUCUGAGCAGUUAACACAGAAAUGACUACUACAUUAUAUCCACAGGUUAGCAUAACAGUUGUCUCCAAAACAUCAUUACAUUUCUCUUGCAGUAUCACAACCAUUCUUCAUCUAUCGAGCUUGCAAUUGCAGGAAAUAGUGGUUACAGGGAACGAACAAUACUCCUAUCUGAAUUAUUGAAAUAAUGAACGGAGAGAAAUUGAUGCGUCAUCACCCUUAGAAGAAGUCUUGGAGGCCCCGACCGGCGAAAACGCGGUCGGAGAGCUCCGCGAGGAUCGCGUUCACGGAGAGCAGCGCGGCCGUGGAUCCCGCGAUGAUGCCGAGGACGACCCCCGUGGUGCCCAGUACCUUCCCGGGCGCCGGCCACUCGAUCUCCGACAUCUCCUGCACCACCCCAUCCCACCACCCAGCACCGGCGCCGGUGCUGCCUGCGGCGACCUCCGCCUCCUUCCGCGCACGCAUCAGCUCCUUCAGCUCCGCCGCCACCUCCUCGGGGGUCUUUUCUCCGGACGCCGUUUCAUCCACUCCGGACUUCAAAGCUUCGCCCGCCGCCAUGGACGGUUCUUGUUCCUGCCCCUUGUCGCUGGCGGUGUCCUUGGAUGCGGCGGCGAGACGUCGGCGGACGGAGAUGGAGCGGCAGAAAGAGAGGGCGGGAGAGCCGAGAGUGGAGAGGGAGGGGCGCGCGGUGGGACUGGACCGGGCUGGGGCGAAGAGG